rnacentral:lncRNA from 1 species
UUUUGGGUUCUUUGAAAUAAUUUUGAUGUGUACAUAUUUUAUCGCUUUUUAUUUUGUUGUCACUAGAUAAGUAAUACUCUUCCUCUCUUUUUUGCGGAUGAUCUCCUUAUUCUUUCAGAUGUAUUCUAUUACUUGAUGGGUUGAUGCAUUUCUUUGGUUUUGUUUUGUCCUGCCAUUUUAUUUAUUUGUGUAAUAUUUGUUUCCCACUCAUGCACUGUAUGCUUCUAAGUUAUAGGUAUUCUUUCUUGUUCACAAAAAAGCAAUGUGGCGAUGUUUUAGCUGUAAUGUAACGGCCAACAUUAUUAUAACAUUUUGGAAGUAUUUCCCCAAGAAAAAUAUAUGCAUAUUACUUUGAAAUUUCCAACCUAAGUAUUUUAGUUAAUAACCAUAGCCAAGUUUCCAAAGUUUCACGACCUAAACAGUCAUUUUUUAUGAACCGGAGGAGAAUCAAAGGGAGACACAUUGUUCUUUUUUCUUUAUUAUACCACAUGUGCUACAGGACAUGCAAUGGUCUCGACAAACGCGUCAGUUCUAAAAGAUGAUUCUUUUGCUUGGGUGCAUGUGCUGGCAACCCAAUGGUUACAGAUUUGAUUGUGCCCAGUUAAAAUCAAUCUAGUAUACCAUUUUCAUAAUCCAUGUGAAUAUGAUUACAUGUUCAUAUUUACUCCCUCCAUUUCGCAAUAUAAGUCUUUUUAAAGAUUUCAACAACACACACACAUCUGUAUAUUGUAGUUCAUUUAAAACCUUUAAAAAGACUUAUAUUUAGAAACGGAUGCCAGUAUAACGGAGCCAGCAAACAUGCACGACAAGGGGCUAUAUGCAGACACGGAGCCAAAGCAAGGGAGACGCACAUUGUCCGGCCGGACCACGAGUCCAGCAUGUGGCAAGUGAGAUCGCGACCCUGCGGGUAAACCACGAACGCAUCUGCGUCAUCGUUAAAGAACAACAUGCCAAAAUAUUUGCAAGAACGUCCACAACAACACGCACGGCUAGGUCAAUUGACCUCUUUGUUUGAAUCCUCAACGUUGGUUCCCAUGUUUAUUUUGUGAGUUUUGGAGUUGGUGAAGCUAAAGUAAUCGAGCCAUCGCUGGGUAACCAUUGACGAGCAUUUUCCUCGAGCCUUUAACUGUUUCAUGACGCCGACGUAGGGCAUUUUACGAACCAAGUCAGUAUUCGUUGAGAGGAAUGUGCUGCUAGUUAAGUACCACAAGCUAGGCUUUGUCGUUUUUUCAUUUGCUCGGCUAAAACACAAACAGUAUGUAAUCACCAAUUAUUAUGUUCUGCGAGUUCGUUGCCUGCAGAAAAAUAUGGUCUUUUGCGAGUUCGUUGCCCGCAGAAAAACAAUGCUGGCCAAUUAAAUACGGACUUUGCUAGUUCAUUAUUUCCCGGGAAGUCUUUUGGUGGUUCGUUGCCCAAUAAUACAUAUGGUCUUCUCAAUGCCUCAAUUUAGACAGAACGACCAGAGUAGACCGUGCCAUUACUACGGGGCUAAUAAUAUGUGUACAUUGGUCAGCGGCAGUAGGUUAUUGCCAAGUGACACGUACGGUGACUUUUUCUUCGGUCGGUCGGCGGGACUGCGGUGUCUCUAUUUGCUCCGGCCGACGCGACGGAAUGUGCGUCGGUCUGUGGAGCAAAAGGACCGGUCCAGUCUCCCAUGGGAACAAGCUGCAUGGGUGCACGGUGCACGGUAGGAAGCACUACCUACUGUCCAUCCUCUAUCAUCAGCUGAUGCAAUGCAAGCCGUCACCCAUUUGCACACGAGGCCUUGGUCCGUCACCUUCCAAUCAUCGUCCAUCCUAUGGCCUGCCUUGUGUUGUGGAGACACUGGAUUAAUUUGGAAGGUCGCCUCAGGCUCGUUUCUUAGAAACACAAACGCACACACUCACAUCAUUACACACACGCAAUCACACAAUGCCUACUGAAGGUCAAAGUUGCAGAGCUGAAAGAUUGAUGAAGAGCGAUGCAAAAGAAAAAUGAAAAAAAAAAAGAUUGACGAAGAACUUGCUAUUAACGAAAACGUCAUCCCCACUGCAAGAAUAAUCCGCAAUAGUGAGACAUCAAAGCGUCAAAUCUAGGAUUUGAUUUUUAGUGGGCUAGGGAAACUACUGUUCUGUAAUCAUCCAACCACUGAUCGCGUAGGCUGUAGGAGGCGGGACUCCCUUGGUGUACUUCUACGGGUGAAUUAAGCUCUUCAGUGAAGAAAAAGGGCGUACGACCUUGUCCCUGUCAGGCCAGAGAGUAAAUUGUGGUAGAGCAUGCCUAUCUGAAAAAAAACAUAAUACAAACAUAGACGUUCACAAAAUAUGAGUGUACACUCAUUUUUAUAAACAUACUCAGUAUCCUAUGGGCACCAUCAAGACAGAGAUGACAAAUCAGAUUGGUGAUAUCACUCCAAAUGUCUCAUAGUCUACGGGGACGUUAUCUCCCGCUGAACAAACAUCAACGAAAAGCCUAAAAUAAUCUAGAAAAUGCAAGCGUCCAUGCAAAGUCUAAGACUUGAAUCUGGAUAGGCUGGUUGAUUGGCAAAACACAUUUAUAGAUGAUGUUGCAACGCAAAGUUACAACUCUUAAGAGCAUCUCCAACAGCCGCGCUAAAUAAGCGCCGCGCUGCAAAUUUGUCCUUUUUAGCGAGCGCGCAAUCGAUAAUUGGUUUCCAGCGGACGCGCAAUAAGCGCGCGCGUGGCAUAUAGAGUACAUCGCGCGGUCCGAAUCGCCAUCGCGCGCUGUGUAUUUGGUGCGCCCGCUUCCGCGCGUCGCACACUCGAGCGCUCGCGCCGCGCCACCUUCGCCCCGCCCCGCGCAGCCGCCGGCGAAUUGACCUGAUGGACGCCCGCGCCGGCACCCCCCUCACCCCUUCCUACACCCGCGAUCCCUCCGCCACUGCAAACCCAAGCGCGGGGAGUCUCCGCCGGUGCUCCUCCAAGCACCGGUAUCGCGCGCGGCCUUUUCAUGCCGCCACGGAUGACCUUGGCGGCGGGUGGCGUCUCGCCGGCGCCCGCCGUGAAGCCACGUGACCCCCUCUCGAAGCUCCCAAAUGCGGCGCGGCCGAAGAAGGGCAAGGUAUCCGCGAAGAAGAACAAGGCGGCGGACAUCUGCGGCUCCUCUAAGCCGUCGAGGAAGAAGCUUGCAGGGCGUGCGACGGACACGGUGGCCAACGAAGCGCCAGCGAGCUCACUUGUUGAGCCGGCAACCGAUGCGCAUAAGGUGUUCGAGGAAAUGCCCCAAAGGUAUAAAAUUCCGCCAACUUUUUGUUGUUGUUAUUUUUGCAUACAUAUAGAUAGCUUAUUUGCUUCGUUGUAUAUACUUUGUAGUUUCAACGAUGAGGCAUAUAUGUCAACUAUGGGGGUUGGCUCCAACAAUUCUCAUUGGUCUCAAACCAAUGACAUGCAUUUCGAUGACCAUGAGUUCGAGGUGGACGAGGAUGGUGAGGGCAUUGUCGACACAACGAAAGGAAGAGGAGGCAACUACACCAAUGAUGAAGACGUCUUGCUAUGCAAUACUUGGUUGCAAGUGUCUAGAGAUCCAUCCGUUGGAGGUGAUCAAAGUAGAGAUGCAUAGUGGAACCGGAUGAAGGAGCACUUUGAUCUACACAACAAGAGUGGAGUUGACUACUCGGAUCGAUCUCUUCGCUCCCGGUGGUCGAGAAUCAACCGAGAUUGUCAAAAGUGGGCGGCCACACAAAAGGCGGUUGACAAGCUGAACCCAAGUGGCACUAAUGAUAUAGAUAGGGUAAGUGCCAUUUCAUCCAUGUUCAUCAUGCUUUUCCUUGGUGUUUGUAGUGCUAACUUGUUCUGUUUUUUUGUAGUUCAAUAUUGCACAAAACUUGUUCAAAGGAGAGGAGAAGAAGAGCAAGAAAGGGAAGAUCAAGAAAGGGAGACCAUUUACCUUGCCUCAUUGCUAUGAAGCAUUGAAGGAUGAUGAGAAAUGGAAGAAGCGUGAUGAUAUCAAUGAUGUUGAUGAGAGCAACAAACGCAAGCGAACAAUUGAGUUGGAUGAUGAUGAUGAGGAGGCAUCAAGUGAUGACGGCAAGAGAAGCCCUACACCAAACUCGGUUUCAUACUUGAAGCCAGAACGACCAGAUGGGUGCAAGAAAGACGCAGAAGAAAAGAAGAAGAGGAAAGGAGAUGAUGAGCUAAAAAAUUCUAUGGAAGCUAUUGUGAAGGCAAGAAAAGAAGCGAACAAGGUGAGGAAGAUGGCAAGGAACCAAGAUGCCACGGCUGAGGAGAGGAGGUUGGCGGCCGAGGAGAGGAGGGUGGCGACCGAGGAGAGGAAGGUGGCAUUGAAGGAUAGGAAGGUGGGCAUGGAGGAGCGAUCUAGGUUAUUGGAUUGGGAGAAGUACUUGUUCUUCAUGGACACAUCUAUCCUCAAUGAGGCACAAAAGGAGUAUGUCAAUCUUUCCCAUGAAGAAGUCUUGAUCCAAAAAAGAGCCAUGAUUCGCGGCAUGGGUAGCGGUGGCAUUGGCGGCAUGGGAGGCAUCGGUGGCUUCGGAGCUACCAUGGGCGGCAUGGGUGCCAUGGGUGGCUUUGGAGCUACCAUGGAGACCAUGGGAGGCAUGGGUGGCUUCGGAGCACCUCCGGGCGGCAUGGGCGGCAUGGGAGGCAUGAGUUUUGCGUCUCUCAUGGGAGGCAUGGGAGCACCUCCGGGUGGCAUGGGUGGAAUGUCUUAUGGUGUGCCUCACACACCUUCGCAUGAUGCCGUUGAAGAUUUUGCCAACACCUUCCGAGCUUCACAUGAUGAUGCGGCGCGCGACAAUGAAGAGGAGAAGGAAGAAUUGUCUUCGGAUGAUGAAUCGGAGGAAGAGGAAGAUGAAGACGAGGACGAGGCUUGAUUGUUGAUGGGCCAUUCGUUGGUGUGAACUUUUGUGUCAUGAACUUGGUUCAGAUUUUGAACUUGGUUGGAUGAUCUUGUGGGCAUGAAUUUGAACUUGUGGGCAUGAACUUGUUUGUGUGAUUUAAAUUAUGCCAUGUCUUUGUUUUGAUGUUUGAAAUUCUUUUCGUGUCCAAAAUGCUACAUAUGGCAACGCCGGCUGCUCGCGCGCGCUGCAUUUUGCGCGCGUGCUGGAGCUACGUGUGCGCGCUAAAGUUUACAGCGGACGCUGGAGCCAGCGCUCCCCAUCGCGCCGAAACAGGUGAUCGGCGCGCUGCAAAUGCAUUUUUAGCGCGCCGCAUGUUGGGCGGCUGUUGGAGAUGCUCUCAGCAUCACCGAGCAAAUUUACAAAUAUCUUAGGCACUUCUUCUAUAUGGUAUUUGGGCAAGAAAAUAAAGGAACUGCUUUUUGCUUAGCAUAAAGUAUGUAGGCCAAAAUCCCAAGGUGGAUUAUGCAUUCAUGAUGUGGCUCUCCGAAAUAAAACUCUCUGGAAAUAAAACCUUCACAAAAUUUUCAACAAGGAGGAUCUUCCAUGGGUGAUACUUACUUGAGAAGCCUAUUAUAACAAAUUAUCUUCCAACUGACAGACUGGAAUGGUCUUACUUGUGGAGAACUCAUCUCAAACUAUUAAGUGAAUUUAAAAAGCAAGAACUUGUAGUAUUGUGUCGGGGGAUUCAAUCAUGUUUUGGUAUGAUCAAUGGUAGGAGAAACCUCUCUCAUAGAAAUAUCCUGAGAUACUCUUUGGUUGAUGUGAACAAUUGAAUUGUCUUGGUUGAGCACUUUCAUACACCAUAAUCUAUUCAGGCUUAUAGCUACUUUAAUGAAAUUAAGAAGAAGUUUCAAUAUAUCACCCCCUCCACACAUCUUGAUAAAUGGACAUAUAAAUGGAAGGGUCAUGGCUACUCUUCAAUGGAGAUGUACAAAAUGGAUGGUUGGCAAUGAGAAAGCCCACAUUGUUUUCCAAAUGCAUCGGGAAAUGUGGUGCUAGAUAAAGCACAAGACUUUCGUUUGUCUCCUUUUGCAUGAUAGAAUCAACACAAGGAACCUCUCAAAAGGAAAUCAAUGCACAUUAAUUGGUAUACAUUGUGUCUUUUGCCAUGAAAACUCUAAAGAGACAACCUUACAUCUUUUCUGGGAUUUUACAUUAGUUCAAAAAAUUUGGGACUCUAUUCUCCCCAACUAUCAGAAAGGUAUUUCCAUUGCUGGAUUUCAAAGAGACCCCUUAGAAAAUUUCUUUGGAUGUCAUAACUCUGGGGUGUUGGAAUUUUUGGAGUAAAAGAAAUGGCAAGAUAUUCAGAAUGGAAGUGCCUACACUUAGUACCCGAAAAUAUCUUUUAAAGCAGAAUCUUCUCCACCUUCAACAUGGAAUCAAAAGGAAGAAUGUUGAUUGCUUAUAGAGAUGGAUUGUCACUCAUCUUGAAUAAGGUUGUCAUAGUACAGAUGCAUCCUUAUUAUUGAUCAUGUUUUCCAAAACUGGAAUAGGAUAAUUGUCUCCUUUUAUUAUCGGUUCCUCCUUUCUAAUUAUUUUCGUACAUAUUCAUAUUAUGUUUUUAAGCUUCAAAAAAAGGAGGCAAGAGAAAAAUAUGCUUGGACAAUGAUGUUGUAUUGCUUAUCACUAUUCAUUAUUGAAUUUUCUUUUUGCAUACCACCCAAAUGAAAAAAGAAUUGAUUUUCAAUUUAAAGUUUACAUGUUUGUAGAAUAUCCUCUUCAACAUAUCAUAUUUUCCCCCAAAAAAACAAAAACAUAGUUUUCAUGGGCCUUCCACCUAAUAUCCACUCUGAUGUGUAGAUACGUUUUCAUCGAGGUGAUAGAACUUUUGCGCAUGUAAAAAUGCAAAACCCUAGUAACCUUAUUCUUUUCUUAUACCCCUAGCAAUAAAUUGUGUCUUAAUGCUCAUUGCAUUGUGAAAAGGUGCUCCCGUGACCAAAUUGAUUAUGCUCCGCUAUUAGGCUUGCGACACAAAUUAACUCUUGUGAGUUCUAUUGACUACGUUUACAUAGCUAAAGAAGAGUUUGAUUGCUUUCAUUAAGUUUUCAUUUUCUCCUUUAAAUAUACCAUGAUAUUAAGGGAUUUUUGAGAGAUAAAUAUACUAUAAAGUGUAGAAACGGAAGUAAAUGCUCACAUCCAUGCAUGCACACUCACCCCAUGUGUAUGAGAGAAUAACGUUAUAAAGUCAGAAUAAAUCAAUAAAAAUAUAAGCAGCCAUGUCAAGUCUAGUAAUUGAAGGAAAGUUCAACCACAAGAAGCUUAGCCAGCUGAGCUAUGCAUAGUUUUUUUAGAUGGAGCUAUGCUCACCAUGCUAUCAUAAGAGUGUUAGGGCAUCUCCAAAGCGGACCCUCAAAUCUUCACUAUAUGUCCGGAUCGUUGUGUCCGGAUCACUUUUCCCAUCCAAUGAGAACCCUUAGAGCAUCUCCAAUACAAGAUGCAAAUUUGGAGAUGUAAAAAUUUACAUCUCCAAAAAGAGGCAACUCCACAAAUGAUGUAUAUUGAAGAUGUAAAAUAGGAACUCCAAUAGAAGAUGCAAACUGGUGAUGUAAAAAUCAACCGACGGCCGCGCGACUGUUGUUCAACUAUUGUACAGCCGUUGUUCAACCGCACAAAAUGAAAUAAAACAUCCGAAAAUCAAAGGAAAAAUUUCACAUGUCCACAAUAUCAAUUUAUAACAUAAUUCAUCAAAUUCACAAGAUCAAAUGGAACACAAAUAUAACAUAGUUUUGCACAAUACAACAUACAAAUAAUGAAACUAGGCGGCUCUUUCACCAUGCCAUUUCCAAUACUCCUCCAUCAAAUCCUUCUGAAGUUGAUCGGGCACAUCGGAGUCUGUAAUUUCAUUGUACACCUUCAUGAAACGUUUGAUUCGCUCCUCUUUUCUCAUUAGUCUAACCCGUAUGCCUGAUACGUCUGCAACGUAUCUAUAAUUUUCUCAUUCUUGGAUGUUUUACAUUCAUUUUAUAGAAAAUCUAUAUCAUUGUUUGGGACUAACCUAUUGACAUCGUGCCCAGUGCCAGUUGCUGUUUUUUUGCUUGUUUUUUACAUCGCAGUAUAUCAGUACCAAACGAAGUCCAAAUGCCAUGAAACUUUUUGAGAUUUUUUCUGCCUAGAAGACAACUUGGGAGCCAAGGAAGCACCAGAGAGGAGGCUUGUGGGGCCCACCACCCACCUGGGCGCGCCAGAGGCCCCUAGCGCGCCCUGAUGGGUGGUGGGGCCCAUAGAGGUCCUCUCCACUGCCUCUGAGCUCUAUAAAUACUCAAAUAUUCCAGAAACUCUAAGGGAGUCGACAAAACACAAUUCCAGUCGCCGCAAGUUCCAGAACCACAAGAUCCAAUCCAGAGCCCUAUUCCGGGACUUUGCGAGAGGGGAACACGAUACAGAGGGGUUCAUCAUCCUCAUUGGUGCUCCUCCAAUGAUGCGUGAGUAGUUCACAACAGACCUACGAGUCCGUAGGCAGUAGCUAGUGUUGGGAAACGUUGCAUGGAAAACAAAAAAAAUUCUACGCACACGCAAGAUCUAUCCAUGGAUAUGCAUAGUAACGAGAGGGGGAGAGUGUGUCUACGUACCCUCGUAGACCGUAAGCGGAAGUGUUUAGUAACACGGUUGAUGUAGUCGAACUUCUUCAUGCUACAACCAAUCAAGUACCAAACAUACAACACCUCUGAGUUCUGCACACGUUCAGCUCGGUGACGUCCUCCGCCUUCUUGAUCCAGCAAGACGGCGGGGUAGUGGAUGAGUUCCGACAGCACGAUGGCGUGGUGACGGUGAUGGUGAAGUGUUCUCCGCAAGGUUUCGCCUAAGCACUACGAAAAUAUGACCGAGGGACAAAUAUGGAGAGGGGUGCCGCACACGGCUAGAAUAAUGGUGUGAGUUGUGUGGCGCCCCCUCCCUCAUAUAUAUAUAUAGGUGGGGGGGGGGAGAGGUAGCCCCUAGGAUGCCCCAAGUGGCCGGCGGCUGCCCUAGGGCACCUGCCUAGCUGCGCUCCCUUUCCUUAUUUGAACAUGAGGGGGAAAGGAAAGGGAGAUGGCUGCCUUAGGGCGCCUCCCCUUUCCUUCCCUCCCUCCUUUGGUGCGUGGGAGGGGGUAGAGGGGCGCACAAGCCCCUUGUGGGCUGGUGUGCUCUUCACCUUUUGGCCCAUAAGGCCCAAUAACCUACCGGGGCUGCCCGGAAACCCCUUCCGGUGACCCGAUAAGUACCCGGUACCACCCGAAACACUACCGGUGUCCAAAUACCAUCGUCCUAUAUAUCAAUCUUUACCUCUCGACCAUUUCGAAACUCCUCGUCAUGUCCGUGAUCUCAUCCGGGACUCUGAAAAACAUUCGGUCACCAAAUCACAUAACUCAUAUAAUACUAUAUCGUCAUCAAACGUUAAGCAUGCGGACCCUACGGGUUCGAGAACUAUGUAGACAUGACCGAGACACCUCUUCGGUCAAUAACCAAUAGCGGAACCUGGAUGCCCAUAUUGGCUCCUACAUAUUCUACGAAGAUCUUUAUCGAUCGAACCGUUAUGACAACAUAUGUAAUUCCCUUUGUCCAUCGGUAUGUUACUUGCCCGAGAUUCAAUCGUCGGUAUCUCUAUACCUAGUUCAAUCUCGUUACCGGAAAGUCUCUUUACUCGUUCUGUAAUACAACAUCUCGUAACUAAAUCAUUUGUCAUUUUCUUGCAAGGCUUCUUAUGAUGUGUAUUACCGAGAGGGCCUAGAGAUACCUCUCCGAUACUCGGAGUGACAAAUCCUAAUCUUGAUCGAUGCCAACUCAGAAAACACCUUCGGAGAUACAUGUAGAGCAUCUUUAUGAUCACCCAGUUACGUUGUGAUGUUUCAUAGCACACAAGGCAUUCCUCCGAUAUUCGGGAGUUGCAUAAUCUCAUAGUCGAAUGAAUAUGUAUUUGAGAUGAAGAAAGCAAUAGCAAUAAACUGAACGAUCAUUAUGCUAAGCUAACAGAUGGGUCUUGUCCAUAAAAUGAUUCUCCUAAUGAUGUGAUCCCGUCAUCAAAUGACAACACAUGUCUAUGCUUAGGAAACCUUAACCAUCUAGGAGAGGCUUACUAGGGACAUGGUAUUUGUUUAUGUAUUCACACAUGUAUUUAAGUUUCCGAUCAAUACAAUUCUAGCAUGAAUAAUAAACCUUUAUCAUGAUUAAGGAAAUAUAAUAAUAACCAUUUUAUUAUUGCCUGUAGGGCAUAUUUCCAUCAGCUAGAUGGCUUCUUCUCUCUUUUUGAUUCUCAAUACAAUGUUCUCCUUGAUGUUCUUAGAGAUCUAUUUGAUGUAAUGACUUUUUGCGGAGUGUUUGUUGGGAUCCGAUGAAUUGUGAGUUUAUGAUUAGUUCUAUCCAUGAAUAUUAUUUGAUUCUUCUUUGAUCUCUUAUAUGCAUGAUUAUUAUAGCCUCGUAUUUCUUCUCCGAAAGUUUGGUUUGGUUUGGCCAACUAGAUUGAUUUUUCUUGCAAUGGGAAGGGGUGCUUUGACGGGUUCGAUCUUGCGAUGUCCUCACCCAGUGAUAGAAGGGGUAGCAAGGCCCACAUGUAUCAUUGCUAUUUAGGAUAAAAAGAUGGGGUCUAUUCCUACAUGAAUAGAUCUUGUCUACAUCAUGUCAUCGUUCUUAUUGCAUUACUCCGUUUCUCCAUGAACUUAAUACACUAGAUGCAUGCUAGAUAGCGGUCGAUGUGUGGAGUAAUAGUAGUAGAUGCAGGCAGGAGUAGGUCUACUAAUCUUGGUUGUGAUGCAUAUAUACAUGAUCAUUGCCUUGGAUAUCUGCAUAAUAUUUGCUCUUCUAUCAAUUUCCAAACAGUAAUUUGUUUACCCACCGUAUGCUAUUUUCUCGAGAGAAGCCACUAGUGAAAUCUACGGCUCCUGGAUCUAUUUUCUAUCAUAUUGUUUUCAGAUCUAUUAUUCCAAAAACCCCAAAAUACCUUGCUGCACUUUUUCCUUAUUUAUUUUAUUUUGUGUUUUUGUAAGAUCUAUUUAUCCAAUCGCACACAAUUUUAUCUAUCUCAAUACCGAGGAGGGAUUGACAACCCCUCUUACGCGUUGGGUUGCAAGUAUUUGUUGUUUGUGUGCAGGAUCCGUUUACAUAGUGUUGCUUGGUUCUCCUACUGGAUUGAUAAACGUGGUUUCGUAACUGAGGGAAAUACUUACCAUUGUUGUGCUGCAUCAUCCUCUCCUCUUCGAGGAAAUACCAAUGUAGAUACAAGCAAUCAUGAAGAAUUUCUAGCGCCGUUGCCGGGGAGACAUCAUCAUCUAUCAGGUUCCUAAUCACAAAUCUCAUCUCCUUGCAAUUUACAUUAUUUGCCAUUUGCCUCUCGUUUUCAUCUUCCCCACUUCUAAAACGUUUUUGCGAAAAGCACAAAACAAUUUGCCUUUUUAUUUUCCUUCUUUUUGUUUUUUUGCUCGUUUGAUAUCUUUGCUUGCGUGCCAUGUGCCUUCUAGUUGCUCGCAUCUUACCUUGCUCAAAAUUUAUUGAUAUGGAUCCUCAUCCACUUGCUAAUCUUUUCAAAAGAUCUGAUUAUGUUGAACCAAUUGCUAGUGAGUUGAGUGCUCUUGAUUUUCUUUAUGAAGUUUUUCUUGAAAUUCGUGAAUCUGAAAAUUGUGAUAAGUGUUAAAAGAAGAAAUUUAUAAGGUGAUUCACAAUAGCUCCUCGAAUGAAAAACAUGAUUGCAAUGAUAUUAUUAUAAAUUCUAUUAAUGUCAAUCGUGUUAGUGAUAUGCAAAACCCCAAGCUUGGGGAUGAUAAUUUUGUUAUGUCUACUACUUAUUGCAAUGAUCAUGAUAGGGGUGAUAAUAUUUCUUAUGAUCUUGAAAAUUUAUUUAAGCCUCAUGAUGAAUAUGAUAUUGAUAGUAAUGUUUGCAAUAAUAUUGAAGGUGGGUUUGGAAGAGUGUCAACUCUAGGUAAUAAUGGUCCCACUACUUUGGAGAUUGAUCAAUCUUAUGAAAUUUUUGAUAAAAGUUGGCUUGGAGAGGUCAUGACUUUAUUUGAUGAUAAUCCCACUAUUUUGGAAGAGUGUCAACUUUGCAUGCAUGUGGAUCAUGAAGAGAAUAUUUUAUGUGAUAGUUAUACUGUUGAAUUUGAUUAUGAUUCUACAUGCAAUUAUUAUGAGAGAGGAAAAUAUGGUCGUAGAAAUUUUCAUGUUACUAAAUCACCUCUUGUUAUGUAGAUCGUCAAUGUUUUAUUCCUCUCCCUUGCAUAUGCUAGAUAUUUUUUGUCUUGAUAAUUUGUUUGCCUAUAAAAUGCCUAUGCAUAGGAAGUAUAUUAGGCUUAAACUUGUUUUUCACAUGCUACAUGAUGCUCUCUUCAUGCUUCAAUUACUAUCCUUGAUGUGAGCAUCAUUGAAAUUUUAAGCCUAUCUUAAUGGCUAUAACGAUAGCGCUUGUUGGGAGGCAACCCUAUGAAUAAAAUGUAUUUUGUCUUUUUAUUUCUGUUCUUGAGUGUUUGCACAAUUAUGCUACUGUUAUGAUUGUGUUUUUAUGUUUUAAUUAGUGUUUGUGAUGAGUAAAUACUUUCGGAUCAUGUUGGGUGAUAGUUGAUUUGAUCUUGUUGGAAAAAAUAAACUUUUGCGUCCAGUAGAAGAAUUGUUAAAAUUCACAGAAGCUACUAAAGCUUCUGAUUUUUUACACAAGAUUGAUGUACAAAUUUCCUAUGUUGUCCUAAUUUUUCAGAAUUUUUGGAGUUACAUAAGUAUGAGUAAAAUUCGCGUCUUUACAGACUGUUAUGUUUUUGACAGAUUCUGCUUUCUUUGCAAUGUGUGCUUAUUUUGAUGAUUCUAUGGAUUGUAUCAGGGGGUAUAAGCCAUGGUAAAGUUAGAAUAAAGUUGGUAUAAUGCAAUAAGAAAAUAUGAAUGGGUUUGCGACAGUACUUAUUGUAGAGAUUGGUUUUCUUAUACUAACGGAUCUCACAAAGGUUUUGUUGAGGUUUGUGUGAUUGAAGUUUUCAAGUUUUGGGUGAGAUCACGAUGGAUGAAGGAAUAAGGAGUGUCAAGAGCCUAAGCUUGGGGAUGCCCCAUGGCACCCCAAGGUAAUAUUCAAGGAGAAAGAAGCAACUAAGCUUGGGGAUGCCCCGGAAGGCAUCCCCUCUUUCUUCUAGCGACCAUCGGUAAAUUUACUUGGAGCUACAUUUUUAUUCGUCACAUAUCAUGAGUUUUGCUUGGAGUGUCUUGUAUUAUAUGAGUCUUUGCUGGAUUUGAUUUUUAGUUUAUCGCAAUCAUCCUUGCUGGAUACACCUUUUGAGAAAGCCAUAAUGAUGCUAUGAUUUUUUAGAAUUGCUCUAUGUGCUUCACUUAAUUUUUUUGAGCUAUGGAAUUGCUCUAGUGCUUCACUUAUAUCUUUUUGAGCACGGUGGUGCUUUAAUUUUUGAAGGAAUAUUCUCUCAUGAUUCACUUAGAUUAAUUUGAGAGUUAGUAAAAUUUUGAAGAAAUUCUCGCAUGCUUCACUUAUAUUAUUUUGAGAGAUGAUGAAAAAUUAUUUAUGGUCAGGUUCUUCACUUAAAUUUGUUUGAGAGCUUGUUAUAAGCAAUGGUAAUAUAUGAAACUAUUCCCGAAGUGAUAGAAUAUCCAAGAGGGAUAUAAUAAAAACUUUCAUGAAAGAUCAUUGGACAAAAUAAACUUGAUUCUUUGUAAUAGUUUUGAGAUAUGUUGAUAGUAAUAUGCGAGUCAUGUUGGUGAGUAAUUAUGCUUUAGUAAGCAUAUUGUUAUUAAGGUUUGUGAUUCCCUAUGCAAGAACGAAAGUCAAUAGUUAUGCAAUGAAAUUACAUCCUACUUGUGGUGCAUUAUUCGGUGUUAGUUAUGCUUAAUGCUCGUUUUUGAGAAUUUUUGUUUCUUGGUUGGUUGCUUCUCAAUCUAUUUGCUAGCCUCCAUUCGUACAAUGUGGAAAUACUACUUGUGCAUCCAAAUUCCUUAAACCCACUUAUGCCAUAUGAGUCCACCACACCUACCUAUAUGCAGUAUUUCCGUGCCGUUCCAAGUAAAUUUGUAUGUGCCAACUCUAAUUUUCAAAAUGAAUUACAUUUUUGUGUGCCCGUACCACUUAUGCUUUGUCUUCUGCUUGAUUGGAUGCUAUGUAUUUGGUUGUCUUGCAAGUACAUUCAAUGUACUGACCUGGCGUGUCAUGCCAGUUUUGUAGGUCAUACCCGAAUCGUUCGCUUGAUCCGUCGUGCUAGGCUGUAACCUUGCCAGUCCUGUGAGUUGUCGAGCCCAGCCAGAGUUGAUGAGCCGCCAAACCAAGACUUCCGCCGCCAUUUUAAUAGACUUCCGCUGUCAUUUAAUAGCCUUAGGGCUAUGCCAGAUAAUUGUAUUCAUCAAUGAUGUAAUUUCAUAUACAUGUAUUUGAUGAAUAUUUUUGUACCUGGAAUCCUGUAUUAUGGACCUGUCGUGCGUCAGGUGUUAUCCUGGGCUGACGUGCGAAGGCCCCCUGCUCCAUGCGGAUCGGGGUGCCACAGGGCAUGGCCCUAAGGGAUUUGACCCAUCCCUGCAUACGGCAUGGCCACUGUUAAUCAACAGGUGGCGCAGUCGGGACCGACACGUACUCACCCCGCUGUCCCCGCCUAGUUAUCCGUGGAACAAAUAGCAACCAUAUCCUUUCUGGUCGGCCACACCGCUCACCCUUCGCCAUUAAGGGAAAGGGGCCACACCAUGCGGGCAUGUCUCGCAUAGCUGCCUAUAAAAGCCCCCUUUCCGCUCGCCGUACCGCUCACCCCUCAGUCAACCAUGUCCCUGCAGAGAAGCCUAGCUAGUAGCACUCCAUCCAUGACUGGCACCUUCAAAGCUCCCAAGUUUCACACCCGCACCGGUGCCGUCAACCACCCCGGCUUUCCACCCCUUCUUGCUGAGAUGCUCACCAAAGCCUUUGGCUGUAAGGCUAGCCCCGAUUACCUGGUGUUCCAAUCAUCACCCGUCCCUCACCUUCAUCGCUUCGAUGCAAGAGUGUGCAUCAGCCUAGCAGCGGAUGGCCAACCGUUGGUUUUUCAGGGUAGAGCUGUGCCUACCUCUGAUUUAGCCAUUCAGGCCGCUGCUGUGGAGGCUAUGCUUCACCUCCGAACCAGGUACCCGCAUAUGGCAGCAAGGUGUGAUUUCUGCUUCUACCCUAUUGUGGCAGAGGUAGGAAUGCAGCCUUCUCCCACUACCCAAGGAGAUGACCCUGCAAUCGCUCGCCUGGUGCAAUAUAUUACCGUCCAGGGGAUGAUGAUUGCCAAGAUGCUUGCCGAGUUUAGAACUCUGGACAACGAUGCGGUGCGAGUCGUCAAGGAAGCUUACCGUGAGGCUCGUAAAUUCGCGUCUCAAGUCAUUUGUCCAACGCCAUCCGAACCAGUGCUACCCUCUCAGCCUGUGUUCUGGCCUAGCCCAACAUUGUCACCCUCAACAAGGCUCUUUUACAGAUCCACCAGCAGCAUUUGCCCGAAUCAAUUUCAGCCACACCCCCAGCAGCCGAACCCCAACCCAUAGUAGAGUCGGAUGAUGAAGAUGGAGAUUGGCUCAGUCUUCGUCCUCCCGGAGAGCCCCAGUAAGGCAAAUCCUCUGCAUGACCUCAGUCAAGCAGUAAGAUGAUCAGUCUGUCGGUUCAUCCUCGAUAUGAGGGUAGCACUAUGUAUCCCUAGAUGAGUUGCUUCGUUUAGCGUGUAGCGCGUUCGUGUUCUGUUGUCUGCUGGUACUGUUGUAGUCCGUAUGCUGUGUUCUAUGUAUGUUUUUGUGCUUUUGUUUCUGUGUUGUUUUUGCUUGUCUCUCUGUCAAGCAGAAAUGUUUGACAGGGUUGACACUGUGUUGCUAACAAGAUUUUAAUUAGUAGAUCACAUACACUAAAUUAACCCUAACUCGUCUCGAGUCCAUAAUAAAAUGCGCGCUGGUGUAGGUAUAUGUAUACCAGGAGUACAUAUACCCACUAGCAUUAAAACACCGUAGAAUGAUUUGCCUGGUGUGUUUCUCCGUUGCAUGUUAUUGCAUCUGUCUGUUUGCUAGUUAAGAUUAUUCUGCAUACUGCACGCAUACCCGGUUCACCCACGAGUACAUUCGGGCAGUACACGGGGGAAUGCAAAGUCACAUAUCCCUAUCUAUCUGAGCAUACACCGUGUGCCGGAUUUUUCAAAUCCAGAGCCUCGCAGAGGCAGUUCCGUCUGGUAAUUCCUCGUCCCUAAUCCUUUUUCCCGAUUUCAUUUCCGGAGGAACACUGCCAAUUUUAUUUCACUCGAUCCAGUACAUCUACCCCGAUACAGGUUUCACCCUUGAUUCUACCUCGACACCUACGUUUCGUGGAGGAAUCUGUGAUUUUUUUUUCUCGGUGCCCCCAACUCGUUUGAAUUUAACCAAAGGGUUAAAAAUUAACCCCGAGGUUUUUCUCCGGAGUUGUUAUUCUUUCAUUUGUGUUGUAACCCUAGGAAUCUCGAGGACGAGAUUUCUUUUUAAGGGGGGAAGAGUUGUAACAGCCCCAAAAUUGGGUUAUCAAUUUUUGUGCUAUUAUUCUCUCCUGGCACUCAUUUUCAAAAUUUUCUCCUGAGUUUGCUGGAUGACCCUGAGAAAUUUUUGUCAUUUCCAACCUUUCAAAAUCCUGCUCAUGUCUUUUUCAGUGGGCAAGACCUCAUUUGCAUCAGCUCAAUUCCUCUUAAACCCUAAUUCCAAAUUUUUGGAAUUUGGAUAUGCCCUUGUGAUUACAAAGGAGCCACCAUUUUCCUUGUUCUGUUGAUCCUCCCAAUUGAUCCCAGAGAUCAUCCUAUCUUUCUUAACCUUGGAUAUGCAAAAAUAUUGCUAAGUCCAAUGCAAUAUUUUUGAAUUAUGAUUUAUUCCUUUUCUUGCCUUUUUGAGGAAUAAAAUCCAAAGGCAUAGCUAGACAUCUCCUAAAUUCAUGAGAAUUGGUGGAGUUGAUACUUAUGCCUAAUCCAAGCUCUGGCAAGUAUAUUGGCCAUAAUUAAAUAAGGAAAAUUGCCUUUUCCUAUUUAAUGCCAAUAUUGCAUUUCUGCCAAUUUCCAAAGGAACUACUAUUUUUAUAGUAGAGAAAAUUCCCACAUAAAUUGUGGAGCUUGUCCUUGCUAUAUAAUCACUAGUUCCAUCCUAAUAUCAUGAUUCCACAGUUCAAAAUUUGGCACAUGAUCCAAUGCAAGUUUCUGCCUUCUCUGAAAUUUUGCAAAGGAAGUGCUUUAUUGCUAAGUCCAAUUAAGCUGCAAUUUGGCAGGGUGUUUAACAUUGUUAAAUAACCCAUGUAUACCAAAUAUGAGCUCAAUCCAUUGACCCUAGCUCCCUAUGCAAUUUUCCAAAUUUUUUGACCAGAACACAAGUUUGUGAAGGAAGUACCUUCAUAGUGUUUCCAAAUGGGAUGAAACUUUUCCAUCCUCUCUAGUAUCUCAAAUCAUUAUCCUCCACCCAAAUUCAGUUCAUUUCAUUUAACUAUGUGAGCACAGGAGCAAUUCUUGUUUUUUGUCCAAAUUUUCAGUUUGUGAAGCAAGUGUAUUCUAUCUUGCUCCAUUAUGGCUGAUAAUGUUUCCAGGCCUUCUCCUACUCAUAUAACCUAUCUCCACAAGAUUGUGGCUCAUUUCACUUGACCAAUUGCCCUGAGGAUUUUUCCUGAAGUUUUUGGACAGAAAUGAUAACUGUGAAGGAAGUACCAUUUUGGUUAGUCCAUUUGGUAUGAACUUUUUACAGCAUCAUGGUAUGUUCAAAUCAUCAGGCUUUGACAAGUUAUAGCCCAAUCCAUCACCCCUAGUGAGUGUUUCAUCAUGAUUAAGUUUCUUGGUCAGUUUUGGUGGUUGUACAACAACUAUGGUAAAUAGUUCUCCAUUUUACCUCAAAACUCCCAGGACCGUAGUCCUUUCUACCCCAAGCCUCCCGGACAUCAAUUUUACCAUUUACCCUCUCUGGUUUAAUCUCUAGGAUGUUGCUAAGGUUGCAACAGCAAACUUGUGGAGCUUGUUUCACUCAUCUCCAUUUGUCUCUGCCCGAUCUUUCACCACGGUAACACUCCACGCUGGAAGGACUACGCGGUAGACAUGAAUUUACACCAGUUAAAACCCCAGAGCGCGCCAUGCCAGUGGUGACUAUGAAGGCAGCCGGCCAAAACGGUGGUCUAGCCACUGUUCUCGUCGGCAGCGCUGCUCCGACCGUCUCUGGUCUCGCCAUUAAUGCCCACCAGUUCCCCCUCGGCGUCCUCUUCCGUCUGGACCUCUGGCCCCCUUCGUUUUCUUCUCCGGCGAGCCGUGCCAACGCUCGAACAGUGCGAGCCCGUGAGCUCGUCCUCUUCCUCGCCGGUGUCCGCUUCCUCCUCUUGUCCUCGAGCCUUGCUCGUCUCCGUGAGCCUCUGCUGCUCGUCUUGAUCCUCCCCGUCGUCUUCCCAUGGGCCUUGGCCGCGCCUGCCGACACUGCGCCGUCGCCGACGCGCGGACACGUCGCCCUCCGUGUGCCACCUCCUCCCCUCCCCCUCGAGCCCUCCCGCGGCUAUUUAAGCACGCCCCGAGCAUCCUCGCGGUCCACAACCCCCUCCCCGAGCCUCUCCCCGAGCUCAGAGCCCCUCUCUGACCCCAUCACCACCGUGGCCGCCUCCUCGGGCCUCCAUCGAUUCCGGCACUCUCGAGCCCUCCUCGCCGUUCCUCCACCACCAUUGCAACCUAUAGAUCCCACCAAGUCUUCCCGUAGCCUCGGCCCUUUCUCUCCCCUACCGGAGCACCUUGCUCCACCGGUGGCCGAAACUCCUCUCCGCCGCAGGCCUUGCUGCUCUCUCUGCAUCGCCUCUCGCCGUCAACGAAGACCACCUCUGGAUGCGCCUCCCUCCCCUGGUCAUCUGGGUAGGUCGCACGACCGCACCGUGGCCGGAAUCGCCGGCAGUCGCCGUCGGGGUGUCCUCCUCCCUCGGCCCGGCGCGUGCCCAAGCGUGAGGAAGAAGAAGCCAGGCCAGGCAGGCCCCCUUCCCGCGCGGCCCCACCUGUCGGCGAUCGUAGGGCGUGGCCCCGCUUGCCACGUCGGAUAAGUGGCGGCGCCACGCCGCGAAGUCGUUUUCCCCGCGCGAAAGCGCAUUUCUGGAAAGUGCGCUUUCAAUCUCAGAAAGCGUAUUUUUCCUCUCCUUCGGCCGGGAAUACGUUUCCCCCUCUGGAAGACGUAUUUUUAGAAAAGACACGUUCUGUUUAGACUACCAGGGACCUGUUUGUAGAAGUAUUUUUACAGACUAGUCCUUGAGUUUUAAACGUCCGUAUCUUUUUACCCGUAGCUCCGAAUCAGGUGAUUCCAAAGCCCACGUAUUUGUUUCGUCGAGCCCAUUCUGUUGAUAUCAUUUUCAUAAUAUUUUCACGUAGUGAAAAUGACCAUUUUGCCCUUGCCCGUAAACAGCCUCCUCCGAGAGAGAACUGUUUUCGGCAAAUCUUUCCGCGAUCGUUUCGCACUUCUUCCCGGAGUAUUUGCCGACCCCCAGGCAAGCCAACCUCUUAUCAUGAGCCCCGAACUUGCAUGUUGACUUUGCUUGCACCUUGUGUGUGUGUGUAGUUGCAGUUGUUUUAUAUCGUUUUCAUCGGCAGUUAUUUCUUUAUGCCUAUCUUGCAUGCUUGUGUUUCAUGAUACCUUUGCCAUGUUAAUUAGAAUGUUAUUAUUAAUAAUGCCAUGCCACUACUCUACUUUAUUUGCAUGUCAUCGUUAUAAACUGUUAUGAGGAUUGUAAUGCACCGUUGAUAUACUAUUGUCGUGUCCUUUAUGUUAUAGUUGUGCACUUGAGGAGUUCAAUAUUUUGUUCGUGCAUUUGUAUGCGGCAUGUUGCACUCAUGUUAAAUAUGUUCAUGAUGAUGGAGAAGGAAAUAAAAUGACUUAAUAAUAACAAACCUCCUCCGUCAUCGAUGGGAUCGAGUCAUAGUGCCGCCAAACCGAACUUUUUCAGUGCAGCCACAUUUGCCUUUUUGGGAAGGCCUUAAUGCGAUCUAUUAUCGUGCCUCUCGUCGGUGCCUCCAACUAGGGAAGGUUAUGGGCGUGCUUACCCUGAUCAGGUAAGCGGACAUAACCUUGUGUGCUAGUUUUUGAGAUUUUUGGUACCAGUCCCCGAGUGGGAGUGUCCCCGAGUGGGAGUUGACCACGACGGUGGUCGGGGUGUAUUUGGUAGACACGGGGCCACCCAGGUCCAGCCCGUUGGGGAUUGGGUCGGAGCGGCCGGGAGAGCGUCAUGGCAGUAGGUUGGUUUCGUCGGAAUGCCGUUGGUCCACCCGAAUGGGAUGACGAGGCCAUGGGUUCCGUGGUGUGGGUACAGUGUGCUACCUCUGCAGAGUGUAUAAAGUCUAUCGAUAGCAACAGUUCGUAGUAGGUCCCACUAUCAGGUCUUGAUCGAAAUGGAGGAUAAACCUGAAAUAAUUAAAUUGGUAAAUAAAUAUGUGAUAACAAAAAUAUGGUGACUUGGACUAUGAGAUAGUCCUGAGAAGUCACGACGAUGUUUUGAUAUGAUCAUGAGACGAGGUCUGGAUAAGUGUUGGUCAUGGUUGUGAUCGCCGGAAAGAUCACCGCUCGGUUGCGAGGCAACACGUUGGUAAGAGAGUCCGAGGGACUCGGUGCACAAGUUUGGUUGCAUUGCAUGAGUAAUAUGUUGCAUUUAAAAACCAAGGCAGAACAUAAGAUGGUUGCAUAAAGUUAACAUGCUAUGUCUGCAUUGGAUAUAUAUUCGGUAGUUUAUUUUCAGCAUAGUUUCAUGAUGCCAUGCCAUGCUUCGAUUGACAUGUUAAAUUAUGCCAUGAUUGAGAUGAUAUGCUUUGCCAUUGCCAUGUUAGAAGCAUGAUCUGAUAUGCCAUGUCAUUACCAAGUUAGUAGAUGUUAUGAUUUGGUUCAUGCUUAGUUGAAUUUUUAUCAUGCCAUGUUUAGUAAUUGAUAUGAGAUAGGUUGUUGCAUGCGCUUGGUUCUUGCUUUGUCUUCUGCUUGUUUGGAUGCUAUGUAUUUGGUUGUCUUGCAAAUACAUUCAAUGUACUGACCUGGCGUGUCAUGCCAAUUUUGUAGGUCAUACCCGAAUCGUUCGCUUGAUCCGUCGUGCUAGGCCGUAACCUUGCCAGUCCUGUGAGUUGUGGAGCCCAGCCAGAGUUGAUGAGCCGCCAAACCAAGACUUCCGCCGCCAUUUUAAUAGACUUUCGCUGUCAUUUAAUAGCCUUAGUGCUAUGCCAGAUAAUUGUAUUCAUCAAUGAUGUAAUCUCAUAUACAUGUAUUUGAUGAAUAUUUUUGUACCUGGAAUGCUGUAUUAUGGACCUGUCGUGCGUCAGGUGUUAUCCUGGGCUGACGUGCGAAGGCCCCCUGCUCCAUGCGGAUCGGGGUGCCACAUAGGGGGUGGCCAAUAUUUUUCCAUGCUAGAUGUGUUAUUCUCAAGAUGAGUGUUUAUUCACUUGUAAUUGCACGAGAGUCUGGCAGUAGUAGGGAUGCCCUGUCCCGAAAUGAAAAAGAAAAUUACUUUAUGUUGCUAAAUAGUAAAUUCCUUGGAAAGUGUUGGUAUGGAAGGCACCCGUGGAUACGGCUAGCCAUGGAUUGUGAAAGAAUGGUGGAAAAAGGAAUAAACUUUAUUUUAUGUUGGGGAACCGCCUAUGAUGUAUCUAGCAUGGAAAGUAUUGGGAAUUACUCGGUCGUUUUCGUUGACGGGAAAAGCAUGCCUCUCAGCUUUGAGCUCUGGCACCUCUACAAAUCUCGGCUUGCCUCUACGAAGGGCCUAUCUAUUUAUUUUAUGCAACUUUUAUUUUUAUUUGAGUCUCCAUCUUCUCUUAUAAAGCACCAACUAGGGAGCACUAUGAUUAUACUUUUGCAUUGGAUGUAGCUAAUAUUCGAGUGUGUUUCAUGAAUGGAUCAAUGAUUGAGUAUGAUGGGCUAGGGAUAACUUUCUUUAGUGUUGAUAUUGUUAAAGACAUGAUUGCUUGUUGAUAUGAUUGAGUAUUGAAGUCUUCAUGUCGAAUAUAUACUAUUGAUUUGAAUUAUCUAAAAGUCCAAAUGUCCAUGCUACAAGAGAAAAGAAUAUGUGAUGAACAUGUUAGGCAGCAUUCCAAAUCAAAAAAUUUGUUUUUGUCAUUUACCUACUCGAGGCGGAGCAGGAAUUAAGCUUGGAGAUGCUGAUACUUCUCCAACGUAUCUAUAAUUUUUUAUUGUUCCAUGAUGUUAUAUUUUCAUUCUUUGAUGUUUUACAUUCAUUGGAAAAGCAACUCUUAUCAUUUUUUGGGACUAACCUCUUGACAUAGUGCCCAGUGCCAGUUGCUGUUUUUUGCUUGUUUUUUACUUCACAGAAUAUCAGUACCAAACGAAGUCCAAAUGCCAUGAAACUUUUUGGAGAUUUUUUUUCUUCCCAUAAGACAACUUGGGAGCCAAGGAAGCACCAGAGGGGAGGCCCGCGGGGCCCACCACCCACCUUGGCGCGCCAGAGGCCCCCGGCGCGCCCUGAUGGGUGGUGGGCCCUAUGGAGGUCCUCUCCACCGCCUCUCAGCUCUAUAAAUACCCAAAUAUUCCAGAAACCCUAAGGGAGUCAACAAAACACAAUUCCAGCCGCCACAAGUUCUAGAACCACGAGAUCCAAUCUAGAGCCCUAUUCCGGCAUCUUGCCGGAGGGGAACACGAUCACGGAGGAGCUCAUCCUGCCCAUUGGUGCUCCUCCGAUGAUGUGUGAGUAGUUCACCAUAGACCUACGGGUCUGUAGGCUGUAGCUAGAUGUCUUCUUCUCUCUUUUUGAUUCUCAAUACAAUGUUCUCCUCGAUGUUCUUGGAGAUCUAUUUGAUGUAAUGACUUUUUGCGGUGUGUUUGUUGGGAUCCGAUGAAUUGUGAGUUUAUGAUCAGUUCUAUCCAUGAAUAUUAUUUGAGUCUUCUUUGAUAUCUUAUAUGCAUGAUUAUUAUAGCCUCGUAUUUCUUCUCCGAAACUUUGGUUUUGUUUGGUUGUGCCAACUAGAAUGUUUUUUCUUGCAAUGGGAAGAGGUGCUUUGUGAUGGGUUCGAUCUUGCGGUGUCGUCACCCAGUGACAGGAGGGGUAGCGAGGCACGCAUGUAUCAUUGCUAUUAAGAAUAAAAAGAUGGGGUCUAUUCCUACCUGAAUAGAUCUUGUCUACACCAUGUCAUCGUUCUUAUUGCAUUACUCCAUUUCUCCACGAACUUAAUACACUAGAUGCAUGCUGGAUAGCGGUCGAUGUGUGGAAUAAUAGUAGUAGAUGCAGGCAGGAGUUGGUCUACUAAUCUUGGACGUGAUGCCUAUAUACAUGAUCAUUGCCUUGGAUAUCGUCAUAAUUAUUUGCUCUUCUAUCAAUUGCCCAAUAGUAAUUUGUUUACUCAGCGUAUGCUAUUUUCUCGAGAGAAGCCACUAGUGAAAUCUACGGCCCCUGGGUCUAUUUUCUAUCAUAUUGUUUUCAUAUCUAUUAUUCCAAAAACCCAAAAAUACCUUGCUGCACUUUUUCUUUAUUUAUUUUAUUUUAUGUUUUUGUAAGAUCUAUUUAUCCAAUCUCAUACAAUUUUAUCUAUCUCAAUACCGAGGAGGGAUUGACAACCCCUCUUACGCGUUGGGUUGCAAGUAGUUUUUAUUUGUGUGCAAGAUACGUUUAUAAAGUGUUGCUUGGUUCUCCUAUUUGAUUGAUAACCUUGGUUUCAUAACUGAGGGAAAUAGUUACCGUUGUUCUGGUGCAUCAUCCUCUCCUAUUCGGGGAAAUACAAACGCAUAUACAAGCAAUCAAUGCCCAUCAAAUGAUAGAAUGUGUAACCUAAAUUUUGUCCACGCUCAUUGCUAAUUCUUGAGGUUGCGUUGGCUUUUCCCUUGAAGAGGAAAGGGUGAUGCAGCAAAGUAGAGAUAAGUAUUUCCCUCAGUUGAGAAUCAAGGUAUCAAUCCAGUAGGAGAUACUAGCAAGUCUCCAAUCUAUGCACCUGCACAAACAAUCAAACACUUGCACCCAACGCGAUAAAGGGGUUGUCAACCCCUUCACAGUCACUUGCAAAGGUGAGAUCUGAUAGAGAUAGAUAUAAAAGAUUACUAAAAUGUAAAACAAAAUAAAAGUAAAUAAAUUGCAACAAGGUAUUUUUUGGGUUUUUUGGUUUAUAGAUCUGAAAAUAUAUGAUGGAAAAUAGACCCGGGGACCAUAGGUUUCACUAGAGGCUUCUCUCUUGAAGGAAAAUAAUACAAUGGGUGAACAAAUUACUGUCGAGCAAUUGAUUGAAAAGCGCGAAGUUAUGAUGAUAUCCAAAUCAAUGGUUAUGCAUAUAGGCAUCACGUCUGUGUCAAGUAGACCGACUCCUGCCUGCAUCUACUACUAUUACUCCACACAUCGACCGCUAUCCAGCAUGCAUCUAGAGUACUAAGUUUAUAAAGAACAGAGUAAUGCCUUAAGUAAGAUGACAUGAUGUAGAGGGAUAAACUCAAGCAAUAUGAUGAAAACCCCAUCUUUUUACCCUUGAUGGCAACAAUACAAUACGUGUCUUUCUACCCCUACUUUGUCAUAGGGUGAAAUCACGCAAGAUUGAACCCAAAACAAAGCACCUCUCCCAUUGCAAGAGAAACCAAUCUAGUUGGCCAAACCAAACCAAUAAUUCGAAGAGAAAUACAAAGAUAUCAAAUCAUCCAUAUAAGAAUUCAGAGAAGAUUCAAAUAAUAUUCAUAAAAAAUCUGAUCAUAAAUCUAUUCAUCGGAUCUCGACAAACAAACCGCAAAAGAAGAUUACAUCGGAUAGAUCUCCAAGAACAUCGCGGAGAACAUUGAUUUGAAGAUCAAAGAGAGAGAAGAAGCCAUCUAGUUACUAGCUAUGGACCCGUAGGUCUGUGAUAAACUACUCAUGCUUCAUUGGAAGGCCAAUAGAGUUGAUGUACAGGCCCUCCGUGAUUGAAUCCCCCUCCGGCAAGAUGCCGGAAAAGGCCCCAAGAUGGGAUCUCAUCGGCACUGAAGGUUACGGCGGCGGAAAAGUAUUUUGGUGGGCGUUGUUGAUGGUUUUGGAAUAUUUGAGGAUUUAUAGAGCUGAGAGGGAGGUCGGUGGACUCCCAAGGGGCCCACAAGCCAGGGGUGCGCCCUCGAGGCUUGUGGAGUCCUCGGGACUCUUCUGACUUGGCCUCCAAGUUCCGUGGAUGUCUUCUGGUCUAAGAAAAAUCACCGCGAAAGUUAUAUUCCGUUUGGACUCUGUUUGAUAUUCCUUUUCUGUAAAACUCAAAAACAAGGAAAAAACAGAAACUGAUACUGGGAUCUAGGUUAAUAGGUUAGUCCCAAAAAUAAUAUAAAAUACCAUAUUAAUGCAUAUAAAACAUCCAAAACAGAUAAUAUAAUAGCAUGGAACAAUAAAAAAUUAUAGAUACGUUGGAGACGUAUCAAGCAUCCCCAAGCUUAAUUCUUACUCGUCCUCGAGUAGGUAAAUGAUGAAAACAAAUUUUUUGAUGUGGAAUGCUACCUAACAUAUUUAUCCAAGUAAUUUUCUUUAUUGUGGCAUGAAUAUUCAGAUCCAUAAGAUUCAAAACAGAAGUUUAAUAUUGACAUAAAAACAAUAAUACUUCAAGCAUACUAAUAAAACAAUCGUGUCUUCUCAAAAUAAUAUGGUCAAAGAAAGUUAUCCCUAUGAAAUCAUAUAGUCUGGCUAUGCUUCAUCUUCAUCACAUAAAGUUUUAUGUCAUGCACAACCCUAAUUACAAGCCAAGCAAUUGUUUCAUACUUUUGAUGUUCUCAAACUUUUUCAACUUUCACGCAAUACAUGAGCGUGAGCCAUGGAUAUAGCACUAUAGGUGGAAUAGAGUAUGGUGGUUGUGGAGAAGACAAAAAGGAGGAGAUAGUCUCACAUCAACUAGGCAUACCAACAGGCUAUGGAGAUGCCUAUCAAUAGAUAUCAUUGUGAGUGAGUAGGGAUUGCCAUACAACGGAUGCACUUUAGAGCUAUAAGUUUAUGAAAGCUCAAAAAGAAACUAAGUGGGUGUGCAUCCAACUCGCUUGCUCAUGAAGACCUAGGGAAAUUUUGAGGAAGCCCAUCAUUGGAGUAUACAAGCCAAGUUCUAUAAUGAAAAAUUCCCAAUAGUAUAUGAAAGUGAUAACAUAUGAGACUCUCUAUCAUGAAGAUCAUGGUGCUACUUUGAAGCACAAGUGUGGAAAAGGAUAGUAACAUUGUCCCUUCUCUCUUUUCUCUCAAUUUUUUUAAUCUUUGGGCACUUUGUCCUCUUUUUUUCUAUUUUUUAUAUGGGCAUAUUUGGCCUCUUUUAUUUUGUAAAGUCCGGAGACUCAUCCCAAUUUGUGAGGGAAUCAUAGCUUCCAUCAUCCUUUCCUCACAUGGGACAAUGCUCUAAUAAUGAUGAUCAUGACAGUUUUAUUUACUUACAACUCAAGAAUUACAACUCAAAACUUAGAACAAAACCGAACGGUGGAGGUUGCAUGGCAAUAUAUCUCUGAAUGGCUAUGGAAAUGCCAUAAUAGGUAGGUAUGGUGGCUGUUUUGAGGAAGGGUACAUGGUGGGUGUUGUGCACCGGCGAAAGUUGCGCGGUACUAUAGAGGCUAGCAAUGGUGGAAGGGUGAGAGUGCGUAUAAUCCAUGGACUCAACAUUAGUCAUAAAGAACUCACAUACUUAUUGUAAAACUCUAUUAGUCAUCAAAACAAAGUACUACAUGCAUGCUCCUAGGGGGAUAGAUUGGUAGGAAAAGACCAUCGCUCGCCCCCGACCGCCACUGAUUAGAAAGACAAUCAAUAAAUAAAUCAUGCUCCGACUUCAUAACAUAACGGUUCACCAUACGUGCAUGCUACAAGAAUCACAAACUUUAACACAAGUAUUUCUACCAAUCCACAGUUACUCACUAGCAUGACUCUAAUAUCACCAUCUUUAUAUCUCAAAACAAUAAUAAGGAAUCAAACUUCUCAUAGUAUUCAAUGCUCUUUAUAUGAAAGUUUUUAUUUUAUCCCUCUUGGAUGCCCAUCAUAUUAGGAUUAAAUCCAUAAGUAGUCCUCAUAAUAGAUUCAUAAGGCAACUUAAUUUUCUUUCUUGGGAAGUGUUCCAUGCCCUUCCUUAAAGAAAAUUGAAAUCUAAUGUUUCCUUCUUUCGUAUCAAUAAUUGCACCAGUCGUUCUAAGGAAAGGUCUACCAAGAAUAAUAGGGCAAAUAGGAUUGCAAUCUAUAUCAAGCACAAUAAAAUAUAUGGGCACAUAAUUCCUAUUUGCAACAAUAAUAACAUCAUUAAUUCUUCCCAUAGGUUUCUUAAUAUUAGAACCUGCGAGAUGCAAAUUUAAAGAACAAUCAUCAAAUUCACGAAAACCUAGCACAUCAUAUAAAGUUUUUAGAAUCGUGGAAACGCUAGCACCCAAAUCAAACAAAGCAUGGCACUCAUAAUCUUUAAUUUUAAUCGUAAUAGUAGGUUCCCACUCAUCAGAAAGCUUUCAAGGGAUAGAAACUUCCAACUCAAGUUUUUCUUCAAAAGAUUUCAUCAUAGCAUCAACAAUAUGUUUAGUAAAAGCUUUAUUUUGAUUAUAAGCAUGAGGAGAAUUCAACAUGGAUUACAACAAGGAAAUACAAUCUAUCAAAGAACAAUUAUCAUAAUUAAAUUUCUUGAAAUCCAAAAGAGUGGGUUCAUCGCUACUUAAAGUUUUGUCCCCUCCAAUCCCACUUUUAUCAAUUUUUGAUUCAAGAUCUAUAAACUCCGAAUCAUUGGGACGCCUUUUAACUCAAGUUGACUCAUAUUCAGUCCCAUAUUUAUCAACAUUUAUAUUAGAAAAAAUAUAUUCAAUAGUCACUUCAAUCACUUUAAGAUCUUCAUCAUUAUUUUCACGAACACUAGAAGAACACGCUUUUACAAACCAAUCUUGCUUCACGCACAUCCUAGCGGUUCUUUCUUUGCACUCAUCAAUAGAAAUUUUAGUAGAUUUUAGAAAUUCAUUAAUAUCAUGCUUGUAUGGAAUAGAUCUGAUUUUUGAAGAAUCACUCUCAAGAGAAAUUAUAUCCACGUCCUAGCCAAAUCAUCAAUCUUAAGCAAAUUUUCUUCAACCAUAGCAUUGAAAUUCUUUUGAGAACUAAUGAAAUCUUUAAUAUUGUUCUCAAGAUCAGAGUGCAUCUUAUUAUAAUUUCCAUAAGAAUUGUUGUAAGAACUACCAUAAUUAUUAUAGGAAUUACUAGGAAACGGCCUAGGAUUAAAAUUACCUAUAUACGUGUUAUUAUCAAAAUUGUUCCUACCAACAAAAUUCACAUCCAUAGAUUCAUUAUUAUUCUCAAUCAAAGUAGACAAAGGCAUAUCAUUAGGAUCAAUAGGAGGACUCUUACUAGCAAAAAAUUUCAUAAGUUCAUCCAUCUUUCCACUCAAAACAUUGAUUUCUUCAAUCACAUGCACAUUUUUUACUAGUAGAGGAUCUAUUGGUAUGCCAUUGAGAGUAAUUAGCCAUGAUAUUAUCUUGGAGUUUAGUAGCUUCUCCUAAUGUGAUUUCCAUAAAAGCACCUCCCUCCGCCGAAUCUAAAAGAUUUCUAGAAGCAAAAUUCAAUCCGGCAUAAAAAUUUUGUAUGAUCAUCCAUAAACUUAAACCAUGAGUAGGGCAAUUUCGUACCAUCAAUUUCAUCCUCUCCCAAGAUUGUGCAACAUGUUCAUGAUCAAGUUGUUUAAAAUUCAUUAUAUCAUUCCUAAGGGAGAUAAUCUUAGCGGGAGGAAAAUACUUGGAAAUAAAAGCAUCUUUACACUUAUUCCAUGAAUCAAUACUAUUUUUAGGCAAAGAUGAAAGCCAAGUUUUAGCACUGUCUCGUAGUGAGAACGGAAAUAGCUUCAAUUUAACAAUAUCAUUAUCCACGUCUUUCUUCUUUUUCAUAUCACACAACUCAACAAAAGUAUUUAGAUGGGAUGCGACAUCUUCGCCUAGGAAGGUCUGAAAAUUGAUCUUUCAUAACAAGAUUCAGCAAAGAAGUAUUAAUUUCAUUAGAUUCCGCACUAGUGGCGGGAGCAAUCGGAGUACUAAUAAAAUCAUUAUUAUUAGUAUUGGAAAAGUCACACAACUUGGUAUUGUCUUGAGACAUCGUGACAAAGAAAGCAAUCUAACACACGAGCAGCCAAAAAGCAAACGAAAAGACGAACGGAUGAAGGGCGAAUAAAAAGGCAAAUCUUUUUAUAUUUUCCUGAAAGCAUUUUAGAAGUGGGGGAGAGGUAAACGAGAGGCAACUGGAAAAUAAUGAAAUAUAAGAGAUGAGAGUUUAUGGUGGGUACUUGGCAGGCUUGAUGUAGAUCUCCCCGGCAAGGGCGCCAGAAAUUCUUCCUGCUACUUACUGAGCUUGCGUUGGUUUUUCCCUUGAAGAGGAAAGGGUGAUGCAGCAAAGUAGAGAUAAGUAUUUCCCUCAGUUGAGAACCAAGGUAUCAAUCCAGUAGGAGAUAGAAGCAAGUCUCCAAUCUAUGCACCUGCACAAACAAUCAAACACUUGCACCCAACGCGAUAAAGAGGUUGUCAAUCCCUUCACGGUCACUUGCAAAGGUGAGAUCUGAUAGAGAUAGAUAUAAAAGAUUAAUAAACGUAUAACAAAAUAAAAGUAAAUAAAUUGCAGCAAGGUAUUUUUGUGUUUUUUCAUUUAUAGAUCUGAAAAUAUAUGAUGGAAAAUAUGCCCGGGGCCAUAGGUUUCACUAGAGGUUUCUCUCUUGAAGGAGAAUAAUACGGUGGGUGAACAAAUUACUGUCGAGCAAUUGAUAGAAAGCGCAAAUUUGUGACAAUAUCCAAGGCAAUGAUUAUGCAUAUAUGCAUCACGUCCGCGUCAAGUAGACUGACUCCUGCCUGCAUCUACUACUAUUACUCCAAACAUCGACCGCUAUCCAGCAUGCAUCUAGAGUACUAAGUUCACAAAGAACGGAGUAACGCCUUAAGUAAGAUGACAUGAUGUGGAGGGAUAAACUCAAGCAAUAUGAUGAAAACCCCAUCUUUUUACCCUUGAUGGCAACAAUACAAUACGUGUCUCGCUAGCCCUACUUUGUCACUGGGUAAAAUCACGCAAGAUUGAACCCAAAACUAAGCACCUCUCCCAUUGCAAGAAAUACCAAUCUAGUUGGCCAAACCAAACCGAUAAUUCGAAGAGAAAUACAACGGUAUCAAACCAUCCAUAUAAUAAUUUAGAGAAGAUUCAAAUAACAUUCAUAGAUAAUCUGAUCAUAAAUCCACAAUUCAUCAGAUCUCGACAAACACACCGCAAAAGAAGAUUACAUCAGAUAGAUCUCCAAGAACAUCGAGGAGAACAUUGUACUGAAGAUCAAAGAGAGAGAAGAAGCCAUCUAGCUACUAGCUAUGGACCCAUAGGUCUGUGGUAAACUACUCACGCUUCAUGGAAGGGCAAUAGAGUUGAUGUAGAAGCCCUCCGUGAUCGAAUCCCCCUCCGGCAGGACGCCGGAAAACGCCCCAAGAUGGGAUCUCAUGUGAACAGAAGGUUACGGUGGCGGAAAAGUAUUUUGGUGGACGCUUCUGGUUGUUUUGGAAUAUUUGAGGAUUUAUAGAGUUGAGAGGGAGGUCGGUGGACCCCCGAGGGCCCGCAAGCCAAGGGCGCCCUCCCUGGGUCGUGCCCUGGAGGCUUGUGGAGUCCUCGAGACUCUUCUGACUUAGCCUCCAAGUUCCGUGGAUGUCUUCUUUCCCAAGAAAAAUCAUCAUGAAAGUUUUAUUCCAUUUUGACUCUGUUUGAUAUUCCUUUUCUGUAAAACUCAAAAACAAGGAAAAGACAGAAACUGGCACUGGGCUCUAGGUUAAUUGGUUAGUCCUAAAAAUAAUAUAGAAUAGCAUAUUAAUGCAUAAACAUCCAAAACAGAUAAUAUAAUAGCAUGGAACAAUAAAAAAUUAUAGAUACAUUGGAGACGUAUCACUCAUUCUCAAUGAUCAUGUUAAGCAUGAUCACACAAGCGGUCAUGAUAUACCAAAGGGUUUUUUGAUCCCAGAAUCUAGAAGGUCAUCACACAAUAGAAAAUUGGGAUUGCAAAAUCUAGAAACCCUCUCAACAUCUUUCCUAGCUGCCUCUUAUGCAUUGUGAAAUAUGAGUUCUUUCUUACCUUGGGGUUUUUCAAUUGGCUUGACAAAAGUACUCUUCCUCGAGUAGAUCCCAUCGCAAGAUAGUACCCAUAGUUGUAUGUGUGGCCAUUUGCUCCGAAGGUCACUGGUGGUGCUUCUCCAUUUGCUAAGUUGGCAAAAAGAGGUGACCAGCCGAGCACAUUGAUGUCAUUGCAAGAUCCAGGCAUCCCAAUGAAAUGUCAAAAUCAUUUUUCUUGAUCGGCAACGGCCUCAAGAUUGAUAGUGGCAUCCUUCCCAUGACCCUUGAACUAUCCAUGCUAUGCUUUGGGGCAAUUCUUCCAUUUCCAAUGCAUGCAAUCGACGGAUCAUAGCAUACCUGAAAAACCAUGAGCUUUGUUCAUAUCUAAAAGCCUUUGAUUAUCCUGAGCAUUGGGUGCUCUCAAGUACUCUGCACCAAACACUUCUACCAUAGUCUUUGCAAAUUGUUUAACAUAGAAGAUCGAAGUGCUCUCUGCCAUCGCCAAGUUGUCAUUAAUGUUGAAAGAACAUGUGGUGCCCCCAUGUUUGGUUUUGGUAAUUGAUGACAAUCUCUAUGGACUAAUAGUUGCUUUGAGUUUUAUUUCAAGGAUUUUUCCAUAGGCAUUUCUUGAAAUUCAUGUGUUGGUUUCAAGGAGUUUAUGUGAUGACCAAGGUGGUAUUCAAGGAUUUAUCCAAAGAUUGAUCAUGUGAGUGUUGACCUUAUUGCAAGCAUCUCUUGAAGGAGAAGAUUGUGGGAACAUUCAUGUUUACCUUCAAGACAUCAUCUUUAUGAUGAGAGAAGAUAAGAUAUAAGGUUGAUCAAGACUAAAUACAAAGAGUGAUUCUAGUUGAUCAACACGCAAAGCAUAGAAGAGUACCAAGUGGGAUCAAGUGAUCCCAUGGUAUGGUAAGUAUUGUCCAUUAUGCUUUGUGUACUAACCAAUGGUCUUUGUGAGGUUUCCAUGUGGGGUUAGGUAUCUUUCCAUGGGCUUGCAUCAAGAUGAAGAUCCCAUACAACCCAUGGAGGAUGACAUCAAGUGGUGAUCGUCAUCAAGGUUGCGGUGUGCAAGUUCAAGUGAAGCAUCACGAAGAGCUCACAUGCUUGAAGCUUGCCAUCCAUUAUGGUGAUAAUGGACAUGUGAAGAUGUGCCGAAGAGAGGCUCACCCAUAGUGGAGUAUGGGGGAAUAAUCUACUAGUCUUCAUUGAGCAAGCACAAUCAAGAAAGGUGGUCCAUCUUGAGGAGGACAACAUCGUGUUCACGUAGCUCAAGUGGACUAUGUGCAAGGAAAAUGUUUGACCUUGAUAGUGUUUUCUAUUUUGCCGGUCCCAUGGUGGUAGUUGGGAGACUGGGUUAUAGGAUCGAUAGCCGUACUAUGAAGGGGGCUCUCAAGUGAGUAGCUUGAUCGUAUCGUUCGGUGAGAGCUCAAACCAUUGCAUUCUUGGCAUCAUCAUAUUUCUUGGUUCUUGUUUGGCUUUUCACUUUGUGAGUUUAGGAGCUUUUUGUCUUCGUCGUGAUAAGCUCAAGCUCAUAGAAAACGGAUUUCGUAUGCAUCAUAUUUGUGUUUUCGGUGUUGGAGAUUUUGCCGGAUAUUAGUUGGGAAGGUCAUCUUCCAUAUCCUAGUGGCAUUUAUUCUCCAUUGCUUGUUCUUAAUUUAUCCAAUCGUUGUUGGAUAGCUCUUGUCAUCCUCUAUCCGACAAGCUUGAGUUUGCUCAUUUCGGAGCUCGUAUGCCAAAGUUAUGGCUGUUUUGAUCUUACAUGUUUUACAUAGACAGGUUGUACCAGUUCUUACACCAGUUGUACUGGUUGACCGGUACUACCUGUGUUUGGGGUGGUUGUACUGCUCCAGACUUGGUCCGACGAUUGUACCGGCCCUGUACCGCUCUACCACCGGACUGGGAUCUGUUGUGGAGUGGUUCCUGGGCGGUUGUGGGCCGGUUGUACCGGUUAGUUCUAGUUUAACCGGUACUACCGGUGCCCCAGGCGGUUGUACCGCUUAGUGCUUUUUCGACAGGUAGGUUUUUUCUGCUUUUACCGGUUAUACCGGUACUUACACCAGUUGUACCGGUCCUAUAGUUUCUGCACAUAACGGGCAGAUUCAUGGGGACCUAUAAAAGGGGGUAUUCUUCCCGUUAGACCCUAUCCUUUGAGCUCGUGUUCUCCCCCAUUCUUGACCUUCUUCGAGCUUGCUAACUCUCAAUCCCUCCAAUGAUUCUUGCUCCUUUUUGAGGGAAAAGAGAGAGGACAUCUAGAUCCACAUUUCCACCAAUCACUUUCUUCUCUAUGUGUGGGGAACCCCUUGGAUCUAGAUCUUGGAGUUCUUGGUGUUCUCCUUCUUGUUCUUCCUCUCAUUUUCCUCCAUAGAUUUCGUUGUUUUGGUGGGAUUUGGGAGUGAGGGACUUGGGCACUCCGUGUGCCCUUGCUAUUGCAUUAGUAGCAUCGGUUUGAGUUCUCCACGGUGAUACGUAGAAGUGAAAAUUUGAGAAGCUUAUUACUCUUGGGUGCUUGGUACCCUAGAGCUUGUUCCUCUUGGGUGCUUGGGCGCCCUAGACAGUUGGUGGUGCUUCGAAGCUCAAUCAUUGUGGUGUAAAGCUUCGGGCAAGCGUUAGGGUCUCCAAUUAGGUUGUGGAGACUGCCCCGAGCAAUUUGUACGGGUUCCGGUGACAGCCCCAAGCACUACAAAAAAAGACACAUCCUUGACAUUUUGGGCCGAAUGAAUUUUUUUCUGUCAUGCUUAUGACACUUCUAUGACGAUAAUUGUGACAAAACCCGGUAUCAUCAUAGAUGUGGUGGGCUCCUACUUCUAUGACAAAAAAUCAUGACAAAAAAUGGGCUUUUCGUCUUGGGCGGGCCGGAGACGGAGCUGCAUGACAUUCUUUGGGUCGUCCAUGACGGAAAAAAACCGUGGUAGAAGCAUGGGCGAGGAAAAUAUCGGGGAGUUCCCGGUUGCGGUGGGUGGUCGGGGGCCGAGCGAUGCACAUUCUCGUACGUAGGCGCGUGUGUGCGAGGCGUUGCGCUCUAACUGAACCCGAGUGAGGCGUUGGGCUCUAACUGAACCCGAGCGAUUGCACUGCAGGCUACGCAUUGCUGAACCCGAGCGAUCGAUCGAUCCCUUGCUCCUAAAUGAAGCCGAUCGAUGCUGCCUCUGGAUGAACAGUGAGUGUUGUUGGGGGGGUUGGAUGAAUAGUUCCUGGUGGGGGGUAGGAUGAACAGGACCCCGUGGUAGUAGAGGCCGUUGUCGCUGGAUGAACAGGACCCCGAUCGAGCCGGUUGGGCGUGGAUGAACAGCACCCCGUGGAGGGCUGGUUCAACAGUAGCUGGUGGAGGGCUGGAUGAAUAGUAGCUCGUGGAGGGGUGGUUGAACAGGACCCCGUGGAGAGGGAUGGUUAAACAGUAUCCGGUGGAGGAGCGCGCGGUGGAGGCUGGAUGAACAGGAGCCCGUGGAUGAACAGUCGCAGGUGGAGGCUGGAGGAGGUCGACGGUGGAAGAACAGUAGCCCGUGGUGGCUGGAGGCAGUCGACGGUGGAGAUGAACAGUAUCCCGUGGAGUCCCGUUUUGCGGUACGCAACACCCCUCCAGAUGAACAGGACCCCUGUUUCGACCGUAGCGCUCCAACACAAGUCUGUUUCCUCCUUUUUGCGGUACGCCACACCCCUCCCAAUCAACAGGACCCCGUUUCGACCAUGAGAAGUCUGUUUCCUCCGUUUUGCAGUACGCCAGACCCCUCCCGAUGAACAGCAUCCCGUUUCGACCGUGGCCGGUCGAACACGUUUCCUCCGUUCUGCGGUACGCUAGGCCUCAUUUCCAUCGGCUGUUCCGUCCAAGCCGGUUGGCUCCCGAUGAACAACACGCGUUUCGUUGCCUCCCGAUGAACACGAUGCAUUCCGUUGCCUCCCCAUGAACACGACGCCGACGCAGUUUCUCCGUUCCGAACCAGCCAUGUACACGAGCCCUGGCCGUACGUAUGUGUGAGUAGGCGUUCGAGACCCCACCCGUAUGUAUGCACGUGGCCGUAUUUUCUUUCUUCCACCCUGGCCGCUGUACGUACAUGUACAUGCUACAUGCACACCUCUACUACGACACGUGCGUGCCUCUACAUCGACCGGUAUGUACGUACACGUUCGUGACCAGAAUGACAACGCUAAGUACGCUUCAACCAGGUGGGUCCCGACUGUCAGGCACUUCCUUGCGUUGCGAAGAUGGCUAGUGGGCCCCAGCAGUCAGUGGGGAAACGCUUUUUCCACGAAAUAUGGUGGCCCGUCUGGUGGGUCCCUGCUGUCAGGUGGAGGAAUCAUUAUUUUCCACGUAAUAAGGAGGCACUUCCUUGCUGCGGUUGUGGACCCAGUUGUCAGCCUCUCCACAUACAGUACCCUUCCGAUUGAAGUCGUUCCUUAACCACGUUGACCACGCCGCGCCGAGAGCACCAGGGCGAUGGACGACGGCGAGGCCUAGGAAGGGGACGACGCAGAGCCGGGGAAGACGCGGCAGUGGAUGCCCAUGCGGAGGGGAGUACGUGGGUUGACUGCUUCGACUGCGGUGUGAGGCUGUCGUCGCCGGAGAAUAACAGGAGGUGUGGGUGAGUACAGAGGGAUGGCAUGGCUAGCGGUGGCAGCACAGUCGGAUACGGGAGGCAGGAGCAGGCGGCACGGCCGACGCUUGUUUGGGCGGCUGGAGCAAGAAGACCAGAGGUUAAAGAAGCACUACGGUCGUUGGAUGGACAUCAUACGGUCACAGGAGCUAGAAUCGUUCAUAUUGACUAAGUUGACAAAGCCCUCCGACCCCAUCAUCUUAGUAGCCCCACAAGUCAGCCUCCCACUAUGGUGGGUCCCAGCUAGCAGGUGGAGUAUUCAUUUUUUUGUGCGUAAUAACGAGGCACUUCCUUGCAUGCGAAGAUAUAGCUGGUGGGUCCGACCUGUCAGCGGGGGAACAUUUUUUUCCGAAAUACAGAGGCCCUUCCGGUGGGUCCCAGUUGUCAGGUGGAGGAAUCAUUAUUUUGCACGUAACAAGGAGGCAUUUCCUUGCGUGCGGCCGUGGACCCAGCUGUCAACCUCUCCACAUACAGUCCACUUCAGAUGCAUGUCGUUCGUUGACCACGCCGCGCCGAGAGCACCAGGGCGGUGGACGACGGCAAGGCCUAGGAAGGGAACGACACGGAGCCAGGGAAGACUUGGCAGUUGUUUCCCACGCGGAGGGGAGCACGAGGGUUUACUGGUUUGUCUCCCGUCUUCGGAGAAUAACAGCAGGUGUCGGUGAGUAGAGGGAUGGCUAGGCCUGCGAUGGGAGUACGAUGGGGCGGUGAGGCCUGCGCGGCAGCACAGCUGGCCGCGGGAGGAGGGAGCAGGCAGUCUCGCCGGCGCUUGUUUGAGCGGCUGGAGCAGGAAGAGAAGAGAUUGAAGAAGCACGAUGGCCGUUAGAUGGACAUCCAACAGUCACUGCUUGUGCGUCAACCUUUUUUUAGGAAAGCCUUAAAUCUAUGGAAAACAGCAUACGGCACAUCUGCCAUUAUUUCUAAUAAUUUACAGCCCAUUUGCUAAUUCUUAAGGUUUUUUUUGAAUCCCAUAUUCUUUUUGUGAGCAUUCCAACCCAUAUUGUGGCCACGGUUAAAAAAUUAUACGAAAUUUUGCAUAUUUCAGUGCGGUCCGAACUGUUUUUAAUCCCAAAAUUUCGAGUCACAUUCAAACUGAUUUAAAAAAUAAAUGUAGAUCAAUAUAAAAUCCAACAAAUUGUCCGCGCAUAAAAAGCAAUGCAAUUUAAAAUCUCGAAAUGAAAAAAAAGAAAUUUGAAACUAAUUGCCGGUUUGAUGUGUUUUAAAAAUGUACAACCAAUUUCACAUGACUGAAAGGACAUUUUCUCGGCCAGCUGAAUGAAGCUCUACUCGUCUUGAAAAUAUUUGCAGCCCAACAGGCCUGACAAAGCGACUUACUUGACAAACCACAAAAAAAGCUGGGCUAGCCAUUUUCAGAAAGAAAAAAAACUACUGGGCUGGUCUGUGGUACACAUAAAAGAAAAGGCUGUCUAGACAGGCUAGAGUGCCCCGCACAGCCCAGUUGACACCCUGCUUCCGUCUCAAAAACAAAUUAGAUAAAAAUGCCACUCCAAUUAUGGUGAUUCAUAAAAAUGCCACUGCAAUUUCCAAACUUUGAAAAAUGCCACUGCAAUUUUUGCAAACUUUGAAAAAUGCCACUGUAAUUUUUGCAAACUUUCAAAAAUGCCACUCCAGACUUCGAAAAAUGCCACUGGAAAGGGCAUGAAAUGGCAUUUUUUAAAGUUUGGAAAUUGCAGUGGCAUUUCUCGGAAUCACCAGAUUUGGAGUGGCAUUUAUCAAAUUAACCCAAAACAAAAAUAACUGGACAAGCUGCUGGGUCCCUGGUGUCAGCCGCUCGUUUUGCAAUUCUCUCGUUUAUUGACUACGUUGAUAAUGGCAUGGGACCCAGAUGUCAGAAAUCCAUUAGGAGGAGCCAUUUUCUAUUGGCUUGAAAUAAGGAGGCACUUGCUUGCGUACUACCAUGACCUUGGUGGGUCCCUGCUGUCAUCCUCUCCACGUACAAUCAUCUAUUGAUUGUGUACGCGUCAACCUGGCAGGCCCACAAGUCAGCCUCUAAACCCGUGGCGGACUAAUACAACCCAUUUUAAAAAAUAACAACCCAUUCCAUACGUUCAAACGGAAAGUUCAACAUUCAGAGCAAAGCAACAGGUUUGAUUAUGAUAUAGAGUACUGAACUUCCACGUUGACAACCAUGAUAGCCAAGUUAACUAUCUACUCCGAGUAAUACUCUAGUAGUGUACAAGUACUAACUUACUCUUAGCUAACUAGACGAUGCCGGCCGCCAUCUGCGGUACACGCUAAACGCCAGCACCGUCGUCCUCCGCCUCGCCUCGGACUUGCCAGAGGUGCGAUAGGGCACGUUGCUCGCGCGCGUUCGCCAUUUCCAUGCCGGCGUGGUCCACCGAAGCUUCGGCUUCCAAGCGGGAAACCCACUUGACGAGAUGGUAGUAAAAUUCAGCGUCGCGAACGCGUGCGUUCCCGACAGCCUCCAGGACUAUUUGCCGGGCACCGACCUCCAUGUAGUCGGCCCAGUUGCGGGCGCUCUGCUCGCGACAGAGAGUGUCCGUGCGCUACUGCUCCAUGUCCCGCUGGCAGUGCAAAUCAGCGAUACGUUGUUCCUCCGCCAGGCAAUCGCGCUCCACAAAUCCUCAUACUCCGCAUUUCCAUCUAAAGACCGAUAGAAUGCCUCCUCCCCCCGUCUGCCUUCCUGUGAAAAACCAAACACUAGUUCCAGCGGUGACCGCCUCCGACGUCGCCUAUCGCGGAUGGGUGGGGGCAUGGUGGACGUGGCGAGAGCGAGGAUAAGUGGCGUGUGACGUCGGGCCGGUGGGGGCUUAUGAGGACAGGGGAGUUGGGUGAUGGUGCCACCAGAGAAGGACGGGAAACAGUAAUUAUAGGCGGAAGGUAGGCGAACCAGCGUGUCGCGGGAAACACGAUGGUCAUCGUGGUCAUCGGAAUUCAAUGCAUAAGCAGGCAUGGCUUAGCGCACUAGCUUGCCGUGGAAAACUAGAAAAACUGAAAUUAUGACUGUGCCAUCCCGUCCUGUCAGUGGUGCAUCCCGUCCGUGCUGGGUCGCAUGCCGGCAUGACGGUCAAACGAGGGCACUCGGAUCAUUCAGAUGAGGUACUCCCUCCUUGUCAAAAAUGAUUCCACCACUGAUCAUCUACCUUGGUUAGUGAGAUUUUUGAAUUAAGCCUUUCAAGCUGGAAAGGAGGUAGUACGUGUGUGUUCCGCUAUUUAUUCGUGUAGGAUCGAGUAGGUCAUUUUUUGAAUUGAGCCCUACAAACCGGAAAGGAGGUAGUACGUGUGUGAUCCGCUAUUUAUCCGUGUUGGAUCGAGUAGGUAGGAUAGUGUAUGUGUAGGAUCGAGUAGGUCAGAUCGUGUACGUGUAGGAUCGCAUUAGCUGAUGAAUGUUUGCUGGGAGAUAAGGCAUUUGCGAAUGUUUUUGCUGGCAGUUUCUUCAAAUUCGCAUGGCAUUUUCUUCAGAGCAGCUUGUCAGUUUUUCAGAGGUAGGCAUUUUUAUUCAAAAAACUGCCACUUCGGAUCUUGCAUCGCAACUAAAACUGCCAGGAGCACAUUAGUAGGCUAGCUAGUGAUCGAUCAGUAACUUGUAAACACUGAGCGAACAGAAAUAAGGAACUGUUACUAACUUGUAAACAUUGAGAACACACAAAUAAGGAUCAUGCUGUGCACAGCCGUAAGAGCCGAUCCGUUCGAAAUGUUCACACGAGACUCAAAGGCCUGGCAUUGUAAUAUGUUCACAUUAGUAGCCCAAAUUCAAAACCAACUAGUAUGAUUCUCAUACAUAAGAUCAACAUGUUAAUGCACCUCAAUGAUUCACAAAUCAUAUACAAAUAUGUAGUUCCAAAAGCAAAGAUCUAGAAAAAACAUCUGUUCUUCCUACUAACAUGGAUGAUUCUCUUGGCCAACAUUUAGUACAGAGUGAAAGACAAAUUUGUUUGUGAAGUCUACAAUUCCUCUUGCAAACGUAAGUGGUUUCACCAAUAGCUGGAACCAUGAGAAUGAACCACACAUGAUGGAGGAACAUCCACUGCAAUAUGAUUUGGUCUUCUCUUGAUCACACGGCGAGACUAUUUUCGGAAUACAAACUUUAACUUAGGAAAAAUGAUGCCCAUUGUAUAAUCAGACCAGAGCAAUGAAGCACCUAGUGUUGGCCAAUAAAUAGUACAGUACUACUUUUCUGCAAUCCAUGAAGUGACUAUCCAAUCUUUCUGUGUCUAUUUUCAAAUGGCACUGCAUGUAGUGACUAUACUAUUCUCUUGUGCAGUUCAACCAAAAUUUAGGUCACUUUGUUUGUUUGCCAAUAACAACGGGCAGACAUCUCUUUCUGCACAAAUAUCAAGCAGCUAGUAAACAUAUACCCCACCUUGUAUUUUCGGUUUAAACACGUCUGUUCCGCUUAGCAUCUAUCAUGUUUUGCACUGGACAAUUUGAUACAGUCAUGUUUUGCCCUGGACAAUUUCAUACUAAAUUGAUUUGCUGGUUCAGCGCAGAAAUAUAGCUCCUAUUCUUCAUCAGACCAAGGAUAUCCAUGUUCGCAGUGAUGGAAGAGGUGAAAUCGAUACAACCGAAAUUGAGCAUCCAAUCAUUGAAUCUUGUCCUGCACCUCCAAUGUAGGUCCACCCUACCAAUAAAUUCACAUGCAAACCACUAGUAUCACUAUCUAAUGAUAGUACAAAAAGAGUAGCAAGAUAGUGGCAAACCAUGUACCUUCGUAAUGAACAUCUCAUAGUGCCACCAAUUGGAUAUAAAGGUUUGGAAGAAAACAUGCUCCUAAUGUUGAACCAUUUGGACUUUUUGUGCAGUUCCACUAAGAUCGAGCAUCCAUGUUUGCAUAGAUAUUGAAAGUGUGAUUACUACAAAGUGGCACUAGUUGAAGCAUAGAAUCAAAUAUAAGCAUUCCAAUUUCUUAAUGGGAAAAGGUAGCAAGACUGUUUCUAACCACCUGUUUGAAGGAAUAAAUAAGGCAACAGCGGAUGAUGUCUGGAAGGCAUACAUAGUUUUUUUCUUGAAAAAUUGAGCCAUUCCUGACCUUUCCUCUUCUUUUAAGCAUAUUUUGUGCAGUUCAACUAAAAUAAAAUGUCAUCACCGCCUUGAGAAUUCAGUGACACUAUACAAAAGGAAAUGACUUAGCAUUACUUCAUGAUGUCAGGUAUGUAGUCGACAGGCAUUAGAGACAAACAUACAGACCUCCUCCGAUAACAUAAUGAACAUUAAUUUUAACAAAGGUGUGACUAGCUUUACCGGGAUAAGAGCAUCUCCAAUAGCAAGUGUAUAUUUGGAUGUCUAUAUAUUUAUAUAGACAAUGGUCUAAAAAGAUUCCCUUAUAUACACGUCCAGUUUUGGAUCAGAACGUCUAUAUACAGGGACCAUGACAGGUGGGCCGUCGUUGGGGAGAGGAAGAAAUCAUGACUGCAGCUGAGUUUAGACAACGCCUUCACAAUGUCCCGGCGUGGACAUUGUCGAGGUCGAUUUGGAGGAUGUGUAUAUUUGGAAGACCAUAUAGACAAGCUGUUGGACGCCUGUUUUGGGCUCACGUCAUGGAAAACGAGUAUAGACAUCCAUAUAGACAAGCUAUUGGAGAUGCUCUAAUUUGAGUGAACUCUACACCCUUUGUUCCUUAAUAUAAGACGUUUUCGCAGUUCAAUUUAAAGUACCCAAACGUCUAGUAUUUAGAAAAACAGGUAGUAGUUUUCUUGAGCACAUAUCUGGGAAAGCUUGCCACACUUUAUAUAUGUCCAUACGUUAAUGCAACACCAUUCGAAUAGUACAAAUAUACUAAUCCAGUGGCUACUGCAAUAGUAGAGUAGUUAUUUUAUUACAGGGUACAGUAAAAUGGUUUUACUAAAGAAAUUUCCAUAAGCUCUAGCACUGGAAGAUUUCUAUAAGAAUUAAAAAUACAAAAUGUAAAGGUAACAAGUUUCAGCAUUGGUUUACACUGGUACAACGACGUGCUAAACAAACGGUUUUUAACCCUUUCCUCGACGGCAUUUGGAACCGCCGCCAAGUGAGUGUGGGCGAUAGGGGGGUCCUUCCCACAUGACCCAGAAAUCGUCGGGGAUAGGCCCUCCUGGGACCCAGGCUGGGGCCGUCUGCGAUCGGGCGAGGCAUCAAAACCCAAUCAUUUCCGUAGGUAUGUACAUCCCACAUGGUGAAUCCCAGAAAAUCAUUUCCGUAGGUAUGUACAUCCCACACGGUGAAUCCUAGAAAAUCAUUUCCGUAGGUACGUACAUCCCACAUGGUGAAUCGUAGAAAAACAUUUACGUAGGUAUGUAUAUCACACACAGUUCUUUAUGUGGAAACAUUUGUGCAAGGUGGCCUAACGCAAACAGUUCGCUGUCGGAAGCCGUGUGUGAUUGUUAGUUGAUCGAACACGCCUACUUUCUAGAAACCAUGCAGGUUGUUUGAGUUCACCGCCCACGGUGCUGUCUGAGUAACCAUCUGCAAUAGAAAACCCCAAUAAGCAAGGGUAAUUAGCCUAUUAUUGAUAAUCCAUGUACUAAUCAAACUGAUAUUUCUUAUAAAACACGUCAGAUAUUUCAUAUCCAUAUAAAAGCAACUAGGAUUUCAUAAUCGAAUUACAUCAGAUAGCUUCAGCACUCAGUUACACCAUUACACAACAGCACCAAGUUUCACAUGCAGCAUGAAAAACCUUUGGAAAGUAGCAUCAUACACGGUGAAUAGAUAGAUGAAUCUCAUCUGGGAAACUGUAGAAGCGGAAGGCAAAUAUUGAGCCUUCAGUGAUGCUGAAUGUCCUUGCAACUUUAGGCCAGUGGCUAUGGAUAAUUGCCUGCCCAACCUUCGUCCUCUUCAGCAAGACUUCAAUAUUGUAGCGUGGGUGUUGAAUGAAUACCUUCCUCGCCUCUUGACCAUGCAGGUGGUUCGAGAGGUAAUCAUCGGUGAACUGCUUUGAAAAGUACUGAAAACAAAGCUAUGCAUAAAACGUUGUUGUAAAUUUUGAAAUGGCGCAAGGGGUAAAAACAAGGUAAAAGAGUUGGUACCAUCCUAUAGUUGACUGAUGUCUUCUUCACUAUGCAAACAAAGAUCUUGCUGUUAUUCGUCACAAGUUUCUUCAUCCUAACAAUCUUUCUGAGUUUCUUGACUUGACUGAUAUUCAUGGACAUCUCAUUUCCCCAUAUGCAAAAUGGGUCGAAUAGUGGGUCUAAUUAAGCCUCUGACAGCAGGACCUACAUGUGCAAGACCAAAUUAUAAGAAACCUAAAUAUUAGAAUGAUUCCUGCAACUGCACAAUAAUGUGCUAUUAGCCAAAGGACCCUGCUUGAACAAACCUCGAUGGUAAACCGCAGUGUGUCCCAUUGUUUCCCUGCAACACACAUAAGGAAGAUCUGAUCAGGUUAACUGAGAGUUGCCAUAAUAUCAGUAGAAUAUGUAUUGAGUACAGCCAAAUUCGAUUGGUGUCACAUGCAUAACAAUACAAAAUUGUACCCACAACAAAUGAAAAUCAAAUUGCAGAACUGGACCAAACAGUUAAAUGGACAACAGACCAAAUGAACCAAAAUAGUUAACUGAGCACGACAUUGCAGAAUAGAAACAUGUUCUAGAAGAUAAGACAGUUAACAAAACAAAGAAAGCUUGAGAACAGUACUACGAAAUGUGGCAAUUGUUGGACCAAAGUGUUAACUGAAAAUGACAUUUCAGAGGACCAAACUGUUAACUGAACAUUAGAUUGCAUAUUAACAUUACAGAGGACAAAUCACUAGAAGGCACUGGCGGUGGCCUCGAGAAAACAUCACGAACUGUAUUUUAAAGUAGACAACUGCGUGGCUGUGUCGACGGUGGCCUCAAAGACGUGGUGCUCCUCCAAGAUCUAGCGGUCGACACGCAUGGCAGCCAUAGCGACCUCGUUCGCGCGUGCGGCCGCAUGCUACUGAGCUCCACAUUGUACUGCGUGCAAAAUGGCUGUGGGCGGUGCUUAAUUGGAGGAGGAGGGCAGUGAUUUCGGUGGAUGGUGUAGCUCCGUCGGUCGGGGCAUGUGGGACGGGAAAGGAGGUGGAUGGUGUGGGUGGGGCGUGGAUUACCUGACCAUGUCAAUGAGGCCGCACAGCAAGAAGAAGGGUUGGCGGCAAGGAGGUCCCGCAGCAAGAAGAAGGGUCGCCGGCGAUGAGGCAGCGCUGCAAGAAGAAGGGUCGCCGGCGAGGAGGCGGCGCUGCAAGAAGAAGGGUAGCCGGUGAGGAGGCGGCGCUGCAAGAAGAACGGUCGCCGGCGAGGAGGCUGAGCUGCCAGUAAGCAGCAGUGAAGGUUUGAACUUGGAAAGCAAGGAGGAGCAGUGGAAAUGUGGCUUUUGGUAGGAGGGAGGGGCGGGGAGAUAGAUAUUUCCGCGGUGGCAAAAAAAUUUCGCUCGGUGCCGCGAGAAACUGGCGCGCAAGUGUGGUUCAAGCGGGGGAGGUGGACUGUAGACGAGGAAGCUUCCUGCCUAAGCCAGACAAGACGGUGCGUUAAGAUAUUUUAUAUCACAUCCCACACGAUUACUUCUAGUAAACUGUUUGUGGUAUACCUGAUUUUUGAUUAUGUUUUGAAAGACAAAAUGGUGUUACGGAGGGAAAGGAUGGUGUUUGAAUUGCUAGAACAUGAGUGUCGUGUUUAAAUUUGGAAUUAUUCUGGGUUCGUUUGGCAUUUUUAUGCAUUAAUUGAGUUUUUGGGCAUUUAAUGUGCAUAAUUCAAAUUUGAACUACAAGCACAUGCUCCAAUACACCAAAGUUUGAUGAAAAAUCACAUGUGUGUCUUUGGGUGAAUUUAUAGGUCCCAUGGAAGAUAUAUGAAUGAUUCAAACAUCUGGGCGUCGUGGCUCGGCUGGAAUGAUUGAGAAACAUUGUUUCUUAAUUCCCAUAAAUCCAAAACACGGCUGAAAAUCAUGAAACUUGGCAUGGUGUCAUGACAUGGCACCAAGAUGCUGCAGUAAAUUUUUUGAACGAAUUGGGACAAGCUUUGGUGUAAGCUUCUUGCAAACCGGAGCUUCCCUCAAGAAGGCUCUUGGCUCCGAGAGGGAACGUGUCACCUCCGUGUGCGAAACGACAUAUGUACACUUCCUUCUCCCGCCUUAAUUUUUGUACACUAGCAGAUUAGACCAAAUAGAAGUAUCGUGCUAAAUUUUGGAAUUAUUCCGGGUUCGUUUGGCCUUUUUUAUACAUUAAUUGAGUUUCUGGGCAUUUAAUGUGCAUAAUUCAAAUUUGAACUACAAGCACAUGCUUCAGUGCACCAAAGUUGGUUGAAAAUCACAUGUGUGUCUUUGGGUGAAUUUAUAGGUCCCAUGCAAGAAAUGGGAAUGAAAUUCAAACAUCUGGGCGUCGUGGCUAGGCCGGAAAGAUUGAGAAACUUGGUUUUUUAAUUCCUGUAAGUCCAAAACAUGCCUGAAAAUCAUGAAACUUGGCAUGGUGUCAUGACAUGGCACCUACAUGCUGCGGUAAUUUUUUUGGCCGAAUUGGGACAAGCUUUGGUGUAAGGUUCUUGCAAACCGGGGCUUCCCUCAAGAAGGCUCGUGGUUCCGAGAGGGAACGUGUCAUCUCCGCGUGCGAAACGACAUACGCACACUGCCUUCUCCCGCCUUAAUUUUUCUACACUGGCAGAUUAGACCAAAUAGAAGUAUCGUGCUAAAUUUUGGAAUUAUGCCGGGUUCGUUUGGCUUGUUUUAUACAUUAAUUGAGUUUUUGGGCAUUUAAUGUACAUAAUUCAAAUUUGAACUACAAGCACAUGCUAUGCUUCCCUGCCGUGGCUAUCACAACAUGGGUCAUGAAAUAGGCUGCUUCAGCCUGGAUGAUUAGUCAUGCAUUGGUCUCGAGAUUGACAGUAGCUGGCCCUUCCGAGAGAAACUCUUCUGGUUCAAAGCAAGCGUUUCCAACGCCGAGGAAUGGUUGAGCUGAAGUUCAUUUCAUUGCUUGUUAUUUGUUGCGUGAUGAAAACUUUAGUAUUUACUAGAAUGUUGUGUUGGAACUAAUCUAUAAUCCAACAUGUAUCCUCGUUGUCGUUGUGUGUUGAUGACUUGUUGUAUGUAAUGAGUGGUACAUUUGCAUAUGCAUGUCAUAAACUCAAUUUAUAAAUGGCUUUCGACUCACUUCUUGGAGUGUUAGUGCCGUAGUAGUAUAGCCAGCAUCCGUAGUAGUAUGAAGUUUCCACAUCACAUAGAGCCAACCAAUAGUUAGUUCUAGUUAGAUCAACUAGAGCUAGGUGUCACACGGAGGCCGAGAAAUAUGGUGAUAGCGUGACUGUGUGAGGUGGGCUUGUACAUAGUAUGAUGUAGGCACAAGGCUUGCCGUGUUUCCUACUCCUCCGGUCUAAAUGUGGAGAAGAUUUGGUUGAGUUCUUCCUCCUUUUGCCGACACAUGGGACAUCCAGUAUCCAGGUCGUGUCAUGCAAGAAAAUGGAGUGGUAGUUGAAGCCACGUGAUGUGCAUCUUGGGUUAAACUGUAAAUAGAAUCUUACUACUCUUGAGUAACUCCAAAAGUGGCCAUCGAAGAUCUUUAUUGGAUUUUUUCAUCACCAACACGUCGAGGUGAAAGAUGUGCAGGUUUAGUGGGUCCUCUUUCGUUUUCACUGACAUGUGGGACUGCAUGUGAGCGAACGGACGAUGGGCUCCGCACGUCUGCUGGCUGGAUGAGAAGAGAGAUAGAGGAGGGCUGAGCACGGACUCCAGGAAAUUUGUUCUACGUAACCAGCACCUCGAUAUAGGCUCCAUAUAGUAGGGUGGCAUGGGCCAUAAGUAGCAUUCACGUCUAACAGUACGGCACACGCCACCCACACGAGUCCCAUCCGACACCAAUUUCGUGCUGUGCUACAGCCAUCUCUUCUCCCUCCUGUUUUGUCAGCCAUCACGCGGUGGGUGGGGUGAGGGUUUGUCGAUAGUCGGUUUGGUCAACUGCGGUCCCACUUGUAAGUGAAAAUGCAACACAUCACGCAUUCCCCCUUGAGCGGCGUGCCGGACCAACCGUGUGGGGGUGCGACGCGAACACGGCAGGCUUUUCCUUUUGAACUUGUAACUUGUAAAAUUUGGUUCUGCUCCAUGGCGCGACCGAUAGAUAGAAAUAAUGAUUUUCCCUAGAGUAAUGAGAGGUUUGGUUCUGUCGCGGUUCAUGCAUGGAGUACGUAUGAAAAUUAUGAAUUUGAUGUGAAAGGUAAGACAAUUACUAGUAGUACCAUAUACUACUACAUGGAUUUGACGGAAAGAUAAAGAUACAUACGGAUCCAUCAACGACAUCCUCACGCCCUAGUGCGCCGGGUCACCAACCGACAUGUGAGGAGCAGCGGCGUUGGCGGCGAGCUCAACAUGCUUCUGAACAAUGCCGUCCAAGGUUGCCCUGCGUGUCAAGAAGGCCAGCGACCUAUCGUCCUCCUCUGGUACGUAGUAGUCCUUGUGGACGAUUUGCGCGUAGACAUGGGUGAUUAUGUCGACUGUGUCUUGCUGCGCCAGGCAGUCGUAGGGCCACCAGUGCGUGCAAGAGGUUGUCACCAUAGAGGCUGUUGAGGGUGGCGGGUGAUACGUCUCCAACGUAUCUAUAAUUUUUGGUUGUUCCAUGCUAUUAUAUUAUCUGUUUUGGAUGUUUAUGGGCUUUAUUAAACACUUUUAUAUCACUUUUGGGACUAACCUAUUAACCCAGAGCCCAGUGCCAGUUCCUGUGUUUUCCCUUGUUUCAGUGUUUCGAAGAAAAGGAAUAUCAAACGGAGUCGAAACGGAAUGAAACCUUCUGGAGAUGUUAUUUUUGGAAGGAAAGCAACCUGAUAGACUUGGAGUGCACGUCAGGAAAGAAACGAGGGAGCCACAAGGUAGGGGGGCGCACCCACCCCCCUAGGGCGCGCCCUCCACCCUCGUGGGCCCCUCGUGGCUCCUCUGACGUAUUUCCCUAUAUAUAUCCAUAUACCCUAAAACGAUCGGGAAACAGCAUAGAUCGGGAGUUCCGCCGCCGCAAGCCUCUGUAGCCACCAAAAACCAAUCGGGACCCUGUUCCGGCACCCUGCCGGAGGGGGGACCCUCACCAGUGGCCAUCUUCAUCAUCCCGGCACUCUCCAUGACGAGGAGGGAGUAGUUCACCCUCGGGGCUGAGGGUAUGUAUCAGUAGCUAUGUGUUUGAUCUCUCUCUCUCUCUCUCUCGUGUUCUUGAUUUGGCACGAUCUUGAUGUAUCGCGAGCUUUGCUAUUAUAGUUGGAUCUUAUGUUGCUUCUCCCCCUCUACUCUCUUGUAAUGGAUUGAGUUUUCCCCUUUGAAGUAAUCUUAUCGGAUUGAGUCUUUAAUGAUUUGAGAACACUUGAUGUAUGUCUUGCCGUGCGUAUCUGUGGUGACAAUGGGAUAUCACGUGAUUCACUUGAUGUAUGUUUUGGUGAUCAACUUGCGGGUUCCGCCCAUGAACUUAUGCAUAGGGGUUGGCACACGUUUUCGUCGUGAUUCUCCGGUAGAAACUUUGGGGCACUCUUUGAGGUUCUAUGUGUUGGUUGAAUAGAUGAAUCUCUGAUUGUGUGACGCAUAUCGUAUAAUCAUACCCAUGGAUACUUGAGGUGACAUUGGAGUAUCUAGGUGACAUUAGGGUUUUGGUUGAUUUGUGUCUUAAGGUGUUAUUAUAGUACGAACUCUAGGGCUGUUUGUGACACUUAUAGGAAUAACCCAACGGAUUGAUUGGAAAGAAUAACUUUGAGGUGGUUUCGUACCCUACCAUGAUCUCUUUGUUUGUUCUCCACUAUUAGUGACUUUGGAGUGACUCUUUGUUGCAUGUUGAGGGAUAGCUAUGUGAUCCAAUUAUGUUAUUAUUGUUGGGAGAACUUGCACUAGUGAAAGUAUGAACCCUAGGCCUUGUUUCCUAGCAUUGCAAUACCAUUUACGCUCACUUUUACCACUUGUUACCUUGCUGUUUUUAUAUUUUCAGAUUAUAAAAACCUAUAUCUACCAUCCAUAUUGCACUUGUACCACCAUCUCUUCGCCGAACUAGUGCACCUAUACAAUUUACCAUUGUAUUGGGUGUGUUGGGGACACAAGAGACUCUUUGUUAUUUGGUUGCAGGGUUGCUUGAGAGAGACCAUCUUCAUCCCACGCCUCCCACGGAUUGAUAAACCUUAGGUCAUCCACUUGAGGGAAAUUUGCUACUGUCCUACAAACCUCUGUACUUGGAAGCCCAACAACAUCUACAAGAAGAAGGUUGUGUAGUAGAUAUCAAGUUUCUGGCGCCGUUGCCGGGGAGGUGAGUGCUUGAAGGUAUAUCUUGAGAUCUUGCAAUCGAAUCUUUUUGUUUCGUGUUUUAGCACUAGUUUAGUUUAUAAAAGAAAACUACAAAAAAAUGGAAUUGAGUUUGUCUCAUACGCUUCGUCUUUUUAAUAUCUUUCGUGAGUAUGAUGGAAAGGAAAAUUGUGCCAAAGUGUUAGAAUAAGAAUGCAUUAAAAUGUUUGGCACUAAAUCUUUGAAUGAUGAGCAUGAUUGCAAUGUUGUUAGUAUGAACUCCUUGAAUAUCCAUAGUACUAAUGGUGAUUGCACUAGUUAUGAUGAAAAUGUCUCCUAUAAACAUGUCAAUUUUUGUGGAGUGCAUUGGGUUUGCAAGUACACACCAAAUAGGGAAGAUAGAUAUUGCAAGAGGCACAAGUACUUAGAAACUAAAUUGUUGCAAGAAAGGUUAGAUGUUUGUGCUGAAAGAUUCAAUAUUUAUUGCCAUCCUUGUGAACUUUGCAAUGAACAUGGUCAUUUGAAGCUCCAAUGCUAUUUGUUUCAUGAUCAAGUCGUGUCCAAAAUGUGUGAUAACUUGAUUACCCUUGAGCAUCAUAAAGAGCUUAGUCUUCUCUUAGGUUGUGAAGAAAUGAAACGUAUAACUGAGGGUAUUCCAAAAUUUAAUCUCGAUAAAUUUCUUGAUUUUGAUCUAGAGGAAAUUUAUAUUUAUUGUGCAGUGAAUUGCAUUGAAAACCCUUAUAUUGCCAAUUACAUAAAGAAAAGAAAACAAAUAGAAGAUGAAGAGAAUACUAAUGAAAGGGAAGAGACUUCCCAAUAUCCUCCUAUUAUUUCUUAUGAUGAAUCAGGUAACGAGGAGGAGCCUUCUAUUCAACCAAUCUCAUUAAUAAGGAGCUCCAAAAACAGGAUUGAACCCACACAUGAUGUGGUUAAGAAGAAAAGAAAAAGGAAGAGAGGUAAAAAGGUAUCCCUCCCAAAUAAUGUUGCUCCUAUUAUUGUUGUGCCUCAUGAAAAUGAAUCAAAAAUAAUUGUGGAAGAUGAUGCACUUGAUGAUGAUCUCGUUAUGCCUAUUGCUUAUUGUGAUGAUUAUGAUUGGGAAGAUAAUGAUACUCCUUAUGAUCUUGAAAAUCUUUUUGGCACUUGCUUGGAUGAAUAUGAUAGUUGCUAUACUAUUGGUGUUGUCCAUACUAUUAAUAAUGAGAGUGAUUAUGCUUAUGAUAUGAAAAGGCCCAAGCUUGGGGAUGCUAUGUUUGAUGAAGACGAUGUUUUCGAGAAUAUAUUUGCUGCAAUUAAUGUUUUUCGCAAGCUUGGGGAUGCUACGUUUAAUGAAGAUGAUAUUUUUAGCCCCCCAAGUUUUGAUAUGCAAAGUUGCUACGAUGAUAGCGUGCCUUCAACCUAUGAUGAUUAUAUUGAUGAAAGUGGGUUUGGAAGAGUGUCAACUUUAGGAAGUAAUGAUCCCACUAUUUUGGAGGAUGUUGAAUCUUAUAAUAAUUAUGAAAAUGUAUUUGGAGAGGUCAUGACUUUAUUUAGUAAUGAUUCCACUAUCUUGGAAGAGGUUUCAAUCGAUUAUGAUGAGAACAAAGUUGCUACUUAUGAUGAUUAUUGUGAUGAUACAUAUGCUAUAAAAAGUAGUGAUGAUUAUAUUUAUAAAACUUGUCAUGAUUAUGAUUCCCCUUUUUCUGAACAUUACUCUUUUAAUGUGGAAACAAUUUAUAGUAUUCAAGUCUCUUAUGAUACUCCCACUAUUCCGAAUGAGAAGAAUUUUGCUUAUGUGGAGAGUAAUAAAAUUUCUAUGCUAGUAGAUCAUGAAAAGAAUUAUUUAGGUGCUGGUUAUAUUGUUGAAUUCAUUCAUGAUGCUACUGAAAAUUAUUAUGAGGGAGGAAUAUAUGCUUGUAGGAAUUGCAAUAAUAUCAAGUUUCCUCUCUAUGUGCUUAAAUUUUUUAAGUUAUGCUUGUUUUUCCUUCCUAUGCUAGUUGAUUGUUGUUCACAUAAGUUCUUUGCUCACAAAAUCCCUAUGCAUAGGAAGUUGGUUAGACUUAAAUGUGCUAGUCAUAUUCUUCAUGAUGCUCUCUUUAUGUUUCAAUUCUUAUCUCUUAUGUGAGCAUCAUUGAAAUCAUCAUGCCUAGCUAGGGGCGUUAAACAUUAGCGCUUGUUGGGAGGCAACCCAAUUUUAUUUUAGUUUCUUGCUUUUUGGUUAUGUUUAGGAAUAAAUAUUUGAUCUAGCCUCUGGUUAGACUUGUUUUUGUGUUUUAAUUAGUGUUUGUGCCAAGUAAGACCUAUAGGAUCUUCUUGGAUGAUAGUUAUUUGAUCCUGCCGAAAAUUCCAGAAACUUUCUGUUCACUAAAACAUUGUUUAAAAUAACCAGAACGUGAUAAAAUACUGAUUCCAAUUGCAGAAGAUCAAUAAUCAAAUUUUCUAGGUCUUCCUAUUUUGGUAGAAUUUUUGGAGUUCCAGAAGUUUGCGUUAGUUACAGAUUACUACAGACUGUUCUGUUUUUGACAGAUUCUGUUUUCAUUGUGUUGUUUGCUUAUUUUGAUGAAUCUAUGGCUAGUAAAAUAGUUUAUAAACCAUAAAGAAGUUGGAAUACAGUAGGUUCAAUACCAAUAUAAAUAAAGAAUGAGUUCAUUACAGUACCUUCAAGUGGUGUGUUGUUUUCUUUCGCUAACGGAGCUCACGAGUUUUCUGUUGAGUUUUGUGUUGUGAAGUUUUCAAGUUUUGGGUAAAGAUUCGAUGGACUAUGGAAUAAGGAGUGGCAAGAGCCUAAGAUUGGGGAUGCCCAAGGCACCCCAAGGUAAUAUUCAAGGACAACCAAAAGCCUAAGCUUGGGGAUGCCCCGGAUGGCAUCCCCUCUUUCGUCUUCAUUCAUCGGUAACUUUACUUGGAGCUAUAUUUUUAUUCACCACAUGAUAUGUGUUUUGCUUGGAGCGUCAUGUCAUUUUGUUUUGUUUUUCUUGCUGUUUGAAAAAAGUAUCAAGAUCUGAAUUUCUUAAAAUGGGAGAGUCUUCACAUAGUUGCAUAAUUAUUCGACUACUCAUUGAUCUUCACUUAUAUCUUUCGGUGUAGUUUGUUGUUUGCUCUAGUGCUUCACUUAUAUCUUUUAGAGCAUGGUGGUAGUUUUAUUUUGAAGAAAUAGAUGAACUCUCAUGCUUCACUUAUAUUAUUUUGAGAGUCUUUAUAACAGCAUGGUAAUUUGCUUUGGUUAUGAAUUUAGUCCUAAUAUGAUGGGCAUCCAAGAUGGGUAUAAUAAAAACUUUCAUAUAAAGUGCAUUGAAUACUAUGAGAAGUUUGAUUCUUAAUGAUUGUUUUGAGAUAUGAAGAUGGUGAUAUUAGAGUCAUGCUAGUUGAGUAGUUGUGAAUUUGAGAAAUACUUGUGUUAAAGUUUGUGAUUCCCGUAGCAUGCACGUAUGGUGAACCGUUAUGUGAUGAAGUCGGAGCAUGAUUUAUUUAUUGAUUGUCUUCCUUAUGAGUGGCGGUCGGGGACGAGCGAUGGUCUUUUCCUACCAACCUAUCCCCCUAGGAGCAUGCGCGUAGUACUUUGUUUCGAUAACAAAUAGAUUUUUGCAAUAAGUAUGCGAGUUCUUUAUGACUAAUGUUGAGUCCAUGGAUUAUACGCACUCUCACCCUUCCACCAUUGCUAGCCUCUCUAAUACCGCGCACCUUUCGCCGGUAUCAUACACCCACCAUAUAUCUUCCUCAAAACAGCCACCAUACCUACCUAUUAUGGAAUUUCCAUAGCCAUUCCGAGGUAUAUUGCCAUGCAACUUACCACUGUUCCGUUUAUUAUGACACGCUCCAUCAUUGUCAUAUUGCUUUGCAUGAUCAUGUAGUUGACAUUGUAUUUUUGGCAAAGCCACCGUUCAUAAUUCUUUCAUACAUGUCACUCAUGAGUCAUUGCACAUCCCGAUACACCGCCGGAGGCAUUCAUAUAGAGUCAUAUCUUGUUCUAAGUAUUGAGUUGUAAUUCUUGAGUUGUAAGUAAAUAAAAGUGUGAUGAUCAUCAUUAUUAGAGCAUUGUCCCAGUGAGGAAAGGAUGAUGGAGACUAUGAUUCCCCCACAAGUCGGGAUGAGACUCCGGACGAAAAAUAAAAAAAAGGAGGAAAAAGAGGCCAAAAAAGGAGAAGGCCCAAAAAAAGAGAGAAAAAGAGAGAAGGGGCAAUGCUACUAUCCUUUUACCACACUUGUGCUUCAAAGUAGCACCAUGAUCUUCAUGAUAGAGAGUCUCUUGUUUUGUCACUUUCAUAUACUAGUGGGAAUUUUUCAUUAUAGAACUUGGCUUGUAUAUUCCAAUGAUGGGCUUCCUCAAAAUGCCCUAGGUCUUCGUGAGCAAGCGAGUUGGAUGCACACCCACUUAGUUUCUUUUGUUGAGCUUUCAUAAACUUAUAGCUCUAGUGCAUCCGUUGCAUCGCAAUCCCUACUCACUCACAUUGAUAUCUAUUGAUGGGCAUCUCCAAAGCCCGUUGAUACGCCUAGUUGAUGCGAGACUAUCUUCUCCUUUUUGUCUUCUCCACAACCACCAUUCUAUUCCACCUAUAGUGCUAUGUCCAUGGCUCACGCUCAUGUAUUCCGUGAAGAUUGAAAAAGUUUGAGAACGUCAAAAGUAUGAAACAAUUUCUUGGCUUGUCAUCGGGGUUGUGCAUGAUUUAAAUACUUUGUGUGGUUAAGAUAGAGCAUAGCCAGACUAUAUGAGUUAGUAUGCUUGAAGUAUUAUUAUUUUUAUGUCAAUAUUAAACUUUUGUCUUGAAUCUUAUGGAUUUGAACAUUCAUGCCACAAUAAAGAGAAUUACAUGGAUAAGUAUGUUAGGUAGCAUUCCACAUAAAAAAUUCUGUUUUUAUCAUUUACCUACUCGAGGACGAGCAGGAAUUAAGCUUGGGGAUGCUGAUACGUCUCCAACAUAUCUAUAAUUUUUGAUUGUUCCAUGCUAUUAUAUUAUCUAUUUUGGAUGUUUAUGGGCUUUAUUAAACACUUUUAUAUCACUUUUGGGACUAACCUAUUAACCCAGAGCCCAGUGCCAGUUCCUGUUUUUCCCCUUGUUUCAGUGUUUCGAAGAAAAGGAAUAUCAAACGGAGUCGAAACAGAAUGAAACCUUCUGGAGAAGUUAUUUUUGGAAGGAAAGCAACCUCAUAGACUUGGAGUGCACGUCAGGAAAGAAACGAGGGAGCCACGAGGUAGGGGGCGCGCCCACCCCCCUAGGCCGCGCCCUCCACCCUCGUGGGCCCCUCGUGGCUCCCCUAACGUAUUUCUUUCGCCUAUAUAUAUCCAUAUACCCUAAAACGAUAGGAAAACAGCAUAGAUCGGGAGUUCCGCCGCCGCAAGCCUCUGUAGCCACCAAAAACCAAUCGGGACCCUGUUCCGGCACCCUGCCGGAGGGGGGAACCCUCACCAAUGGCCAUCUUCAUCAUCCCGACGCUCUCCAUGACAAGGAGGGAGUAGUUCACCGUCGGGGCUGAGGGUAUGUACCAGUAGCUAUGUGUUUGAUAUAUCUCUCGUGUUCUUGAUUUCGCACGAUCUUGAUGUAUCGCGAGCUUUGCUAUUAUAGUUGGAUCUUAUGUUUCUUCUCCCCCUCUACUCUCUUGUAAUGGAUUGAGUUUUCCCCUUUGAAGUAAUCUUAUCGGAUUGAGUCUUUAAUGAUUUGAGAACACUUGAUGUAUGUCUUGCCAUGCGUAUCUGUGGUGACAAUGGGAUAUCACGUGAUUCACUUGAUGUAUGUUUUGGUGAUCAACUUGCGGGUUCCGCCCAUGAACCCAUGCAUAGGGGUUGGCACACGUUUUCUACGUGAUUCUCCGGUAGAAACUUUGGGGCACUCUUUGAGGUUCUAUGUGUUGGUUGAAUAGAUGAAUCUGAGAUUGUGUGACACAUAUCGUAUAAUCAUACCCACGGAUAAUUGAGGUGACAUUGGAGUAUCUAGGUGACAUUAGGGUUUUGGUUGAUUUGUGUCUUAAGGUGUUAUUCUAGUACGAACUCUAGGGCUGUUUGUGACACUUAGAGGAAUAGCCCAACAGAUUGAUUGGAAAGAAUAACUUUGAGGUGGUUCCGUACCCUACCAUGAUCUCUUCGUUUGUUCUCCGCUAUUAGUGACUCUGGAGUGACUCUUUGUUGCAUGUCGAGGGACAGUUAUGUAAUCCAAUUAUGUUAUUAUUGUUGAGAGAACUUGCACUAGUGAAAGUAUGAACCCUAGGCCUUAUUUCCUAGCAUUGCAAUACCGUUUACGCUCACUUUUACCACUUGUUACCUUGCUGUUUUUAUAUUUUCAAAUUAUAAAAACCUAUAUCUACCAUCCAUAUUGCACUUGUAUCACCAUCUCUUCGCCGAACUAGUGCACCUAUACAAUUUACCAUUGUAUUUGGUGUGUUGGGGACACAAGAGACUCUUUGUUAUUUGGUUGCAGGGUUGCUUGAGAGAGACCAUCUUCAUCCUACGCCUCCCACAGAUUGAUAAACCUUAGGUCAUCCACUUGAGGGAAAUUUGCUAAUGUCCUACAAACGUCUGCACUUGGAGGCCCAACAACGUCUACAAGAAGAAGGUUGUGUAGUAGACAUCAGCGGGCAUCGCAGAGCCUAGGCGUGUGGGCUGGAGGCGUACGUCAAGGUCGUCCGCGAGCUUCAUGACGACGGUGAACUUGUCGAGGAAGCCGACGAGGACCUCGUAACAAUGAGACGAAGCUUUUGUCCAAGCGGCCUCUCGCCCUGGCAGCCUCAAGCACGACCUGGAGACGUUCCCCGGUGCCGGGCCGAAGGCCGGUGUCAUGGACCAUCUGGCACAGCCGGCUGAUGCUCGCGCUCAGCGCCUCCAUGGGUCUAGCUUCGAGUCAACUGAUCUUGCGAUUGGAGUGAUCACUCUUGCCCUUAGUUAGGGUGCGUAGGUGCGUAGGAUUUCAUAGAUUGGACAGGCGGGGAGCCUUUAUAUGGGAAGUGCAGACUGCAUUGCAUUCAUGUGUGUGUUGGCCAUCUACUCCUCGGCCCUCUACUGCACCUGCCUUUAAUUUGGUUGUAUGACAGGUGGGCAAGCCACCUAUUGGGCCCACGUGUCAUUCACCCAAACGCAGGUGCAGUAAGUCAAUGAAGCCGCGCCCCCUCUGUGCUGGUGUAGUAUAGUCAUCUCACCGGACCUCUAGUUGGGGCCAAACGAGAGAACUUUGAUGUUUACUGGUUUAUUGGUCCCCUUUGCAUUUUGCGCCAUGUUUUGACCUUUGAUUUAACUAAUAAAAUGUUAAUGCAUGUAACCAAAAAUGUUGUGUAAGUCACCUUACGAAAACCAAAUAAUCCCAAAACACUUAGGCACGGUACAUUAACUCCCUCCUCGUUUCUUAUUUCAUGACAUAUCAACCAAUGAGAGAUGUGGGCCGUGCAUGCUUUCAAUGACUUGAGACUACCAAACAUGACAUGCAGUGGUUAGUUCAUUGCAUGUAAUCCUAUUAAUUAGCAAAAGACAUUAAGUUCUCUUGCUUUCCCCUUCGUCUUGGUCACGGUGCACAACCUAAGAGCAUGGUUAAUAGUAUAGCCAGCUACCGACUAUAUGAUGUUGCCAUGUCAUACAGAGCCAUCACUUGUAGCCACUUAUACAAUAAGGUUAGCUAUAAGGCUGGCUAUAAGAGUACUACUUUUUAUCAUCUUCUCUCUCUCUCUCUCUCUUUCUUCAUAUUUAUUGUAUAUCGGCCUAGGAAUCCGCAUAUAGCUAGGCUCUUGCAUGAGAGCCCACUCCUCUUUUUCACUUGCUCUAAGAUGACUUAUACACCUAGACGGAGGGAGUAGUCUCAAGUCAUUGGAUGCAUACGCACCCCACGUCUCGUAUUGGGUGAUUUCUUUUUUCAUGGCAAAAAUAGGGAACGAGGUGAGUAGUUAAUGCACUGCACCAAAAAGUUUUGGGAUUACUAUUUGGUUUUCGUUACGUGACUAAUGCACCGGUACGGAGGGAGUACAAUAGUAGUCUUUGAUUGCAAUUUUUUGUUGGUAGCUUACAAAGUUGAGCUCUCGGUGAGUACAAUAGUAGUCUGAUUGAUGAGACUUCAGAUUUGAGCCAUCUACCGGAAGGAAUAAAACAAUACACCAUGUAUUUAUUUACAGAGGGAGUAGUAUAGUUUUUGUGACAUGCAUUACUAGAUAUUGCUAGUCAAAUACUAAAUCCAGAAGGUGGUGCUAGUACUAGUAGUAGUACUACCAAUGUAGUAGUACUAUACUACCCGUUGGUCAAAUUAUUACGUGCUGCUCCUCACGGUGAAGUGACAAGACCCUGCACCGGAGAUCACACCUGAGUGUAGGCACCGUGUUCGGCAUACCAUAGACAGCCUCACCGUCUGCAGUCACUAUCAUCAUGGUUGUAGAGCUAGCCUGCUUACAACUAGCCAUGUUUGACAUAAUUUCCCGUGCGUAGAUGCCCGUGCAUUGCACGGAACACCAAGAUUGGGGGUGGAUGGCGCCGGCAGCGGCCAUCACGCCAGAUUUUUCCAUGGCCUUUUAGAUGUGGUGGGGAGGAGAUAAGGCUGAUUGUGAGUGUCGGAUUUCGGGUUCCGGCAAACCCUUGAGGUUCGAACACUUGGGUGCGCACGAAGAUCUCUCUCUCCCUAGCUCGCUCGCUCCACGAUCCACGGCCUAGCUCGUCGAACUCGAAGAACACUCGACACGAGGGUUUAUACUGGUUCGGGCCACCGUUGUGGUGUAAUACCCUACUCCAGUGUGGCGUGGUGGAUUGCCUUGUCGGCUGGGGAUGAACAAGUACAAGGGAAGAACAGCCUCGGGAGGAGACGUGUUCUUGGGCUCGGUGAGCUGAUGAGCGCUAGGGUGCCCCGAAUGAUCCCUCCCCGGCUAUGGCGGUGGCUAGUCCUAUUUAUAGAGGCCAGGGUCCUCUUCCCAAAUAUUAGGUGGGAAGGGACCCCACAACGGCCAAGUUUGAAGGGAUCCCACAAGCUAUCCUGACAAAAGUAGUCUUCGCCUGCCAAAGGCUCUGGCGGUGACGCCGUCCUGGCCUCCACGAUGACCUCCGUCCUGCCGUCCUGCUGGUCUUGGUCUUGUUGCACCGAUAUGGAAACCUUUGCUUGGCGCCUCGGGACUCCUCGCCUGCGUCUGCCUCUUGAGCACCAAAGAGGAAACUGGUACCCUGCGCCCGCUGGCGCCCUCCUGGUGCCCGCCUGGCCUUGGUCGUCAUGGCUCACGUUACGCGCUCCUCGCGAGGUGCUCCUUGCCUACUCCGCUCCUCGCGAGCCAGCCUAGCGAGGCUGCCCCUGAGGAAGUCUUGCGUUGUCCACCUCGCGAGGCUUGGCCGCUAGCAAGAGUCUUGAAUGUUUGCUGAUGAAGAUGGGCCGUACCAGGCCGCUGGGCGAGCCACGCCCUGGGCCACAGGCAGGCAAGUCUGGGGACCCCCGUUACCAGAACGCCGACAGUAGCCCCCGGGCCCAAGGCACGCUCGGACUUGGCUUUGAGGCGAAGACAAAGGGCAAGUGCGGAGCGCCACGGGCCCCAAUAGCCUGCGGCCGUGAUUGACGCGUGGCGACUGAUUGGACGUGGGCGUCUCGGCUUCCCCACGCUGCCUCGGCAACUGGCCCUGACUUGUCGAGUCCUUGCAACAUGCAAAAUGAUCAUCAUUACCUGCGAUCGUGGCGGCUGGCGGUUGGCCUCCCUCUGGCUAUAAAUGAGAGGGGCGGAGCCCCCGUUGCUCAUCUCUUCCUCCAUCCUGCUCGCUUCUUCUUCCUCCUUGCUCCUCUGCUUGGCAGCGACACCCAUGGCGCCGGCGAAGAGGUUCUCUGCCACAGAGAAAGGGAAGGCCAGCUAGGAGGGGCCCGGCUCGCCACCGCCGAAGAGGGGACGCGGUCGUCCCCACAACCACGUCGCGACCCCCGGCGCCGUCCUUGGUGGCCGCAGCGGCGCCUCUUCGCGCGCCGGUAACCGCCCCGUGGCAGCCCCAUCAAUGAAGGGCGGCGCGCCAUGGUCGCCCGGCCUCCCCGGCCGCGCUUCCACUUAGCGGAAGUGCUGCCGAAGUUCGUUGUGUGUUCGGAGAACCCGGCCGGCACCUGGCUUCAGCUCUCGCGCUCCUUCGCCGACGAACUGCCGGCCACGGGUCACGACGGUCUCUGGCUGCAGGCAGAUGGUUGCUGCAGCAAGGCUUCGUGGGUUGCGGUGGAGGUCUCCGCCGCAGGCAACAUGACCCUGGCCCAUGGUUGGCAGACGUUCUCCCGCGCUCGCGAUCUUAGCAGGCGGUGCAUCCUCCACUUCAAGUACGACGGUGACGCGACCCUCUUUGUGAGGGUAUUCGGGGAAGAUGGUCGCGGCGUCGGGUGCUGCCCUAAGGACAACGAUGGCGGCGAGGUACUCGGCCUCGGCGACGGUCGUGACGAGGAUGAGGAUGAACUCGCCCUCGGUGCCGGCCACGGUUUGUCCAGCUAUGGCAGCUCCUCCUCUGGUGACAGCUCUAGGAGCGGCGGCUACGAUCAACCACCACGCCGCCGUGCCCGCUUCGAGGGCGGGGGCGGGUCGUCUCAUCGUCGCGCCCCAGUGAAGCGCGAGGAGGGCUCUGGCUGAGUCCAGGAGGGAGCCGAGGGCCAACCCUUGCGAGCCACUGCGGGUGCACGCGCCGCUUUUGUUUGUCCUUUCCUUUCUUCCUGCACUUCAAAAAUAAGACAAUUAUGGGGCCCUGCAGGGGCGUGAAAUGAACUGUGGUUUUCAAGUCGCUAUGUUAUGCUUAUUGUUCUUGUGUUGUGGCCCUCGUGCUUCAUGUAGGUGUAGGAGGAUAACUUAUCUUGGUGCGUCCAGGGUAGUUUCACGUCUCGUGGUGCACCUUCUAAGGCCUGAUGACACCUGCUAGCUGCUGGCUCAGGAGCUGUUGACCUCAGGAGUCGUUGUAGGGCUGCAAAAUUUGUUAGGUCGUCCGUUGGGUGCUUAUCCUUCCCUGCGCGAGGCCUCAGCCAUGCGCCAGUUAUGUCCCGGCGCACUUUGUCGCGGUACCCGUGGGGCACGGACUUAGGGGGGUGCGUCAAGCACAAGCUUAAUGGAGGGUGCUCUGCGAAGAUUAGGAGAGCCAGAGCUCUUGAGCGACAGAGCUAUGGUGAGGUGUGUCCGCGGUUGGGCUAGCCCAGUGUGGCGCACACCUGCCCAGCCCCCGCGCGAGGCGCGCGAGGAAGUGCGUCGGGCAACUGCCGCCUUCCCAAGCGCAAAACGAGGAAUGAGCGAAAAAGCAGAGAAAGAAGGAAACCCCAACCAAGCAAUCGAUAGAGAACACCAGAACUCCAAACUCCAUAAAAAAGGGGGCAAACCAACUACAGAAAGCAAAUGAACAGCCGCGUCCGGCACCUAGUCUAGUCUUCUCACCAGCGCGGAGCUAAGUGCUGCCACUAGGACGUGGGAGGGAGCCCCCGAGGCCCGAGGGCGGCACUCUGGAGACUUCGGGGCGUGUACAGCCCCCCUCAUUAUUACGUGAGAGUGUCACGAGCGGAGAACUUCAUAGGCACUGGGCCUUGCUUCACAGGCACUGGGCCUUGCUUCAUGGGUAGAAAUUCCGGAGGUGCUGGAUGUUCCAAGCGUUCUGGAUUGGGAUCCGUCCUGUAUCUCCAGGCGCGCGGCGCUAGGCCUGGAGACACGGGCGAUCCUAAAUGGGCCCUCCCACAUGGGUGAGAGCUUGUGCAUCCCUUCCCUGGAGAGCACCCGCCUUAGGACGAGAUCGCCCACCUCGAGCGUCCUGGAGAGGAUGCUGUGACAGUGGUACCGUCGCAGCGCCUGCGGGUACCUUGCCACUCGGAGCGAGGCUUCCCGGCGGUGUUCCUCCCCCAGCACAAGGUCCAUCCCCCACAUGGCGUCCUGCUGCAUCUCAUCGAACGCCAGGACCCACGCGGAGCGAUGCUUGACCUCAUGAGGGAGAACCGCUUCUGCUCCAUAGACGGGGAAGAACGGGGUCACGCCUGUGGGCUUGGUGGCGGUGGUGCGGAUGGACCACAACAUAGACUGGAGCUCUUCGUGCCAGCCCCUGCCGCAGGCCUCGAGCUUCUUCUUGAAGGUCCUGGUCUUGAGCCCCCUUAAGACCUCCGCAUUGCCACGCUCGACCUGGCCAUUGCUCCUGGGGUGUGCUACCGAAGCGUAGCAAAUCUACGUUCCAAGGUUAGCACAGUAUGUCCUGAAGAGGUUGCUAGUUAAUUGCGAGCCAUUGUCAGUGAUGAUGCGGUUGGGGACCCCAAACCGGAUCAGGAGACCCUUGAUGAACCUGAUCGUGGAUCCGGCCAGGAUGGUGCGGACGGCUUCCACCUCCGCCUACUUGGUGAACUUGUCGAUGGCGACGUAGAGGUAGCGGUAGCCCCCGGGCGCUCGGGGGAACGGACCGAGGAUAUCCAACCCCCAGACCGCGAAUGGCCAGGAGAGUGGGAUAGUCUAUAGGCCUUGAGCCGGCUGGUGGAUCUGCUUGGCAUGGAAUUGGCAGGCUUCGCAGGACCUCACCAGCUCGGCCGCGUCGUUGAGUGCCGUGGGCCAGUAGAAACCGCUGCGAAAUGCCUUACCAACCAAGGUGCACGACGACGAGUGAUGCCCGCAGUCCCCGGCAUGUAUGUCAGCUAGCAGCUUGCUCCCUUGCUUCUUGGAGAUGCACCGCAAAGAAACAUCAUUUCGUUGUUUUCCGUAAAGCUCACCGUCCUGAAUGCAACACGUCGUAGCCUGCCGGGCUACACGCUCUGCGUCCUCUUCUUUCUCCGGCAGCGCUCCUUGCACCAGGUAUGCCUUGAACUCCUCGGUCCAGCACCCCUCCAAAGGCUCGAGCGCUAGGAGCAAGCGCGCUCCCGAGGCCGGGCCACAGGUGGGGGUUCCCGAGGUCGGUGGCUGGGGGAGUUCCUCCUGAGGCGGCCCCGGCCCCGUAGGCGGAGGUGCUUCCGAAGGCUUAAAGAGCCGUUUCUCGAAGACGCCGGGCUCCUGGGUCAUGCGCCUGGAUGCCCUUUUGGCAAAGCCGUCGCCUUCCUUGUUGGUGCCACGAGGUACGUGCUGUAGCUCCAGGACCAAGAACUGCUUCUCCAUUUUGCGUACCUCCGUGAGGUAUGCCUCCAUGUGCUCGUCCUUCGGUUCGUAUACCUUGUUAGAGAAGUUAACGUGGAGCUGCGAGUCGCCCCUGAUGGUGAGGCGUUUCACUCCCUGGGCCACCGCAGCCUUAAGGCCGGCGAUGAGGCCCUCGUAUUCUGCGAUGUCGUUGAAGACCUUCUCGCCCUGCUGGAAGCAGAGCUGCACGGCGUAGUAAAGCUUGUCCUGAGUGGUCGAGAUGAGCACAGCUCCAGCCCCCGUGCCCUGCCGUGCAAACGCGCAGUCGAAGUACAUGACCCAGCCAUCUGGCGCUUCACUUCCUGGUGAGAGGGAUCGGUCCUCGCUUGCUUCGAGCUCUGCGGUGUCGGUUCAUUCUGCCACGAAGUCGGUGAGCGCAGCUCCCUUGAUGACCCUAGUUGUGCUGAACUCCAACUGAAACGCUUGCAGCCCGAUGUUCCAUUCGGUGACUCUUCCCGCAGCAUUAGGGCUCCGGAGCACUCUCUCCAGUGGGUAAACCAAGACAACCUUGAUGGGGUGACCUUGGAAGUAGUGGCGCAGCUUACGUGAGGCCACCAGGAGCUCGAGCAAGAGCUUCUGAGGCAUGGGGUAUCGUGCUCUCGCAUCUCGUAGCACCGUGGUGAUGAAGUACACCGGGUGCUCAACAAUGGCGGGAGCGUCGAUGGAGCCCGAGUCCUCCGGAGGUUGGUCGCCCAUCGGGCCCCUAUAGGCCCGGUAGCAUCGUCGCGCAGUGUCUGCUGAUCAGCUGGCGUCGUUGUGGUUUUGGUGGCACCGUCUUGGCGCUGUUCUGCUCUAGCCGGAGGUGCGGCGCCGCGUGGCGUGCUCUUCCCCUGGCGCUCUUCCCGAACAGCCACCAGCGCCGCGCUGGCUGAGUAGGGCGUGGCAGCCAGGUAGAGCACCAGGGGCUCGAGAGGACGAGGCGCUACUAUCACCGGUGUCCUAGUCAAGUAUCUCUUGAGGUCCUGAAAUGCCAGAUCGGCCUCUGGGGUCCACUCGAACGGCCCCUUUUUCUUCACCAGCUUGAAGAACGGCAAGGCGCGCUCCCCCAGCUUGGAGAUGAAACGCCCCAACGAGGUUACGCAGCCUGCGAGCUUCUGCAUUUCCUUGAGGGUUUGCGGCGGGCUCAUGUCUUCUAUCGCUUUGACCUUCUCUGGGUUGGCCUCGAUCCCUCGGUGCGACACGAGGAAGCCCAGCAGCUUGCCGAAAGGGACACCAAACACACACUUCUCCGGGUUGAGCCGCAGGUCCACCUAGCGCAGGCUGGUGAAAGUUUCUUCCAGGUCCUAAAUGAGGGUUCUUGCUUCCCAAGAUUUUACUACGAUGUCAUCAACAUAGGCUUCUGUUCCUCCCUAGCUACUGGCCUAGGGCGAUGUGGAUCAACCGCUGGAAGGCCGCCCCUGCGUUGCGUAGUCCGAAUGGCAUGCAGGUGUACCAGUACACCCCACACGGGGUUAGGAAGGCUGUCUUUCCACAUCUUCUUCCGCCAUCUUGAUAUGAUGGUAGCCCGAGAACGCGUCCAGGAAACACAGUAAGUCAAACUCGGUGGUGGAGUCGACGAUCUAGUCAAUGCGCUGGAGCGGGAACGGGCCUUGGGGGCAAGCUUUGUUGAGGUUCGUGAAGUCGACACACAUGCGCUCCUUCCCACCUUUCUUGGGCACGACGACGGGGUUUGCCAGCCAUUCCGGGUACCGGACCUCGCGGAUGACAGCUGCUGCUUCUAGCUUGCGAGUUUCUUGCAUGAUGAAGGACUGCUUCUCCAUGGACUGUCGCCGCGCCUUCUGCUUCACAGGGCGCACAUUGGGGCACACCCUUAAGUGAUGCUCGAUCACCCCUCUCGGGACCCAUACCAGUUGCUUGGGCUCCCAGGCGAAUACCUCCUUGUUCGCGCGUAGGAAUUUCACCAAUGCUUACUCUUGGUCCCGGUCGAGGUUGGCGCCAAUGGUGAAGGUGGCUCCCGAGGAUCCAUCCUCCUCGACCGGCACUUGCUUCGUUUCGGCUCGAUCCUGAGUGAACAACUGCUUCUUUUUUGCUGGCGCGGCUUCGUCAGCUGAGCGUGCCGCUGCUGCGGCCCUGAAGGCAAGUUGGAGGGCUGUCAGGGCUUCUUUGGUGUCCCCAGCCACGGUAAGGACACCGUUUCUCCCUGGCAUCUUCAUGAGGUUAUAGGCAGGAUGGGUAGCCGCCAUGAACUGAGCCAGGGCCGGGUACCCAAGGAUAUCGUUGUACGGGAAGCCGAUGCGGGCGACAUCAAAGUCGAUAAGCUCGGUGCGGUAGUUGUCACGGGUGCCGAAAGUCACGGGGAGGCGGAUCUGCCCUAGGGGGCUGGUGGAGCCGCUGCCAACCCCGGAGAAGGGCUUGGUGGGGCGGAGCCGUUCGCACUGCACAUGGAGCAAGCUGAAAGCCUCCACCAAGAGCAUGUUGAGGCCGGCCCCACCGUCGAUGAGGGUCUUGGUAACCGCCAUGUGGCAGAUGAUGGGCGUGCAAAGCAUCGGGACAUCGCCUGAGCCCGCGGUGGUCACCGGAUGAUCCUCCAAGUUGAAGGUGAGGUCGGCCUUGGGCGCUGCCCAUCCCGGAGGAGCUCCCGGUUGCGCGCAGGCGGCGCCCACUUGGCGGAAGAAUUGCUUGACAUGGUGACCAGAAGGCGCCGCCUGGAAGUCGCCGAGGAGGGCCGCGACGGCAGGGGGUGCCGGUCCCCCGAAGCGCGCGACGAAGAGGUCGCGCAGCUCCUCCCAGGAGGCCACAGAGGAUUCUGGCAGACAGAGAAGCCAAGCGCGCGGCGCGCCAGCGAGGGCCAUGGGGAACCAUUUGGCCAUGACCUUAUCGUCGCCCUCGGCUUCCAGAAUAGCCUCCUCGUAUGCCAGCAGGAAGGCCGCCGGAUCCGCCGUGCCAUCGUAGCGAGGCGGCAUCUCCGGCUUGAACUUGAGCGGCCACCGCACUCGCCGCAAGGCGGGGGCGAGGGCCUGGAGCCCCCUGGCGCCGCUGCGCGCGCCCGUCGAUCGAGUCAGAGAAGCGGCGCCGUCCAUGGGAGCUGGUCGGAGAGGCGAAGCCGUCAGAGGAGCGAAGCUUCGGCGCACCCCUACCUGGCGCGCCAAAUGUCGGAUUACGGGUUCCGGCAAACCCUUGAGGUUCGAACACUGGGGUGUGCACGAAGAUCUCUCUCUCCCUAGCUCACUCGCUCAACGAUCCACGGCCUAGCUCGUCGAACUCGAAGAACACUAGACACGAGGGUUUAUACUGGUUCGGGCCACCGUUGUGGUGUAAACCCUACUCCAGUGUGGCAUGGUGGAUUUCUUUGUCUACUCGGGAUGAACAAGUACAUGGGAAGAACAGCCUCGGGAGGAGAGGUGUUCUUGGGCUCGGUGAGCUGAUGAGUGCUAGGGUGGCCCCGAAUGAUCCCUCCCCGGCUAUGGCGGUGGCUAGUCCUAUUUAUAGAGGCCAGGUUCCUCUUCCCAAAUAUUAGGCGGGAAGGGAUCCCACAACGGCCAAGUUUGAAGGGGGACAGCUAGUACAAUCUAUCCCGACAAAAGUAGUCUUCGCCUGCCAAAGGCUCUGGUGGUGACGCCGUCCUGGGCUCCACGAUGACCUCCGGCCUGCCGUCCUGCUGGUCUUGGUCUUGUUGCACCGAUAUGGAAACCUUUGCUUGAUGCCUCGGGACUCCUCGCAUGCGCCUGCGUCUUUAGCACCAAAGAGGAAACUGGUACUCUGCGCCCGCCGGCGCCCGCCUGGUGCCCGCCUGGCCUUGGUCGUCAUGGCUCACAUCACACACUCCUCGCGAGGGGCUCCUUGCCUUGAUAUCUCCGCUCCUCGCGAGUCAGCCUAGCGAUGCUACCCCUAAGGAAGUCUUGCAUCGUCCAUCUCGCGAGGCUUGGCCCCUCGCGAGAGUCUUGAGUGUUUGCUGAUGAAGAUGGGCCGUACUAGGCCGCUGGGCGAGCCACGCCCUGGACCGCAGGCAGGCAAGUCUGGGGAUCCCCGUUCCCAGAACGCUAACAGUGAGAGACAAGGAGUUGUUUGUAAAUAGGGAACAAGUGCGGGCAUCUUUUUGCAAAACUGUAGAAGUUUGGUUUAUAUGCGUCAAAUCUAGAUCCGACGGCUAUUGGUGAAAGAUGGCAGGCACAUCAUCAUCACCAACUCAGGACCUCUUUGAUUCGUAGGAUUUUGAAAACGCGGGAAUAGGACACGGCAAUAUUACAAGUUUCAAACUGAUAUUACAAAUGUUAGGAGUAACGUCGAACCUACGAAGAGGGUACUAGGAAAUUUACGUAAGAACUUUCGUUAAUUUAGGUGGAUGUAGCAUUAUCGUACAAACUAAAAUCUACCGCCCUGACUAGUCGCUAAUGGGAAAAUAAAUUUUCAAGACUCUCGCCACUUGAUGUUUCAAAAACAAAUUCAGCUUCUGCGGAGACUUUGUCUUUUAGGCUUAGACGCUUGCGGUGAUCAGCACGCCAUUCAUUGUUGCACCAGAGAAUGCCAAACCUCAUUACCUUGAGCACACUUGCCUCCAGAACAAAGAACCAGACCAAUUUAUUUUCAGAUGUGCUUCCUCGGUAGUCGAUCAAAUCAAUUUCUGUAAGAUGGAGAUCAAGGCAUUCGAUGAGAUUGUUACAGUGCAGCACAUUUUUCACUUUCAGGUCUUUUUUUAUCUGCAAAAGAAGAGAACAUAUAAGAGCAGCUGGCUGUAUAAGAUUGCCGUGUCAUCAAGAGGUACCAAUAUCAUUCGCUCAAACAAUAGGGUUGACUGGCUAGUGAUAUUUUUCACUCUCUCUCUCUUUCUCUUUCCUCUCAUUUACCUAGGAGCACGUGAAGAGCUUGGGCAUUUGUUGCUUUCCACUAUGUGGCCAAUGCUAUAUUUCUCAAAAGUAUGCCACAUAAUACGCAUCGAUGUCAAAUCAAAAGAUUUUGCCACCGCUCUCGUGAUGUGAGCGAGUUGGCACCGCUGUGCACAUAGACCCACAUGUAUAAACAAAUCAAUCAAACCAACUACACCAGCCUCUCACUCUCCCAAACAAGUGUUUUUUAUUGCCUCAGUCCUCUCUCUCUCUCCCACGCAAGUAUUUUUUUAUCGCGCGAGUUAAUUUCGCACCGGAGCAAAGUAGGUGAUCCAGAUUGGGGCACCAGGUGAGCAAUGGAGGGGCAUCGAUGCCAAAUGCAUCACUAGUGAAUUUGGCACGUGUUUUCGCCUACAUAGUUGAGGGCUGUUAUGUUGGGGAACGUAGUAAUUUCAAAAUAUUUCCUACGCACACGCAAGAUCAUGGUGAUGCAUAGCAACGAGAGGGGAGAGUGUUGUCCACGUACCCUCAUAGACCGAAAGCGGAAGCGUUAGCACAACGCGGUUGAUGUAGUUGUACGUCUUCACGAUCCGACCGAUCAAGUACCGCACCCACGGCACCUCCGAGUUCAGCACACGUUCAGCCCAAUGACGUCCCUCGAACUCCGAUCCAGCCGAGUGUUGAGGGAGAGUUUCGUCAGCACGAUGGCCUGGUGACGAUGAUGAUGUUCUACCGAUGUAGGGCUUCGCCUAAGCACUGCUACAAUAUUAUCGAGGUGGACUAUGGUGGAGGGGGCACCGCACACGGCUAAAAGAUCAAACGAUCAAUUGUUGUGUCUCUAGGGUGCCCCCUGCCCCCGUAUCUAAAGGUGCAAUGGGGAGAGGUGCGGCCGGCCAGGAGGGGCGCGCCAGGAGGAGUCCUACUCCCACCGGGAGUAGAACUCCCUCCCUUUUCCUUGUUGGACUAGGAGUGGAGGGGGAAAGAGGAGGGAGAGAGGAAGGAAAGGGGGGCGCCGCCCCCCGCUCCUUGUCCUAUUCGGACUAGGGGGGAGGGGCGCGCGGCCCUGCCCUGGCCGCCUGUCCUCUCUUCCACUAAGGCCCACUAUGGCCCAUUAAGCCCCCGGGGGUUCCGGUAACCUCUCGGUACUCCGGUAAAAUUCCGAUUUCACCCGGAACACUUCUGAUAUCCAAACAUAGGCUUCCAAUAUAUCAAUCUUUAUUUCUCGACCAUUUCAAGACUCCUCGUCAUGUCCGUGAUCACAUCCGGGACUCCAAACAACCUUCGGUACAUCAAAACAUAUAAACUCAUAAUAUAACUGUCAUCGAAACUUUAAGCGUGCGGACCCUACGGGUUCGAGAACUAUGUAGACAUGACCAAGACACGUCUCCGGUCAAUAACCAAUAGAGGAAAAGGGAUGCUCAUAUUGGCUCCCUCAUAUUCUACGAAGAUCUUUAUCGGUUAAACCGCAUAACAACAUACGUUGUUCCCUUUGUCAUCGGUAUGUUACUUUCCCGAGAUUCGAUCGUCGGUAUCUCAAUACCUAGUUCAAUCUCGUUACCGGCAAGUCUCUUUACUCGUUCCGUAAUACAUCAUCCCGCAACAAACUCAUUAGUUGCAAUGCUUGCAAGGCUUAAGUGAUGUGCAUUACCGAGAGGGCCCAGAGAUACCUCUCCGACAAUCGGAGUGACAAAUCCUAAUCUCGAAAUACGCCAACCCAACAAGUACCUUCAGAGACACCUGUAGAGCACCUUUAUAAUCACCCAGUUACGUUGUGACGUUUGGUAGCACACAAAGUGUUCCUCCGGUAAACGGGAGUUGCAUAAUCUCAUAGUCAUAGGAACAUGUAUAAGUCAUGAAGAAAGCAGUAGCAACAUACUAAACGAUCGAGUGCUAAGCUAACGGAAUGGGUCAAGUCAAUCACAUCAUUCUCCUAAUUAUGUGAUCCCAUUAAUCAAAUAAAAACUCUUUGUCCAUGGUUAGGAAACAUAACCAUCUUUGAUUAACGAGCUAGUCAAGUAGAGGCAUACUAGUGACACUCUGUUUGUCUAUGUAUUCACACAUGUAUCAUGUUUCCGGUUAAUACAAUUCUAGCAUGAAUAAUAAACAUUUAUCAUGAUAUAAGGAAAUAAAUAAUAACUUUAUUAUUGCCUCUAGGGCAUAUUUCCUUCACGUUAUAGCCCACUUCUGUACUACCUCGUACUUAAUGUAAAAUUUUGCCCAUAGAUUUACCUAAGAAAAUGCCAAUGCAUCUCACCAAAAGUUAUACCAUUUGAAAUUAUGUUCAAAUACGAAUCCAACAAUAUAAUUUUUAGUGGCAUGCAUUAACAUUUUGUCAGUUAAAUCUAUGGUCAAAUUUUGAUACUACAAAAUAGGAAGAGUAAACCAGGACGGAGGUAGUACUUGUUCUUAGGGUAACCAUAGAGUUACUAGUCUAAGUUACUUUACACUAUGAUUAGCCUAGGCUACUAUAGUAGUACAACAACAAAAUGAUGCAGGUGAUCACGUGAGAAAAAAUACUAAAAACAUUUCUUUCGGUGCAGUGCGUAGAUGCAGUUUUCAACACUACACUUGUCAUCGUAAUUUGGGAAAAUCAUGAAAAAAUUGAGCUACGUUGUGAUUACCGUUUACUAAUAGGAAAGAAGUUUCACCUCGAUGAGUAGCUUCUCCGUGCACGGAAAGCAUGUAAGGAAUCCAACAACUUGAUCCAAAUUGGGGCCGAUAGAUUUUAUUGCCAAGAUCUUCACUCUGCGCAUAGAGUGGGUCAAGCUUGUGGGAAUCAUUUCCUGGAAGACGGUCGUAAAUACAUCAAGAAGAAAUUUAAAAAUGUGAAUUUCAAGAGGACGGAGAAGAAGAUGAGUGUUGUACCUGAACGAUUACGGAUCCAAUAAAGAGUUUGGAGAAUUUGGCAGACGAGUACACCAACACUGUCAAUUUCGGCGCAUCAAUGACCCUGUUUUGUUGGACCUCCUAGAUCAGAUACAAGCAAUAUCUCAAGGAAAGGCGCAUUCUCAAUGACCAUAACGUGGAACAGCUGGAGUGAUCUCUUCCCAAUUGAUAUCUUAUUGCGGGGCCAGCAACACAAAUAAAUCUAGCGGAGAUUCGUCGAGGCGAUGUGGAGGCUAAUGAACCCAUGGAUCUGCUCAAGAUGAAGGUACUCGAGCACAGUACAGCUGAAGAGCAGGUGCUCCAUAGCCUUCUUUAAGAUGACAACGUCGAAGAGGUCGAGCUGCUUGAGUUGAGGGAGAAGAAGGGCGGGCGCGGCAUUAAUCUGGGGAAGAUAGCAGGAGCUAAAGCUGGCGCGGCGCAGCGUUGGCGUGAGGCGGAGCGCGGACGGCGGCAGAUAGCGACAUCGUCCAGCUUCAAAGUUGAGGUCCUCGAGCUGAUCUAGGGCAUGGGAUAAGAACCACUCGUCGAACUUGGCUUGGACCUUGCAGUUGGUACUGAGCAUGCGGAUGUCAAGUAGUCUGGCUGGCCCAGGGUGCGAUGAAACAAUCUUGGAGACUGCGGCCAUGCGUUUGCAAUCCCCUUCGCAGAGGCAGCUAUCAACGGUGAGGUUGAGGGGGAUGCGACGCCAGAGGGGGCGCCACCGCCGGGAGAGCAGGGUGGUCCGCACGACAGAUUUGGUGGGGAGGAGGCCGUGAUGACGAGCAGCAUGUCGUCGGGGAGGCUAUUGAUGAAGUCCAGGCUCGCCGGAUGCGGUUUUGGCUCGAGCCGCCUUUGCUUGUUGGCUGCCUCGCCGUCCAUCUCAACCAGCGGCGACGCCGGUGUACACGUGUGCUGGUGUGUGUUGUGUGCUGGCCUGCUGGGUGUGCGCGAGUCCGUCCUUCUGUGCAUGCCGCCGCGCAGUGGUGAAUUGUGUGCGAGUGCAUUCUUCACGCGGAAGAAGUGUGCCCUCAAUUUACUAGCGUGCGGGGUGCUACCCCGAAUGGUUUCAACUUUGUUUACUUCACCGCAUGUCAGAUGGGCCUCUACUUUACUUAUUUUCACCCACUGCCACAUGGGCCAGCACACAAAGAUAGAGAACACGAGCUGACAAGGCAGCAUGUGGACUGGUUGACCGGUCAACUAAACAAUAUACAGAGCUAUACGUUGACACAGUGAGCUUAUAAUCCGUCGGUAUAGAGAGUUCGAGUGAGAGGGGAGGCCCAUGAGAGAUAGCCGAGAGAGAGAGAAAGAUCUACUCUCUCCGUUCGAUAAUGUAGUGCCAACAUUUUUUUAAGUCAAACUUUUGAAACUUUGACCAAGUUUAUAAAGAAAUUACUUAUAUCUACAAUACCAAAGAUAAAUGAUAGUAUGAAGUAAGUACAUGUUGUGAUGAAUCUAAUGAUCGCUCCAGAUGUAAAUGUUUUUCUCCACAUAUACCUGGUCUAACUUUUCUGGGGUUUGACUUUUCAAAACAUCCAUAUGCUUAUGGACGUGAGAGAGUACCUAACUGGAGAGAGGGUGUGUGAAAUAGAAAGAGUGACUGAAAAAAGUGUGCGUGCGUGUGUGAAAGUGACAUGGACAACACACGAUAAAAGUAGAGAAAAAGCGUGUGUGUCUUAUGCAAACAUAUCACACAUGCAUCUUCGACAGCGGAAUCAAGGUGAGGAGAUAGUGUGUGGUUGUUUUCAACCGAGAGAGAAAGACCCCUAGCACGUGGCCAAGAGGGGUCUGACAAACAAGGGAGAGAGGUCGAGAGAGACGUAUGGAGAAAAUGCAGACAUGGGGAGGAGAGAGUGUAUGUUUGUCAUAGAGAGAUCCCCUGGAGAUCGUGAUGGGACUACAUGGGUGCGAGAUCGAGUGGCAAGGUGUGUGCGUGAUAAAAGAUACCCCGAGAGAUAUCGACAUAGACGUAUGGAUGGAAGGAGACAAUACGUGUGUUCCUGAUGGCUAGUGAGAGAUAAUCAUACUUAGGGGGGUGCAUGCACCUAUGAUGGAGUGAGGGAUUAUGGUACUUACGGGGUGCGUGCCACAUAGAGAGAGAACAAGGGCGGAGAGUGUUAUAUGGGUCUAUGUAGCGCGAGCGAGACAUGUGUAUGUGUGAACCAGGGAGAUAUAAAGUUUGAGAGAGACAGAGGAGCCCUGAUAAGGCUGAGCGGUGCGUCAGAUAGCUGAGAGGGGGAAACAAAUAUCCCAUCCGCUCAAUAAUGCAGUGCAUGUAAAUUUUUUAGAAGUCGAACUUUGGAAACUUUGACCUAGUUUACGCAAAUGCUAUUUAUAUCUACAAUACCAAAGAUACAUCAUACGAAACUACAUCUCAUGAUGAAUCUAAUGGUAUAUGUUCGUCGUUCUAGAUGUAAAUGUUUUUCUCUACGUACAUGGUCAAACUUUUGUGAUGUUUGAUUUUUCAAUAAAUCUAUAUGCUAUGGAUCGAAGAGAGUGCCUAAGUCGAGAGAGAUCAAGUGCAUGUGGAGGAGAAUGAGUGAGUGUGCAAAAAGAGUAUGUGUGUGAAAGAGAAAGGGACAACAAACGAUAAAUUAGAGAGAGAGUGUGUGUUUUUUCGUUUCUUAUGCAAACAUAUCAUGCAUGCAUCUCCGAGAUAGAAAAGCGAGGUGAGGAGAUACACGAAGAUAGCUAGUGCGUGAUUGUUUGCAAUGGAGAGAGACACCCCUAUAGCACUUGUCCAAUAGAGGUCUGGCCAAGAAGGGACAAAGGUCGAGAGGGACGCAUGGAGAACAUGGACGCAUGGGGAGGGAGAGAGGGUAUGUUUGUGAUCGAGAGAUCCCAUCGAGAUCAUGAGGGGACUAUAUGGGUGGGAGAUCGAGGGAAGUGCGUGCGCGAUAGAAAGAUGCCCCGAGAGAAAUCGAGAUAGACCAUGCACAUGUUUAUGAUGGAGACUAAGAUUAGCUAGUCAUUUACAUAUAGGGGGGACUACGUGUGCCUACAAUUGAGUGAGAGACCAUCAUACUUUGCUAGGCAUGAGAUUGUGUGUGUGUGCAUGUGGGAUGGAGAGAGAACGAGGGAGAGAGAUAGAUUUUUUGAUGGGUCUAUCGAGUGCCAGUGAGAUAUGCAUGUGUAUGUGUGACCCAGGGAGAUGGAGAGUUUGAGAGAGAGAGGGAAGAGCUCCAAGACGACAGAGUGGUGCGUGAGAGAGUUACGGGCAAUGAGCCAAGGAAUUUGUGUGUGUACGAUGAGUGCACCCAAGAUAUUUAACUUGGACUAGAGAAUCAUACAUAAUGUGUGAGUGAGACCUAUAGAUGGAGUAUAUAUGCAUGCGAACUAGAAAGACCCCCGCCCCCUCACACACACACAAAGAGAGAGAGAGAGAGAGGGAGAGAGAGGGAGAGGGAUCAACAAGGUUUGUGUGUUGGAUGCGUGUGACCGAAUUGAAGGUUGUCGGCGCACGCACGAGCGAGAGAGAGAGAGAGAGAGAGAGAGAGAGAGAGAGAGAGAGUGCAGGAGUCCGGGAGGGGGGGAGGUCGCGUUUUAUGCGUCAAAGACUGAUAUAAACCAUGUUUCAAUAUGAACUUGCAUUCAAAUAUUUAAAGGGAAUUUUACAUCUGUGCCCCUGGUUCCUUAGCUCUACUCAUCCAUCCCCACGCUCUUAACUUUUGCUCAGUUUUCCCCACUCCCUUGCCCGAAACCCUCAGAAGAGGUCAUAACGGACGUCUCCAUCGGGGUAGAGCUUUGACAGUUCACUCUGACGAGUGGGGCCGUGUUGGGGGUGUAGCUGUUCGACCGUUGGGCCGUGGUUUCCUUGGGCUGUCCCUUGCAUUAAACGCCUGCGCGCGCCACCAUGACAGAAGCCUGCUAUGCAUGCACCCAACAAGCCUGCCUGCAUGCGUCGAUGCGCCGACCGAGCCUGCAUGCGCUGAUGCGUGCCGCCACGAUGCACUGACCGAGCCGCUUUCGUGCACGCCAGCCGCCAUGGAUGCAGCGACGGUCGCUGCCGCUGGUUCCUCUCUUCUCGCACACUUGUCUCCUCGAUUUAGAGCAUCAUUUUUUUACGAUCAGUUGCAGCCUUUUUGAUCCACUCGCAUCUGCACCCAUUUUGCUAUGACAAAUAAAUUGAACAAAUAUGUUGUAGUUGCAUGCACUAGCUAGGUGGCUACAUAUUUGUUGGCUGUGUAAGAAAAGAAGGGUUCAUUGUGGCUGCAUGCAUUAGGUGGUUACUAACAAAGCGAGCUCUCUAAGAAAACAAUCAACAUACAUGUAGAUAGGGCCAACAAGCCCAUAGCACGAUCAAAUAGUUGAAACUAGGAAGAACUUCAUAAUAGAAUAGAUAGAGAACUUAAUAAUAGAACUUGAUAAAAGGGCCAACAAGCCCAUAGCAUGUCUCACAUUGUUCAAUGGGAUUACCACUUAACAUAACAUAGACUCAAAAAAAAUAAAAAAUAGAUAGAUGGUUUAGAACCCUAGGCGACGCCUUCUCCACCUCGCUCCUUCUUCGGGCGCCCUUCACUGCUCCUCCGGGGCGUUGUCGAUGGGGUACGGAAGAGUGUGCAUGCGGGACGUGGUGGGGAAGAUGUUGGUGUACUCCGUGAACAUGUUGUGGGUGGUGAAAGUGAUGAACUCGCAGCCACACCAAAACACCUAGCCGAGGAGGUAGAAGGCGUCGAAUGUGUUGGUGAAGUGGGCAAGGAGAGCAACCACCACCCCGUUUUGGAUGACCUCCUCGACACGGAACAUCCUUGGAGAUCCCCGCGGGAGGUGGUGGUAGCCGGACGCGAGGAAGAACUCGGUGAAGUUCCUUGCGGUCCUCCACCUUGAUAUUGCCCACACACGUAGUGUGCGCUCAUCGUACACGCCAUGAGGGUAGAGCCUCUCCGGCAUGGUGGGUGGGAAGUGGUAGGUUGGUCCGGUGUACUACAUGGCUGAGGAUGUGCUAGAAGAAGGAGAAGUGGUCGAAGAGCAAGAAGGGCUGAUGGCAGAGAGGAUGGGAGAUGGAUGAGGGAUGGCAGAGGUAGACAGUGGCUUAAAUAGCCAUAGUGCUACGUGUUAUUUGGCCGUGGCAAUAAUGGGGCCAAAUGUGAAGUAACCCGUUUUCAAACUCACCGCAGCAUCGGGAGUGUACACGCGUGGGAAACGGUGGUUUGAAAAAGAAGAAGAAAAAGAAGCUAAUUGCAAGCGUGGGAAUCCGUGGUCAUAUAUAUUAUAUGAACAAAAAGAGACAAUUUUUGAACAGUUUGUGGCCAUUUUGCAUGAUAAAAAUAAAUUUGGCCCUUAAAAAUUUGGUCAUUUGCUACGCAAUGUCAAUUGAUUUCAAACGAUGCAAAAAUACAAAGCCAGCACGUUCACAAAAAACAGAGCAAAUGAUGCAAAAAAAGUAUGCAAUUCGACGGCCCAACUAGAGCUUGGUUUCCUUUCGGGCCCAAUAACAACGGUUUUUUCGAGGAGUCAGUGGUGGGCGAGCAGCCGAGCACAACCAAUAGGAUCGCCUGUCGCGGAUCGCGCCACGAUCCGACGAUGUGGAGCCGUCCUUGUGAUCCAACGGCGCGGAGCCUGCACGCAGCCAGCCCACCUAAUUCCUUCUAGAAGACCAGAUCUGAGGGUUGUCGCUUGGCGCGAGGGUGUGAUCGGACGGCUGACGUUGGGAGCUAGGGUUAGGCGAAACCCCGCGGGGUUUAGAGGGGUUUUGAGCUGGUCAACGGGCUUUCGAGGCUUUGACUGAGCAUAACUAAUUUAAAAAAAUCGAAAAAAUAUGAAACCUUCGUCGUUCGUCCUUCUAUAACACAAACUAAGGAGGAAAAAUAAUAAACUUGGUCUAUGGUCAUUUUCAUGAAAAAACCCUAGCUAGCACGAUCGAGGUCAAAUGAGCACCAUUAAUUUUUUUUUUUAAAUAUAUAAAAUUUGCGCACAAUGUUGUCUUAUGUGACAUGUUACCGACCAAAAAUCAUAAACUUGGUCUAUGGUCAUUUUCAUGAGAAAACCUUCACACAUAUGAGCUAUCAUGUACAUGAUUUCAUAGAGUUCAAGGAGAGGAGGUAGUGUUACCUUCUGUUUUUGAAAAAUUAAAAAAAAUCACCAAAGCUUUAUUUUAAAGUGAAUAAGAAGGAUCAAAAGUUAGUUUUCCAUUUUUAUAUUUCAAAACAUGUUUUUAAUAGUUUUUAUAUUAAAGCAUAUGUUUUCAAAAGAAAAUGUAAAAACAUGAAGAUUAAUUCAAAAAAUAGUGAGACUUCGAAUCUACACUAUGGAAUGUGAAUAUGUGUUAAUAAAAAAACAUUUGGCUCAUUUAGAGUAGGUCCAAAAAAACUUGAUUACAAAUAUGAAGAUCGGACGGCACAUUUCUCAAAUUCAAAUUUAUUUGACCUCCUCUAAAUCACUUCAAUUUGUGCACACAUUAUCUCCUACACAAACAUAGAUAUUUUGCCAACGUUUUACUUGUUUUGCAUUUUCUUGAAUUUAUACUGUCCAGGUUUGCCAAGGUUUACAUGAUCUCAUUUGGAGCAUGCAUUUGAUUUCCUACACAACAUGUGUGAUCAUUGCAGCACCUAAAAUCAUAGUUCACAACAUCUAAACAUAACUAAUCAUAGAUUCAAGACAAACAAAUAUACCACAUGCAAAUUUAAGGACAGACAAAUAUAGAUAGCAACCAGAUUACUAGCAUAACCAACGAGAUUCAGUUCAACAAACCGUAACCAACGAGAUUCAGUUCAACAAACCAAAAGUAACCCAACAGAUAAACAUAAAGAUUUAGUUCACAGCAUCACAUCAUCGAUCACAUCACGCCGGAGUCAGGGUCUUCACGAGGGCGUCACACUGCCCCCUGAUUAUGUAGUCCUCCCCGCGAAUCGCUACAUCCUCAGCAUGAGACAGAAGGUGAUCGAAACGGCCAUCCCUUGGCUUUGGCUUGGUGGUGUAGUAGGGGCAGUGCCACUUCUUGAACUUGCGGUUGUAGAAGGAAGCAACUCCCUUUGCCUUGAUCUUCUCCACCUCCUUGGCUGUGAAGGAUGCGACGUUGCCCUUGUACACAUCAUAUCCAGAAUCAUACUGCACACAUGAAUGAAUUGCAUUAAUACAUUAUAGAUUCAUAUACACCAUGCAAAGGAACUAAAUGAACAAGGGAUAGGCUUACCUCAUAUUCAGAAUCGCACUAAAUGUCCCUUCUUACGGGUCCUAGUCGGCCAGCUUCCUCUUGCUCCCCCCCCCCAACCAUCAUCCUCCUGAAUAUACAAUUACAUCCAUCACUAGUAGCCAAUUGAAAAUUUAGAUAUGCACACAUGACACAUUGAUCAUAGGGCUAAUAUACUCCCAAUAUCAGAAAUGUUUUAGAAGGGUUUUUUAUUUAUUUCUGUGCCCCUUAGCUCUAUGCAUUCAAAAACCACAUCCAUCACUAGUAUAUCAAUGUAUUAGAUUUGUACACACAUUGAUCAAAAACCCGAAUAUGAUAGUCAAAUAAAACAUUGAUCAUUGGUCAUGCACACACAUUGAAGAACAGAGCUAAUAUAACUACAUAUUGUGGACAAAUUUAUAUACUAAUGAAUCAAAUAACUUCUUAAUCAAUGGAUUCCAUUUGGGCAUAUGACAUUCAAAACCCCAAUCUGAGUAGCAUUCAAAAACAAAUCUAAUAGGGACCCAAUCUAAGGCAACGAAUCCGAGUAGCAUUAAAAACCCCAAUCUGUGAGCACUAAAAACAAAUCUAAUAAGCAUCACAGCAUUAAAAACCCCAAUCUGUUCACAACAUCUAGCAUUUUUGCAACGAAUUAAUCCAAAUCUAAAAACCCCAAUAAUUGCAGCACCUAAAAUCAUAGUUCACAACAUCUAGCUAUCAUUUUUGCAACGAAUUUAUCCAACAAACCCUAGUCCAAAAACCCCCAUCCCUGCAACCCAUACAAAAAAUCCCGGCCCAUCCAUCAAACCAACUACUCUAACCCUCUGAACUACCCUAUGAAUCACAAUCUAACCAAUGCAACUAGGGAGCAACUAACUCUACAAGCUAAGAAAGUACAAAUACCUGCUCCUCCACGGCAGGCGGCGCAACGGGGGUAUCGGGAUGGACUAUGCCGCUCGACACCGUCACCUUCGGCAGCGAUGAGGCGGGGCCCGACACAUCCGCAGUGGUUGCGAGUUUCCCCGCACCGUUGUUGACGUUGCCGACAACCUCGGUCACCGCGCCCUGACCCUGUAGCUCCACCACAUCUUCGGCCGCUGCGCCGGCGUCGCUGCGAGCGCCGGCCAUCUCACAGAUGGACGUGAUGAAGGUUAGGAAGAGGAUGCGGUGGGGGUGGAGGCAGUGGAGGAGAGCGAGACGACGCCGGUGGGGGAGAGGAAGACGAUGCGAUAGGGAGGGGAUUUGGGGGAAAAUGGUAUGGGCGAUGGAGGUGGUUGCCCCUCUUUAUAUGAUGGGACAUUUCAGGCAAGUCCAUGGACAUGUGCUACCCCACGACCGCGGUCUUGCAUGCGCCCAUGUAUACGCGGCCCCACUCGUUAGCUAACGGUCAAAGGCACUGACCCGACGACAACGUCCGUUAUAACCUAUUCUGAUGGUGUCGGGCAAGGGAGUGGGGAAAAGUGCGCAAAAGUUAACAGAGUGGGGAUGAAUGAGUAGAGCUAAGGAACCAGGGGCACAGAAAUAAAAAUCACAUAUCUAAAUUGGAGAGCAUGUUGUCUGCAAUCCACACAUGAACGGAGAUAUGCGUAUAUCAAACAAGUUCAUUAAUUUGACUUUCAACAUGUUCAUGGAGUACUAUAAUACUGUACAACAUGCUACUCAAUUGAGGUGUUCAAUUUUGGAUUUAGUUCACUAUUUUGACCUGGUGAAUGAGCUAUUUCAUUGAAUCGAGAUAUUUCAUUUUGGGUUUGAUUCCCGUUUUUGAGUGGGUCAACUAUUUGUCAUAUAGUAGAUCGUUAGCAACCAGCAUGUAAAAACACAUUACUCCCGAGCAUCAUCUCCCCAUCUAAAAAAGACGUGGCAAGCUAAUAUUUCAAAAUUUGAUUCGAAUCGACUUCGUAAGGUAGACGUGGAUGCUCGUUCUCCGAAAAUUUCAACGAACCGUUAAACACCCUCUGCUCGGUGGAAUUCGCUCGAGCAAAUAAAUGGGAGACGUGAACUUACCGGCCUAUGUGGAACACGCAUCAAUUGGCCCGUUGUACAUCGAGGGUAGGUUCGUAACUUCAUCCAAGCGCGCCUUCUCCUCGGCCGAAAUGACAUGUGCCGAAUAAUUCAUAAACCAUGGUCUGCAAAACACCCUCUCCUCGCCCGAAAUAGCUCGCGCCCAUUAUUUCAAAACACGCUCUCCCUUCCCGAAAUCGCUCGCGCCCACUAUAUUUCAAAACACGCCCUCCUCGCCCUAAAUCGCUCGCGCCCACUAUAUUUCAAAACACGCCCUCCUCGCCCGAAAUUGCUCGCGCCCACUAUUUGGGAGAAGCAAAGUUACUCUACUAUCCCCGACCCUCAGUACACAGACCCAAGCCGAGAAGCCUAAAGGCAGGGGUAGAACUGUAACCUCCCCCCCCACAUUUCAGACAAAUGUGUAUGUAAGACCUGGUUCCCCCUCCCAAUUCCCCAUUCAUACCUCAUGGGCGCCAAAUCACCUUCUCCCCAGAAGCUCCCUUCUCCCGAGCCGCGAAACCUCAGCCCCUCCUCCAUGGCGCCCCCACCGCACAAAAUUCAUAGCCGCCCUCCUCUCUAAUCCCGGAGACGCUAUCCAUUUGCCGUCGUGCACUGGGCCGUGUGCCUCUUACUCCGUGCUGCCGGAGCUGCCUCGACGACAGCCGCGUGAACCGUACCGGAGCCGAUUCACCCCCUCCAUUGUUCACGGCGCCGGAGCGGCUCCAACUUUGGAUCCGUCCCGAGCCCCGACGCUGCUUCCCCGUAGCCGUCGACCAUCAUGACAUCUCUCCUUCCCUGCCGCCGGUAGCCACUGCAACCACGCCGGCCUCACCGACUCGGCAGCUGGAGCUGCCUACUUCACUGGGCCGCCAGAUAGGUUGCACCCUCAUCUCAAAUCACUUUAUUUAGGUGUUGGUUGUCUGAUUUUUUGUUCUGGGCCAAUCGAUUCCCAAUGGGAAGCAGCACGCCUCGAGCCGUCGUAGCUCCUAGGCUGCCGGUUGGCUGGUGUCUAACAUAAGGGUGCGGGGGCGCAAGUUCGCCGCGGAAGCCGCGCUUAGAUGGCUUCUUAGAGUUGCGUGGGUUGUAGGUACUGUCGCCGCCGGAUCUGGAUGAUGGCGAGUCUUUGUGGAUUGGCCCGGGGGCGGCGCAACCACGGCAGUGCGAUGGGGCGGGGAGCGGGGUUUUGGUCGGGGCCACGGACGGCGGAGGUAGGCUGCUCUGCCGAUGGACGCUGGCUCUUCGGGGAAGAUUCCGAACAGUGUCAGCCGGGAGGCACAAGACGGCCAUCAAGCCAUCCGACGUAGACCAGACGGUACCAAAAUAAAAUAAAAUCGUGUGACCCCAAUUUAGUCUUCAGUCGACAGACGUGUGACCACUCUCAUACCUUGUUGUUGAUCUCUUAGGGUAUUUCGUCAGAUCAGAGAGAUGUGUAGUUCUUAACAUUAUGCGUUUUCUGCAUCUUCAGCCACACCGUCUUCCGACUAACCGCAGCUGCUCCAACAAGGGAAGCAUACACCAGAAGGAAGAUAUAGUCCCCGCUCAAUAGUUCCCUGCAUCAAAUGUGCGUGCCCGACAUGGACAGCCACAACAACUGCAGGGCCAUCGACAAGUCAGCACAUGAUGCUCUCUCCUAUGGAUGGCGGCGAGAUAGGUGGUACCCUCAUCUUACUUGUGUCCAACAUUUAUGGCUUUGUUAUUCAUCCAAGCAUAGAAAAUAGAUUAUCACAUUUCACUGUAUAUUCAUGCUGAUCUCUUACCGGUCUUGUUCAGGAGUUAACGUUGUUCCAUAGUUCAGCUAAGACACUUGUUCUUUAGGUAACGUUGUUCCAUAGUUAUCAUCCAUUAGCCAAUGCUAUCCCACAGGCUGGUGAUUAUAGUAUUAUACCACUUCUAGUAUAACCUAUGUUGUUCUUUAAUACUUUUGUGUGCCAUCUCUAGUUAACCUCGACUACAAAAGAUACAUAUUAUGUAGCUUUCAUCUGUGUUCUCCCUUUAGUUUUUGAGACCUGUUCCUGCUAGUUAACCCCAGUCCUACUAUUUAUGUCAUCUCCUACAGGCACUCAUUGCAUAAAUCUAACUACUAGUUGUCUUCCAUGCAUGUCAGAUAUAAUUGCACACACUGAUUUAUCCACAAGAACCUCACGGAGCAAUGUAACGGCUAACAAACUUGACGUCAAUGAUACCCAAUAUGACGGAACAUGUAAAGGCAGUUCUUCACAAGACUUGCAGAAAGAUGAUGAAUCCUAUUCACCCCACAAGGUCCUUGCUCUAACUUGGCACUUGAUAUGGGUACAACAUGCAUAUUAUGUCCUGGAAUGCAUCUGCUCUAUUGCAAUGCCUUGUGCUUAGCCUUCUGAUCAUGCAUGUAAAUAUGGCAUGCCAUCCUGUUUUUCAGUACCUAUUCCAUUCAUGAUAACAUGUUUUCAAAUUCAAGUACUGUCAUCCUACUCUAUCGCAAUGCCAUCUGCUUAGUUUGGACAUCAUCCUUCUCAAUAUCUUAUGCAUUGUUAUUCAUCAGUAUGUACUUCAUCUGUCUACCAUACCAUGUUCUUUUUUUUACAUUGAAGUGUUGUUCUAGUGGUCUCUUGCAAUGCCAUCUUAGUUUCCCAAUCAUACACGCAUAUGUUGCCUUAGUGUUUUUCUGUAUGUAUUCCGCUAGCAUACAGUUUUACAUUCAAGUAGUGUUUUUUUACACUAUUGUCCUGUCGUAUCCCUAACUCUUACAUCAUACUCCCUCCGUCCGGAUUACAUGUUGCAGAAAUGGAUAAAACUGGAUGUAUCUAGAACUGAAAUAUGCCUAGACACAUCCAUUUAUUUCCGGAUGGAGGGAAUACAUGUCAAUAUGUCAUGCCUUUCUAUUCUUCAAUACCUAUUCCAUCUCUUCUGUAGCAUGUUUUAUAAUUGAAGUACCAUUCUUCUAUAUAAGGCAUGCAAGGGGAAGACGACUAUGUUAGAAUCUGAAGGGUUACGAACCAGGUCUUUGCAAAAGAUCCAAACGCCAAGAGAUAAUAAACCUACUCCAGUUUUCGUAGAUACUGCUCCAGCACAGAGAAACCCAACUCCCACUGAUAAUAAGUAGAUUCCAGUGGCCAAAGAACUAGUCCGCUCCGGUCCAGCAAAAAUAUGUCAACUCCAUUCUAAGAAGCGCGCGCGUAUCCUUGCAUCAUAAAAUUUUAUAGCAUUCUGAUCAUAUUUUCUACAUGUUUCUUACCCAUCUCUCUUUUAGAAAAUAAGGUUAAACGAUAGAAGACGUCCUCCAUUGGGAUCGUAUUCGAGGAAAGUAUCUUCUGGGAAUUCUCUAUGCUGCAAUGCUGAUGUAAGUACCUGUUGUAUAUCACUAUAUUUUUACAUCAGCAUUUAUUUUGUUAAUCGGCGUGAAUCCAAUCUGAUCUAAAAUUAGUUGUAGCAAAAUGUUAAAGGCGACAAUGUUGAUUUUUGUAAGGAAAACUGCCUAGUAGUUUUGCAUACUGAGCUGCAUGAGUGUACUAUCUCAUAUCAUGCACAUUACUGAAUUGUUGUGCAGCUCUGGUUGCCCAUGCUUUCAUUGUGUCAGUGUUGCUUUCGUAUUACCUUACCUGGCUGAUGAUAGGUGUGCCAUAUUGUGUUAAUUUGGUGUAGGCUGGUGUGGUCUGGUUGCCCAAACGUUCGUUGUGUCAAUGUUGCUUUCUAUUAUUUGACCUGGCCAAUGAUAGCAAUGCUAGUGUGUUAAUUUGGUGCAGGCUACUAAAGAUAAGAAGACAAACUCUGAAAACAGCAAGGCAACCCCAUUGUUUCUUUCCAGUAAAUCUAGGCCAUGUAAUGUGGCAAUAACUCUUGAUUAACCUGUUCGGUUCCCCUCCUAACUUAUGUUAUGAUGCAGUGGUCGAGACACUCUCCACUAUCAAUAAUACAAGCCUGCCAAAAUCGCCAUCUGAAUCUGUUCAGUUUCCUCUGUCUCGAAUGCAACGGAAAAAAUGUAUGUUUGUGAACCAAUUAAUGGUUGAAGCAAUGAUGGAAAUGGUGGAGGAAUCAGAGGUGCAUAUUCGUGCGCAACAACAACUGAUCAAUGUUUUUAGGGACAGUGUAGCAAAGCAGCAAGAACUUGCCCACAUGCUUAUGGGCGUCAUCCGCGCUGAGGUUGCACAUUGUGACGUUGUAGAUCAUUAGGUUCUGUUCAUUUAUUUGCACUGGCAUCAAUCUUGGAUUGCCCAAUGGAUGUAAUUUCCUGUAAUAUAUGCUGGAUGUGCAACGUUUUGCCCUGUAUGCCGUACCUUUGCUUGAUCAGCUUUGGUUCUGUGCAUAAUUGCUUGUCGUAAUGGACUCAAAUUAUCUAAUUGGGCCUAAAGACAUGUACGAACUUUAAUGGGCCCAUUAAGUUAAUGGGCCAUUACCAGGCCGAAAGUUAAUGGUCGGCCCUCUUACCUCCCGGGUUGUUAAUAGGCCAACAUCAAAGCGGGCAACAGGCGGGCCCAUUUGAUUUCACGGGCCGUUAACAGGCCGAUACCAGGUCGGGCUACAUAUGGCCCAACUAUACUGUGGGCCUUUAGCAGGCCGAAAGAGACAGCGGGCUCGUACUGGACCAUCAAGAGCAUGGGCCGCGAAGAGGCCGAAAGUCAGGUCGUACUAUAAAUGUCCCAACUGUGUUGUGGGCCUUUAGCAGGCGAAAGAGAAACUGGGCUGGUAUUGGACCAUGAAGAGCAUGGGCCGUUAAAAGGCCAAAACUCAGGUCCGACUGCAAAUGGCCCAACUCACUUAUGGACCGUCAACAGGCUGAAAGACACACCGGGCCUGAAAUUGGCCCAACACUUGAAAAUUGGCCCAUCCCUUGAACGGGCCGUUAACAGGCCAAAACCACAUCGGGCCAAUAUUGAGCCCAAAUAUAUAGCGGGAUGUUAACGGGCUCGAACUGACAAUGGGCUGCAAUGGUGUCAAAUCAUUAACGGACCGUUGACGGACCGAAUUGGCACAUCUCGUAUGGGCCGUGGGCUUAAAUGGACCUGACACAAGUAGGCCUUAUAUGGGCCGGCCUGCUAAUUCUUACUGGGUAGGCCUUUUUCACCGGAAUGGGCCACUUUUGGGCGUGUCGAUCUAUCAUAGGCGCCUCUUGUCCAAUAGACGGACGACAUCUGGCCCACCGAGGAGCCGACACAUGUUUCCUCCGACCAAUGAGAAUUUUACACGUGGAAAAUCCCCAUUGGUCCGGGCGGUUAACGGGUUAUCGGAUCCAAAACCGGACCCAAUAGCUUAAUGGUGACCCGUUACGGUUGAUGCCACAUGUCGAUGACCCUUGACGAAAGCACUUCUAUGACGCGUGAUUUAUCGUCAUGGAAGUGGACACUUCCGUGAUGAUAAUUUUGGUAAUGUCAUGGAACACCUCUCUGACAGCACAGGUAUGACUAUCUUGAUUCUGUCAUAAAAUCGUCAUGGAUGUACUUGCAUGACAGAAAAUGUGACCUACUGUGACAAACACGUAUCAUCACGGAAGUGUAUUUUUUUGUAGUGAAGGGUUGCCAAAGUGUAGGGGUUCGGUGACCGCAACCAAGGGUUGCCAUUUGUACGGGUUCGGUGACCGCCCUCAAGGGCCCCUUAGUGGAAUCACGACAUCUUGCAUUGUGGGAGGGCGUCAGGAGAUUAUGGUGGACCUAGUGGCUUCUUGGGGAGCAUUGUGCCUCCAUACCGCUCCAAAUGAAGAUUAGCAUCCACAAGGGUGUGAACUUCGGGAUACAUCAUCGUCUCCGCGUGCCUCGGUUAUCUCUUACCCGAGCCCUUUACUUAUGCACUUUACUUUGUGAUAGCCAUAGUUUUUCAUGAUAUAUAUAUCUUGUUAUCACUUAGUUGUUCUCUUCCUUAGCAUAAGUUGUUGGUGCUCAUAGGUGAGCCUAGUUGCUUUAGGUUUGUUCUUGAAAAAUUAAACACUUGUUUUAUUCCGCAUUUGUUCAAGCCUAAACCAUAAUUAUUUUAUAGCACCUAUUCACCCCCCACUAGGCGACAUCCACGAUCUUUCAAAUGUAGUCUGCUGGAACAUCAUAGGCCAUCAUGCGCAAAGCGGCAGGGAGCUUAUGUUCGGUGCUACAUCCAAGCAACCUGGCACAAUUCCUCCUCUGCUCGAAUGAUCGAUCAUGCUACUUCACAGAAUUGCAAAUGUGGAUGAACAAGUCUUUGGAUGGACAUUCUGAACCGGCAUGGGAAGGACCUCUCUGGAAAAACAGGAGGUGAACCAAAAUAGUUCUGCAUCAACUGCUGGGAAUCGUAGCAUAAUUUAAAAUUUUCCUACGCUCACCAAGAUGCAUCUAUGGAGUCUACUAGCAACGAGGGGAAAGGAGUGCAUCUACAUACCCUUGUAGAUCGCGAGCGGAAGCGUUCCAAUGAACGUGGAUGACGGAGUCGUACUCGCCGUGAUCCAAAUCACCGAUGACCGAGUGCCGAACGGACGGCACCUCCGCGUUCAACACACGUACGGUGCAGCGACGUCUCCUCCUUCUUGAUCCAGCAAGGGGGAAGGAGAGGUUGAUGGAGAUCCAACAGCACGACGCCGUGGUGGUGGAUGUAGCGGGUCUCCGGCAGGGCUUCGCCGAGCUUCUGCGAGAGAGAGAGAGGUGUUGCAGGGGAGGAGGGAGGCGCCCAAGGCUGUCGGUUGCUGCCCUCCCUCCCCCCCUUUAUAUAGGCCCCCUGGGGGGGCGCCGGCCCAGGGAGAUGGGAUCUCCAAGGGGGGGCGGCGGCCAAAGGGGGGGAAGGGGUGCCUUGCCCCCCAAGGCAAGGGGGAAGCUCCCCCCCUUAGGGUUCCCAACCCUAGGCGCAUGGGGGGAGGCCCAAGGGGGCGCCCCAUCCCACUAAGGGCUGGUUCCCUUCCACUUUCAGCCCAUGGGGCCCUCCGGGAUAGGUGGCCCCACCCGGUGGACCCCCGGGACCCUUCCGGUGGUCCCGGUACAAUACCGGUAACCCCCGAAACUUUCCCGGUGGCCGAAACUGGACUUCCUAUAUAUAAUUCUUCACCUCCGGACCAUUCCGAAACCUCUCGUGACGUCCGGGAUCUCAUCCGGGACUCCGAACAACUUUCGGCUUUCCGCAUACAUAUAUCUCUACAACCCUAGCGUCACCGAACCUUAAGUGUGUAGACCCUACGGGUUCGGGAGACAUGCAGACAUGACCGAGACGCCUCUCCGGUCAAUAACCAACAGUGGGAUCUGGAUACCCAUGUUGGCUCCCACAUGUUCCACGAUGAUCUCAUCGGAUGAACCAUGGUGUCGAGGAUUCCAUCAAUCCCGUAUGCAAUUCCCUUUGUCAAUCGGUAUGUUACUUGCCCGAGAUUCGAUCGUCGGUAUCCCAAUACCUUGUUCAAUCUCGUUACCGGCAAGUCUCUUUACUCGUACCGCAAUGCAUGAUCCCGUGACUAACGCCUUAGUCACAUUGAGCUCAUUAUGAUGAUGCAUUACCGAGUGGGCCCAGAGAUACCUCUCCGUCACACGGAGUGACAAAUCCCAGUCUCGAUCCGUGCCAACCCAACAGACACUUUCGGAGAUACCCGUAGUGCACCUUUAUAGUCACCCAGUUACGUUGUGACGUUUGGCACACCCAAAGCACUCCUACGGUAUCCGGGAGUUGCACGAUCUCAUGGUCUAAGGAAAAGAUACUUGACAUUGGAAAAGCUCUAGCAAACGAAACUACACGAUCUUUUAUGUUAUGCUUAGGAUUGGGUCUUGUCCAUCACAUCAUUCUCCUAAUGAUGUGAUCCCGUUAUCAAUGACAUCCAAUGUCCAUAGUCAGGAAACCAUGACUAUCUGUUGAUCAACGAGCUAGUCAACUAGAGGCUUACUAGGGACAUAUUCUGGUCUAUGUAUUCACACAUGUAUUACGAUUUCCGGGCAAUACAAUUAUAGCAUGAACAAUAGACUAUUAUCAUGAAUAAAGAAAUAUAAUAAUAACCAUUUAUUAUUGCCUCUAGGGCAUAUUUCCAACAUCAACCUCUUGUGCGCCUCAAAUCAUUCUCUCCGAAUGAACGCAAGGCCAUACACGGAACCGCCGUGCUUCGGCUUCGUUUUCUUGUGUAUCGCCACUAGCAUAGCAAUGUCCUCUUCUUCGUUCAAAUGUAAUUCCUCAUCUGACGAGCAAACGUCCAUGAAAGAGGAGUCACACGAGCUCAUCUACAAUGUGGACAAUCAUCGUCAAACUACCUCUCCAACCCUAACAAGAAAACCGUUAAGUUCGAUAUAUUUUUACCUUGGGGAAUUUCAUCGAACACCUUGCUUGUGGGUAGUCGAAAUCGACCGGCUAUGGGCUGGGAGCCGUUCGGCGAUGGCGGGUGCGGGUGGCGGCGACGGCUCGACGGAGGAGAUGGCUACAGCUCAGCAGAGAAGACGGCGGGAGCUCGGCCUGCGGGCGGCCGACUUCCGCGGCCGGACGAACAACCGAGUCGGGUGCCUGUCGGGCGAGCGACGUCUCCCCUACCUCUGGCCGGCUAUCUUGGCUAGGUAGAAGCCUAGCCUAUCGAUGACCUCGCUGUGGAAGGCAUUAAGCCAACCGGACUGCCAGAGAAGCUUUGAUUCGAGGAAGGUGGCCGAAAAGGAAUCGAUGGUUGUGGGCGGCAGCCCGCGGUACUACGGCGAGGCAGGUGGCGGGGAGCGACGGGGCAAAGUCGCGGCAAGGCUGGCAGCCAUUGGCCGGGCAGCGACGGCGUCGAUUUUGGGCGAAAUCGGUCGGCGACGGAGUUGGGCAGGUGGCGGGCGGUCGCGCGGAAGCGGGGGAAAGGCAGUUGGGCGGUUGGUGUUCGGUUGGCAACUUUACAUCUCCUGUAGGUGGAGAUGUAUAUUUGCAUCACGAAGUGUUGUAUUUUACAUCUCCGGGAGGCGGAGAUGUAUUUGUUUUUUGCGUCUACAUCAUCGGUUGGAGAGGUGUUUUUGGGCUCUGGAGAUGCAAAAGUUAGGUAUUUUACAUUACAUCUUAUCUUGGAGAUGCUCUUACAUGUCCACUUACCAGUCUGGACGGACGGAUUUCGGUAUCUUAGCAACAAACGUGGGGGCUUUGCGGGAGUCCGGACAUGCACUUGAUCAACACAAAGCCUCUGCGUGGUUCACCUCUCUUUUCUCUCUCUUCACAUACAUGGUCUCCCUCUCCUCUCUCUCCUCCCAACCGGACACCACAACAGAAUUUCGCACCACAUUCAUGGUCCCCCUCUACUCUCUCUCCUUCCAACCUUAAUUUGUGAGUAGCGUUGGAUAGAUCUCUCCCGCAUCAUAUCCGUGGACCACGUCCAGACAUAAAAACGGACAUUUGCGGCGCCCAUUUGCUGGUCAGCGUUGGAGAUGCCCAUCUAUGUUUUAUCCUUUUGUUUUUGUAUCAUUCUCUUGCAGACCCCAAAUUUAAAAUCUGAGCUCUUCUUUAUGUAAUCCUCCACCACUAGUACAAAAAGGGUCAUCUGUCCCGGUUGGUAAGGGCCUUUUGUCCCGGUGGUUGAACCGGGACUAAAGGGUCGUUACUAAUGCCCUAGCCCUUUAGUCCCGGUUCUUACACGAACCGGGACAGAUGGGCCUCCACGUGGCCGGUGCGGCAAGCCCAGGCAGGAGGACCUUUGGUCAGGGGCUGGGGUUUUUGUUUUUUUUAAAGGGGGGGGGUUGGGGGUUUUGGGGGGUUAAUUUAGGUGUUUCAUAUAUUGUGUUAGCUAGCUAAUUAAUAGAGAAAAGUGUCCUCUCUUAUCUCCGUGCUUGGUCGACGCUACGUACUAUAUACGUAUAGAGAGGACUACACGCUAGCUAGUAAGCAAAUGAAGGAAACAGAAGAUCGUCAUGAACAUAUGCAUACACAGAGAAGUGAUAUCGACCACCUCUCCUUCUCCGAGAGCUUGGUCGAACAACAAGUUCUCAUAUAUCUAUCCGACUCUACCGGCUACAUAUAUACAAUAAUUAUCUCUUACAAUAUAAUCUCCUAAUUAUAUAUGAACACAGGGUCCACAUAGUAUCCUCCGUUUUCAGCGAUCACGUGUUCAAGGAAGAAUGCCGCCAAUUCCUCUUGAAAUGCUCGCAUACGAUCUGGUGGUAGGAGUUCAUCCCGCAUCCGAAAGAUCUAAUUUGAAGAAGGGGGUCAAUACAUAUAUAUAUAUAUAUAUAUAUAUAUAUAUAUAUAUAUAUAUAUAUGAAUAAAUGAAACUCAACACAAAUGAUGGUAAUAAAAUAAAAUUGUGAAUAUUAUUGCUUACGCACUUCAUAUUGUUCGUCAGAGUAGCCCCGCUCACAGGUCGUGUGGCGGAUGGACUCGCAAACGUAGUAUCCACAGGAAUCAUUCCCUUGUUCCUGCCACAACCACUUUACAAGAAAUAGAGGUCAAUCAAACUGAUAAGCAAGCAUGCUAAAUUUAGACAUCCGAAACUGAUAAGCAAGCAUGCUAGUAGUACUUACUUUCGGGUGUCUAAAUUGCAGCUUCUUCGGCAUUCCCGGAGCUUUUUUGGUGAAUUUUCUCCAAACCCCGCCAGACAAAGAAAACAAUUACUUGAUAUCAGGAAAUGAACAAAGUUGCUGAUAUGGUGGAUAAUGAUCGAUUUAACUUACUUCUCGAGCAUUUGAGUCAUGUCCGCAUAGUCCUGGGGAUCUUUUCGUCUCGAGUCUAAGACGGUUACUACUCCCUGCUCAAGCUUAAUCUCUAGGAGAAUAUGGUGGAAGCUGCGCACGCAUGCAUAAGUCAUCAAUUACAUUACUAUAACCUGGACUAAUAAGGGAAACCGAAUAUGCACAAGACAGUAACACUCACUUGAAGUUGUAAGGAAAGAGUAUUAUAUCUUUGUUUUCAUUUAUUACCAACGAUCGUAGCAAGUUGGCCUCGGUAUUUUCGGCAUGAUAUUUAACCUCAGUUGCAUCUAUGAGAUUUGUGUUAAUGAACCCAAUAUCACCGAUUUGUCUUUUCUUCAAUUCAGCGAUCUUCAAUCUGCAUAAUAUAGUAAGGAUAAUUAUAAAUACAUGCAAUGAAAGAGCUGUCCUAUAUAGAGAGACUUAAUGACAGAACUAGUACUACUUACAGAUAGUAGCAAGUGAUCGUUGAUUUAGCGAGGGCCUUUUGAUUGAAAAACUGGAAGAACUCCUCAAAUGGAACAUUCAACAGUUCAAUUCCAACGAGGUCAUGCUCCUCUUUAACUCUCAGCGUCAAAGUAUUCCUCCCCCCACACUCUCUGCAGGUUUUCAUGUACCAAUCAUGUAAUCUUCGCAUCAUCGUUGUUAGAUAUCUUUCAUCUUUGACGAGAGGCUUCCCGUAAUGGUAUUUGUGUUCGUCCACCUCCAAGAAAUCAUAAUGUACAUCGUCGGGCACGUAAUCUCCAAGAUUGCUAUAACCGGGCACCAUCCUCGGAUCAUUAGCGACGAUGUCGCUAGACACCUUGAGCGGGGGGCACGAUUGGUUCGCUUGUUCGCUGAGCUGGGCAAUUUUUUUCCCAGCUCGUCGUUCUUUUAACCUAUGAUCACUGACAGUACUUCCCGACUGCUCCGCUUCGACAAAUGUCUUUGCAAUAAUGCGCUCAUAGUUGCCUUUCGGCGGAGACUUUGGUGGUUUUGUCAGGGCAGCCAGAGUGCGCUUCGCUUUCACCGGAUCUACCUUCUCCUCCGGAGGUGGAUGUUUCUUUGCUUUCACCCCUUCAAAGAAGUUCGUCACUUCGGCUCGCACGAUCUUCGUGGGUUCCUCCUUGGUCCUCUCAUAUGGUAACUUCUCUGGAGUCUUCAGAGAAGGACCAAAUCUGUAUUGCCUCCCGCCUCUGGCUGUACUGCUAGACGCCGGCAGAGCAGACGGAGCGGCUGCAGCUGUCUUCUUUCCUUGCUUACGAGGCGGAGGAGAAGUAUUACGACGCGCCGGAGCAGCCGGAGUGGCGGCGGGUCUCUUCCGCCCUUGCUGACGAGGCGGAGAAGGAGGAGGCUGGCUGCUCGGGCGCGCCGGCACAGGCGGAGAAGGAGGCGGACUGCCGCCACGCGCCGGAGAAGGAGGCUGAGUGCCCUGAUCACUCCCCGGAGGAGGAGCCGGAGUGCCGCCACGCGCCGGAGAAGGAGGCUGAGUGCCCUGAUCGCUCGCCGGAGGAGGAGGCGGAGUGCCCUUACUCACCGGAGGAGGAGGAGGAGGCGGAGGCGUCCAGUUCGGAAGGUUGAUGAGCUCCUUCCGCCAUAGGCAUGGAGUCUUCAGAGCAGAACCCAGCCGAGUCUCCCCUUCACCGGUAGGGUGGUCAAGCUGGAGGUCCUCAAAUCCCUCUGUUAUUUCGUCCACCAUCACCCUAGCAUAUCCUUCUGGAAUCGGACGACAAUGAAAAGUUGCGCCGGGUUCAGGAGGUCGAACAGAGCCGACAGCCGCCUUGACUGUGAAGUUCUGCCAUUGCGUCAUAAGGUGGCAAUGUUGAGACUCCGUGAUAGCAUCCACGGGGUAGCUAGCAGGAGUCGUCAAGACAUGCUCCGGCUGAAGCAGCUCGGUGGAAGCCACGCUGCUUCUCCGUUGAGAUGGCGGGGUAGCUUCGGGGGUAGUUUCGGCAGGUCGCUUGCUGCGAGCUACGUCUCGUUCCUCUAGUGCUUGAACCCUUUCGUGCAGCUUCUGAAUUUGGGUCUGCUCCAUGUUUUUCCUCCUCUCCUGGCAUUUGUAACCGCCUGCGUCCGGAAAACCAGCCUUCCACGGAACGGAGCCUGGCGUGCCUCGUGUCCGUCCAGGGUGCUCAGGAUUCCCGAGGGCCAUUGUGAGCUCGUCGUUCUCUCUAUCUGGAACGAACGUCCCUUGCUGCGCCACAUCGAUAUAGUGCUGAAGCCUCUUGACUGGUAUUCUCAAAAGCUCGUCCGUCCAAACGCACUUCCCUGAUACAGGGUCCAAGGUUCCGCCAGCCCCGAAGAACCAAGUCCGGCAACGGUCUGGCCAGUUCAUUGUCUCUGGUUCGAUCCCUUUAUCAAGCAGAUCAUUCUCAGCCUUGGCCCACUUAGGCCGGGCUUUGAGGUAGCCACCUGACCCCGUGCGAUGGUGAAGCUUCUUCUUCGCAGCAUUUUUCUUGUUUGUCGCUGACAACUUCUUACUCUUUUCCGAUGUCUUGUGGGCCACAAAUGUGGGCCAGUGAUCUCUGAUCUUCUCAUAUUUGCCGAUGAAUUCUGGUGUCUCUCCUAUGUCGACAAACGUUUUUAGCUCAUUCUUCCACCUCCUGAAUAGGUCUGCCAUCUUCUUAAGAGCAUGGGACUUGAUUAAUUGCUCUUUAACUGGCUUCUCCGGAUCCUCCUCUGGCGGUAGGGUGAAAUUUGCCUUCAGCUCAGUCCAAAGAUCAUCUUUCUGCAUAUCAUUGACAUAAGACACCUCAGGGUCUUCCUUCUUAGGCUUAUACCAUUGGUGGAUGCUGAUCGGGAUCUUGUCCCUAACAAGAACCCCGCACUGAGCAGCAAAUGCUUCCUUUGUCCGGAUGGUUUCAAUCGGUUGGCCGUCGCGCGCGAUUGCUGUGAUCUCAAACCUUUCAUCCGAGCGCAACUUUCUCUUUGGGCCUCGUCUCUUUACCGAAGUUGUGCUCGAUCCGGAGGGCUAGAAAAAAGAAGAAAGACGAGAGUUAAUUAAUAUGUGUACAUACCAAAACAAUGAAUGCAUCAAUUAGCUAGUCAGCACAGGCUUAACUAAUAUAUUUACCUGGCCGGACUCUGUUCGUUCACCGGAGCCGUCACCACGGGCUCCUUCUUGCACCAGCAUUGGGUCACCGGAGCCAUCAUAAUCAUGUCUUUCCUCCUCCACUCUUCGAUCACCGUAGCCUGCUUCUUCACCCUAUUCUUCCAGACCAUCAUUGUCGUUAAGAUACGACAAGACAUCACCUCCGGUUAAGAUUAUGUCCCGCAACACCUCUUCUGCUUCCUCGUCUCGUCCGUGCUCCAUUGUUUCUGCAAAUAUUACACAAACAUGACAGCAUGUGCAUAUAUUAGUGCAAAUGUAGACCUAGCUUAUUUCGGGUUUGGGGUGGCCUCGGCAACGCUUCAAGGGUAGGGGCGCGGCGGGAGGGGGUAGGAGACCGACAUCGUUUUUUUCUUGGGUUUGGUUGUCCUCGAGAGUUUUGGUCGAGCGAGAGGGCCGGGGGGUGCUCCCGUGGUAUAAGUUAUCACGGUCAAAGUUAUCCGGGAGGGGGUUAUACCGACAACGACGACAUACAUACAUGGGAAAAUAAUGUUNNNNNNNNNNNNNNNNNNNNNNNNNNNNNNNNNNNNNNNNNNNNNNNNNNNNNNNNNNNNNNNNNNNNNNNNNAAGUUAUCGGGACACGGGGUAUAUCGACAACGACAUAUCCGAUAAAAAAUAAGAAGACGAAGAAGAAAUAAAAAGAGGAGAAGAAGAUAUUAAUAGAGGAGAAGAUUGAACAAAAACAAGAAGAAAAAAAGAGGAGAAGAAGAAAGGAAUAGAGGAGAUGAAGAGAAAAUAGAAUAUUCUAUUUUCUCUUCUUCUCCUCUUCUUUUUCUUCUUUUUUCUUCUUCUUAUUUAUUUCUCAUCUUCUUCCUCUCCUCUUCUUCUCCUUUCUUCUUCUUCUUAUUUUCCUUUCUCCUCUCAUUCUUUUUCUUCUUCUUCCUUUCCUAGCUAGAUAUAUAAAACUUUUCUAAAAAUGUAACUUUUGCAUAUAUAAAUUUUUUUCUUCUUCCUUCUUCUUCCUUCUAUUCCUUCUUCCUAAAUAUGUAAAACUUUUCUAAAAAUGAAACUAACCUAAAAUGUACUAAAUCAGAGAACAUAUAUAGAUAAAACUUUUCUAAAAAUCUAACUUUUGCAUAUAUGUAUUUUUUAAACAUCAAUACAAUUGAAAAAAACAUACAUACAUACAAAAAACAUGUAAAAAAUACAUACAUACAUAUAUGAACAUACAUAAAAAAAUACAUAUAUCUAUAAAUACAUAUAUGAAAAUCUAAAAACAUUUAAAAAAAUAGCAUGGCGACGGGUCCGGCAGAGGCGCGGUGCUCACAGAGGGAGGAGCGCACGGCGGGCGGCNNNNNNNNNNNNNNNNNNNNNNNNNNNNNNNNNNNNNNNNNNNNNNNNNNNNNNNNNNNNNNNNNNNNNNNNNNNNNNNNNNNNNNNNNNNNNNNNNNNNNNNNNNNNNNNNNNNNNNNNNNNNNNNNNNNNNNNNNNNNNNNNNNNNNNNNNNNNNNNNNNNNNNNNNNNNNNNNNNNNNNNNNNNNNNNNNNNNNNNNNNNNNNNNAAAGGCCUCUUUUCAGCAGCCCAAAGGGUGGGAAGCGGCGGCCUUUGGUCCCGGUUGGUGGCACCAACCGGGACUAAAGGGGGGCAUUGGUACCGGUUAGUGCCACUAACCGGUACCAAGGCCUUGUGCUGCUGCGCCAGCGUCGAAGGUUUAGUCCCACCUCGCUAGUUGCUAACAGUGGUUUAUAAACCCCACUGUCGCUCCCCUCUCAAGCUCCUCUCCAUUGCAGGCUUACGGGCCUAAUUGUUACUACUAUGCCUGAUGGGCCUACUGGGCCUUCUGCGGGCCUGAAUCCUGGCCCAUCGAUGGGUUUCUAGUCGUAUUCAGGCCGUGGUGGCCCAGUAGGUGGCAUAUUUUUUAUUUUUUGCCUAUUUUCUGUUUUCUUUUUGCCUUUAUUUAUUUUGUUUUGUUUCUACUUACAACAAAAAACGUAUUUAUUUUAUUUUAUUUUGUUUCUAAUUACUUAUUUAUUUUACUUUGUGAUAAUUCUUUUUGCUAUUAAAGUUUCUAACAAAAAAGUUCUUUAUGAAAAUUCUUUUUGCUUUCAAUGAUUUUGAACAGAAAAUACUUAUUUGUUUUAUUUUGUCUCUACUUAUAUAUUUUAUUAAUGUUUAUAUUAUUUUGUUUCUAAUUACUUAUUUAUUUUAUUUGUUAUUUUUCAUGCACCAUUUUUCAUGCAUUUACUGAUUAUUUUGAGCUAUAAGACCCUAAAAUUGAAAAGCAUUUGAAAUGAACUCUGAAAAGGUUGAAAGUUGGCGUGGUAUCAUCAUUUCAUCCACAUAGCAUGUGCAAGAAAGUUGAGAGGGUUUCGGCAAAAACUGGAUGCACUUCGUGUACAAAACGGACAAUCUCUUUCGAAGUAUCAGGAUUUCAUACGGAAACCCGUCUGUUACAAAGGGAUUUCAUUUUUUAAAACUUAUUUGAACUCCUGACUUUUUGUGUGUUCAAAAUGCACCAUUCAAAGCCACAUCAUCAAUUUUCAACCCUUUGUGACUUCAUUUGUUAUUUUUCAUGCAUUUAUUGAUUAUUUUGAGCUAUAAGACCCUGAUAUUGAAAAGCAUUUCAAAUGAACUCUGAAAAGGUUGAAAGUUGGCAUGGUAUCAUCAUUUCAUCCACAUAGCAUGUGCAAGAAAGUUGAGAGGGUUACGGCAAAAACUGGAUGCACUUCGUGUACAAAACGGACAAUGGUAUCAUACUCGUCUGUUAUAAAGUUGGCAUGGUAUCAUCAUAAUAGUUGCUGGAGAAAGUCUUCACUUUUUCUUCGCUUGUGUCAUUUGCUUAUUGCGCCGUAACCGGAUAAUCUUCAUGUUUAUCAGGAUGCUUGGGUCAGCCUUGACUUUGAAGGGAGGAAUUUCAUGAAACUUUUCAUAAUCUUUAGACAUGUCUGUCUUGCCCUCCACUCCCACGAUAUCCCUUUUUCCUGAAAGAACUAUGUGGCGCUUUGGCUCAUCGUAUGAUGUAUUUGCUUCCUUAUAUUUUCUUUUUCUCGGUUUGGUAGACGUGUCCUUCACAUAGAUAACCUGGGCCACAUCAUUGGCUAGGACGAACGGUUCGUCAGUGUACCCAAGAUUUUUUAGAUCCACUGUUGUCAUUCCGUACUGUGGGUCUACCUGUACCCCGCCUCCUGACAGAUUGACCCAUUUGCACUUAAACAAAGGGACCUUAAAAUCAUGUCCGUAGUCAAGUUCCCAUAUGUCCACUAUGUAACCAUAAUAUGUGUCCUUUCCCCUCUCGGUUGCUGCAUCAAAGCGAACACCGCUGUUUUGGUUGGUGCUCUUUUGAUCUUGGGCGAUCGUGUAAAAUGUAUUCCCGUUUAUCUCGUAUCCUUUGUAAGUCAAUACAGACAAAGAUGAUCCCCUGGACAACGAGUACAGCUCAUCACAAACAGUGUUGUCACCUCUGAGACGUGUUUCCAACCAACUGCUGAAAGUCCUGAUGUGUUCACGUGUAAUCCAGUCGUCGCACUGCUCCGGGUGUUUGGAGCGCAGACUGUUCUUGUGUUCAUCGACAUACGGGGUCACCAAGGUAGAGUUCUGUAGAACUGUGUAGUGUGCUUGAGACCAAGAAUGCCCGUCCCUGCAUAUUAUUGAGUCCGCUCCUAGCGUGCCUUUUCCAGUCAGUCUCCCUUCAUACCGCGAUUUAGGGAGACCUAUCUUCUUAAGGCCAGGAAUGAAGUCAACACAAAACCCAAUGACAUCCUUUGUUUGAUGGCCCAUGGAGAUGCUUCCUUCUGGCCUAUUGCGGUUACGGACAUAUUUCUUUAGGACUCCCAUGAACCUCUCAAAGGGGAACAUAUUGUGUAGGAAUACAGGCCCGAAAAUGACAAUCUCGUCGACUAGAUGAUUUAGGACGUGCGUCAUGAUAUUGAAGAAGGAUGGUGGGAACACCAGCUCGAAACUGACAAGACAUUACGCCACAUCACUCCUUAGCCUUGGUAUGAUUUCUGGAUCGAUGACCUUUUGAGAGAUUGCAUUGAGGAAUGCACAUAGCUUCACAAUGGCUAAUCGGACGUUUUCCGGUAGAAGCCCCCUCAAUGCAACCGAAAGCAGUUGCGUCAUAAUCACGUGGCAGUCAUGAGACUUUAGGUUCUGGAACUUUUUCUCUGGCAUAUUAAUUAUUCCCUUUAUAUUCAACGAGAAGCCAGUCGGGACCUUCAUACUGAGCAGGCAUUCAAAGAAGAUUUCUUUCUCUUCUUUCGUAAGAGCGUAGCUGGCAGGACCUUCAUACUGCUUCGGAGGCAUGCCGUCUUUUUCGUGCAAACGUUGCAGGUCCUCCCGUGCCUCAGGUGUAUCUUUUGUCUUCCCAUACACACCCAAGAAGCCUAGAAGGUUCACGCAAAGGUUCUUCGUCACGUGCAUCACGUCGAUUGAAGAGCGGACCUCCAGGUCUUUCCAGUAGGGUAGGUCCCAAAAUAUAGAUUUCUUCUUCCACAUGGGUGCGUGUCCCUCAGCGUCAUUCGGAACAGCUAGUCCGCCGGGACCCUUUCCAAAGAUUACGUGUAAAUCAUUGACCAUAGCAAGUACGUGAUCACCGGUACGCAUGGCGGGCAUCUUCCGGUGAUCUGCUUCGCCUUUGAAAUGCUUGCCUUUCUUUCGACAUUGAUGGUUGGUCGGAAGAAAUCGACGUUGGCCCAGGUACACAUUCUUCCUGCAUUUGUCCAGGUAUAUACUUUCAGUGUCAUCUAAACAGUAUGUGCAUGCGUGGUAUCCCUUGUUUGUCUGUCCUGAAAGGUUACUGAGAGCGGGCCAAUCGUUGAUGGUUACAAACAGCAAGGCGUGCAGGUUAAAUUCCUCCUGUUUGUGCUCAUCCCACGUAUGUACACCGUUUCCAUUCCACAGCUGUAAAAAUUCUUCAACUAAUGGCCUUAGGUACACAUCAAUCUCGUUGCUGGGUUGCUUAGGGCCUUGGAUGAGAACUGGCAUCAUAAUGAACUUCCGCUUCAUGCACAUCCAAGGAGGAAGGUUAUACAUACAUAGAGUCACGGGCCAGGUGCUGUGAUUGCUGCUCUGCUCCCCGAAAGGAUUAAUGCCAUCCGCGCUUAAACCAAACCAUACGUUCCUUGGGUCACCUGCAAACUCAGCCCAGUACUUUCUCUCGAUUUUUCUCCACUGCGACCUGUCAGCGGGUGCUCUCAACUUCCCGUCUUUCUUACGGUCCUCACUGUGCCAUCGCAUCAACUUGGCAUGCUCUUCGUUUCCGAACAGACGUUUCAACCGUGGUAUUAUAGGAGCAUACCACAUCACCUUCGCAGGAACCCUCUUCCUGGGGGGCUUGCCGUCAACAUCACCAGGGUCAUCUCGUCUGAUCUUAUACCGCAAUGCACCGCAUACUGGGCAUGCGUUCAGAUCCUUGUACGCACCGCGGUAGAGGAUGCAGUCAUUAGGGCAUGCAUGUAUCUUCUGCACCUCCAAUCCUAGAGGGCAUACGACCUUCUUUGUUGCGUAUGUACUAUCGGGCAAUUCGUUAUCCUUUGGAAGCUUCUUCUUCAAUAUUUUCAAUAGCUUCUCAAAUCCUUUGUCAGGCACAGCAUUCUCUGCCUUCCACUGCAGCAAUUCCAGUACGGUACCGAGCUUUGUGUUGCCAUCUUCGCAAUUGGGGUACAACCCUUUUUUGUGAUCCUCUAACUUGCGAUCGAACUGCAGCUUCUCCUUUUAACUUUCGCAUUGCGUCCUUGCAUCGACAAUGACCCGGCGGAGAUCAUCAUCAUCGGGCACUGGUUCCUCUUGAUCUUCAGCAGCUUCCCCCGUUGUAGCAUCAUUGGGCACAUCGUCUGGUUCCUCUUGAUCUUCAGCAGCUUCCACCGUUGCAGCAUCACCAUAUUCAGGGGGCACACAGUUGUCAUCGUCCUCUUCUUCUUCACCGUCUUCCAUCAUAACCCCUAUUUCUUCGUGCCUCGUCCAAACAUUAUAGUGUGGCGUGAAACCCUUGUAAAGCAGGUGGGUGUGAAGGAUUUUCCGGUCAGAGUAAGACUUUGUAUUCCCACAUUUAGGGCAUGGACAACACAUAAAACCAUUCGGCUUGUUUGCCUCAGCCACUUCGAGAAUAUCAUGCACGCCCUUAAUGUACUCGGAGGUGUGUCUGUCACCGUACAUCCAUUGCCGGUUCAUCUGCGUGCAUUAUAUAUAAUUAAGUGUGUCAAAAACCAUUAUAGAACAUCAUGAAUAGAUAAUUAAGUGACCAAAUUAAUAGAAGUUCAUCAUCACAUUAAAACCAAAGUACAUACAUAGUUCUCAUCUAACAACAUAUAGCUCUCCAGAGCAUCUAAUUAAUUAAACCAUACAUUGAAACUAUGUAAAACAUUUCAACGCGAAAACAAAUGCGAUCAUAAUCGCAACCAAGGUAACAAUUGAUCCAACGGCAUAAUGAUACCAAGCCUCGGUAUGAAUGGCAUAUUUUCUAAUCUUUCUAAUCUUCAAGCGCAUUGCAUCCAUCUUGAUCUUGUGAUCAUCGACGACAUCCGCAACAUGCAACUCCAAUAUCGUCUUCUCCUCCUCAAUUUUUUUCCUUCAAGAAAUUGUUUUCUUCUUCAAGUAAAUUUAACCUCUCGACAAUAGAGUCGGUUGGAAUUUCCGGUUCACAUCACUACAGGAAUCAGCUAUUUUGCCGUCUGCCACGGCGGACGGCAAAGGCAUGAACGGCGGACGGCAAAGGCCUUUGCCGUCAGCCGCGGACGGCAAAAGGCUCCGGCAAAGUAGGCUACGGUAAACAGCUACUUUGCCGUCUGCUUCCUGGCGGCUGACGGCAAAGGCCCUUUGCCGUCUGCUUCCUGGCGGCUGACGGCAAAGGCCCUUUGCCGUCUGCCGCGGACGGCAAAGAGAGCGGACGGCAAUAAUUGCGCUGUCAGUCCGUUAAGUGGCUAACGGCAGGCCUUUGCCGUCCGCGGCAGACGGCAAACUUUCUAGUGUCUUUGUCGUCUGCCUUAUGAUGUCAUCUACACGUCACUACACGGCAGGCCUUUGCCGUCCGCCGCUGACGGCAAAAUGGUUUACUCUUUGCCGUCUGCCACUGUAGGCAAAUUGACCAAAUGGGUCAGCUCCAGGAAGCACAGCUGGAUGCCACGUGGCUUCUUUGCCGUCCGCAGCAGACGGCAAAGAGCCCGUUGCCGUCGGUGGCAGACGGCAAAGAGCCUGCAUAUUGGCUCUUUUUUCUGUUUUUUAUUAAAUCCAACAAUUUUCAUCACAAAAUAUAUAUGACAUAUAUAGAUAUAUUUCAGAAGGCCAUUACAGAGCAAACAUAUAAGAUAUCCAACACAUAACUUCAUCAUACAUGCAUAGUUCCAUCCAACCAUACCAAGUUCCAUGCAUGGUUCCAUCAUACAUAGCAAGUUCAACAUAGAGGCAUCCAACCAUAUAUAUUACAAUAGUUUCAUCCAACGAUACAUGCAUAGUUCAACGAUACAAAAGAAACAGAGAAAGGGAUAAGGAGCACUCCAUCUAUGCAAGCUUUCGUCAAGUGAAUGAAAUCUGCAAAAUGAAAAAUAAGAAAGUUAGAAAUAGGUGACUAGAAUAAGAAGACUAGAACAAGAAGAGUAGAACAAGAAGAAGACUAGAACAAGAAGAGUAUGUCAUUUAUGAGCUAACUUACAUGAAAUGGAUCAUAUAUGAGCUAACUAAGUUGAAAUGGGUCGUUUAUGAGCUAGCUAAGGUGAAAUGGAUCAUUUAUGAGCUAACUUAGUUGAAAUGGGUCGUUUAUGAGCUAACUAAGGUCAAAUGGAUCAUUUUUGAGGUAACUAAGGUGAAAUGGAUCAUUUUUUAGCUAACUUAGGUGAAAUGGAUCAUUUAUAAGCUAACUUAGUUGAAAUAGAUCGUUUUUGAGCUAACUUAGGUGAAAUGGAUCAUUUAUGAGCUAAUUUAGUUGAAAUGGAUCUUUUUGAGCUAACUUAGGUGAAAUGGAUCAUUUAAGAGCUAAUUUAGGUGAAAUGGAUGGUUUUUUAGCUAACUUGGUGAAAUGGAUCGUUUAUGAGCUAAAUUAGUUGAAAUGGAUCGUUUAUGAGAUAACCUAGGUAAGAUGGGUCAUUUUGGAGUUAACCUAGGUGAAAUGGGUCAUUUUAAAGCUAACGUAGGUAAAAUGGAUCAUUUAGGAGCUAAUCUAGGUAAAAUGCGUCAUUUUUGAGCUAACUUGGAUGAACUGGAUCAUUUAUAAGCUAACCUAGGUAAAAUGGGUCAUUUUAGAGCUAACUUAGGUAAAAUGGAUCGGUUAUGAGCUAACUAAGCAAAUUAUGCAAUUUUUGACAUAAGUAAGCUAAGUACAGAUCGUUUUAGAGCUAACUUAGGUAAAAUGGAUGGUUUUGGAGGUCAGUAAGCUUAUUAAGUCAUUUUGGAGGAGAAGAAGCUAAGUCUAGGUCAUUAUGGUAAGCAUUGGAGGAAAUAAAGCUAAGUCUAGGUCUUUAUGCAUGUGUUAAGCAAAACACUAGAUAAACUUACCAAGAUCCAGGAGGUGUAGGAGCGGGCUGGCUCGUGUCGGUAGCUGGAGAAGGAUCGUGCGAUGCUUGUCUGGAGUUACGCUGCACCAAAGAUCAUUUCCAAUGUCUUGUUAGCAUGAUGACACUCAAAUGUUAAGACUAGCAAGUAAUGUCCAUUCAAAUUAAACUCACCGUGGUCCCAGGAGCAAUCACUGGCAUCGGCGGAGCGGUCUGACCGGUCUUCUUGCACACAGACUGCACAUUUGGUUUUGACGACUCAGUCAUACUAGUUAGUAAUGAGACAAACACUACAUGAAUGUUUUGGCUAAUCUACAGAAGAAACUUACCACAAGGAGCUCGUACAUGGCCCUUGCCUGCAUGUCAUUCCGUGCCCUCUCCUCCUCCAUCAUCUUUGUCGUCCUCUCCUCCAACAACCGCUGCCUCUCUGCCGCCUCCGCCAGAAGUUUCUCCGUUCUAUCUCUCUCACUCUGUAUAGCAGCCUGCAACACCACUCACAUGACCAUUUAUAAUCAUUGAUGGAAGCGCACACAAUGUAAUGGAGAAAGAUAACUGAGUACGUAUCACUAACCUUGAUGGCGAGUUGCACUGGCCGUUCACAAGGCCUUAUCUCAGGAGCGGAGCUCGACUGGCGUGCCUUGAUCUCCGGGAGAGUGCUAGGACAACGGAUAAGUCCAUCUCCAAUGGCUAUGGAGCCAUGGGACCUCCCGCCACUAGAUAUCAUCACCAGCUCUGGAUCAAUGGGACCCUGGCUCGGGUUAAAGUCCUCCCCUUUCCUCGCCUUCCCCUCAUCUCUAUAUCUCACGAGCUUGUUGUGGGAGGAGAUGUUGGUGAAGUUGUUUGCAUCAUCGAGGUCAGACUGAGAGAAAGCCUUGACUUUCUUGAAAGAGGCAGUGUGGGCCAUGGCAUACAGGUCGUACACCUAUGGCACCUUAUCCACCUUAUUGUGGCGUGCCUGAAAGAGAGAAACAAUGUAAAUUAGUAAUUAAAGGGCUCAAGCUAGCAUGAUGAAUGAAUUGCAUGAAUCAUGAAGCAAACCACAUACCCAGUUCCGCCCGAACUGAUAUAAGUUGGAGCUGCCUUGAUGGUGUGGCACACCUUCCAUUUGGGCACGUUUGUCCUUGGCCUCGUUGUGGAGGGCUAGUCAUUCCUUUGAGCACCACUCAUUGACCAACACCUCCCAACAAUCCAUCCGAUCCGCACACCAUCUCGGAGGCGCCUAAGUUAGCAAAUAGAAACUUGAGCGCUACGGCUAAGAAUUACUAAAUGAAGGAACUUAAGUAGAAAGCCUUAAGAAUUACCAUCAUGUACUGCUCCUUACUCAGGAACUUAUCGCGACACGCCGGCUUGGUCUUCUUGAUACCACACAAGGCGUAGUAGUCUCGAACAGCCUGCACCCGAGCCUCGUGCCGUAAGCUCUGUAGUAGGCGCUUGCAGACGUUCUCGAUAACAUAUGCCGCGUCCUCCUCGUAUCCCUCCUCACACCUGUAGAAUGUCUGCAAUCAAAUGAGACAAUAUUGAUUAGUACAAUUAAUAACUAGCUAGUUGAAGAUUUUUAAAUGUGUAAAGGAGAAAUUACCCAGAACUUUCUGAUCACCAUGUCUGCCCUCGUGUCGCACACGACACCGUCGAUAAUCUCAUCCGGCGGGGCCGGGGCAGCCACGUAGUGCUCCCAGCUCAAUCCAAGCUCUGGAAGCCGACCCUCACCAGGCAACGUGACAAACCCCGGGAAGUUUUGCCGGCAAAGAACUCCAAGGAUGGAGUUGGGCCGGCGGACACUAUGAUGGUGGUCCCAACCCCUGCAGCAUGACAAGGCCAACGCAUUAGUUAUUUCAAGAAACGUGAAUGCAGAAGGUACAAAAAUAUUAAAUGCACUUACAUACCUCUCCCCAUCAGGGAAAAUCAACCACCUCUGCUCGCGGGUCGCCGGCACGGACGGAAGCCGAGUAGCACCACGCUGGUAGACGGUGCCCCCCUCCUCCUCAAAAUCAGUAGGCUCCCCGCCAUCAUCAGCAUGGCCACUCGGCUCCUCGGGCUGAUCCGGCCAGGUACCCCAUCCGGACGUGUGCUCCUCCAGGGUCUCGUGGGCCGAACUCUCGUGGGCCGAAGGCCAGUCGACCCGAGGCUCGUGCGCCCAAGACCCGUGGACCGGAGGCUCGUGGACCGGAGUCCGUGUAGCCUCCUCCUCGGACGAGUCCACCCUAGCAGUCACGUGCUCGGGUGAAACAGCUGGGGGUGGCGGCGAGGAAGGCGCCGUAGCAGUCACCCUACCUCCUCUCCCGCGACCACGUGCCCCACAUCCUCUCUUCCUACCUCGUACCCUGCUGGGCACCGCGGUCGACGAAGAAGGGCCCGACGGUGUGGCCAUACUGUCCAGCAACGCUCGGCGGAGAGGUGCGUCUGGAAUGGAAGACCUCAGACCACGCGCCGACGAAGAAGGGGCCUUGGCGCGCUCCCGACCAGCGCCCACCAUCUUUCAACACCUGCCAUGAAAAACAGUAAACGAAAUUAGUACAACAUAAAAAAAAGACUGACAUGAAUAAUAAUAUGUGUAUCACUUAAGUGUAUCAUCAUCAAGUACAACAUAAAAAAAUUUAAUACCUGACACUACUAAUAAUCUCGAUCAGUAUCAUCAAUAAAUGCAUAAUCAUCAUCAUCACUAUAAUCAAUGACGGGCUCAUAGGGUUCAGUGGCAUCAACAUGUGGAAGGCCACCUUGACGUAAUCGGUCAAGCAUUGACAGGUCAUCCGUAGCAGUAACCUCUUCUUGUUCCGGCUCUUCUUGUUCCUCCUCUGGGGUGAUGUCGGAUUCACUGUCGCUGUCUACUUCAAUGUUUUGGGGUGAAGUAUAGCGGUUCUUGAAACGCUUUUUGGAAAGACGUGUCUCUUGGAAGAAUUCUCAUUCAUAUGUGUCUGGGUUAAUGUGAGGUUCAUAAUCCUCUUCCUUUGGGGGAGAUAGUCUAGCACGUGGUGGCACUUCAUAAACGACAUCCCAACCUUUCAGAUUUGGAUUAGUUUGGCAAGCCCACGGUAGAUAGAAUACUUGGGUCGCCUGUUGAGCCGUAAUAUAGACAUCAGGAACAUCUAAAUGGGUGCUUUGGUUGAUUUCAACUAGCCCUAUAUGUUCAUGAGUCCUUCUGGUCUCCUUCGGCUGAAACCAAUAACAUUUGAAGACUACGACAUUCGGUGGGUUUUCACCAUAGAAUAGAAGUUCAUAAAUUGCUUCAACUCUCCCAUAAACUCGGUACCUCCUUCGCCGAUAGCAGAUACACAACAAUUUGUAGACUUUCGGUCGGCCAUAGAUAGCUCUUUGCCAUAGGUACGAAAGCGAUACCCGUUGAUGUCGUAUUUGUCAAAUGAACGGACCUUAUAGUCAAAACCAUUAGCGACUUGUCUCAAUUCGGCGUCCAUAGACUCUGAAUUAGCCUACAAGUUUAAUAUGAAAGGAUUGUUGCAUUACGCACAAAUUAGCGAAUGAAAUGAAAUUGUCUAAUAGAAAUUACCGUUUGUUUGAACCAAGAGAUGAAACCGGGAUAGCCGCCUCCUUGCUUUGCGAGAAGCUCAUACUCUUCGACAGAAUCCUUUUGGAUCACCGCUCCAUACGAGAAUAAGGCGACGUAUCGACUGUAUGAAAUAUCCAGGAAUAAGAGCAGUUCAAAGGAAAUAGAAGUUGCGAAACUAUGUACCGAGAACUUACUCGAUGUACGGCCGCACUUCUAUCAGGUUGUUGAAGAUAUACAACGAAAUGGUCCGCCAUUGUUCGUUAUCCAAAGAUACUGGAUUUGAAACAUUGGCUGGUGCGAGAUUCCCUUUGAAUAGGCUGAGGUUGGAUCCACCCUUUUUAGGGUCGUCAGCAUUGUACCGAGGCUUCGGAUUAUGCAAAUGAUGAUUUUUGGCUUCGUAGUGUGCUGUCACGAAGUUUGCCGCCUCCUCAGUGAUGAAUGCCUCAGCCAUCGAUGCUUCAAUUCUACGUUUAUUUUUACAUUUUUGUCGAAGCGUCUUCUGCAUCCUCUCAGUUGGGUAGCACCAACGAUUUUGCACGGGCCCCCCAAUCUUGCCUCGGUCGGGAGAUGCAAAAUCAAAUGUUGCAUUGGAUUAAAGAAGCCCGGUGGAAAGAUCUUCUCUAACUUGCAGAUCAACUCCGGCGCCAACUCUUCCAUUUCUUCUAGCACGCCAGGCGAUAGUUCUUUCGCACAAAGAACACGGAAGAAAUAGCUGAGUUCUGCCAGUACUAGCCAUUCAUCCUCAGGGAUGAAGCCACGCAACAUCACCGGCAUUACCCGCUCAAUCCAUAUGUGCCAAUCAUGACUCUUGAGACUAAAUAUCUUCAAUUUAUCAAGACUGGCUCCCCUCUGUAGAUUCGCUGCAUACCCAUCGGGGAACAUCAACUGCAUUUUCACCCACAAGAUAAUUUCCCUCAUAGCUGGCCUUCCAAGAUUGAACCAUGCCUUUGGCUUCGUCCAGUUCUGCUUUCCUUUCGGUUCUUUCAUGUUUUGUAACGGCCUAUCACAUAGCGCCUCCAGAUCGACUCUAGCCUUAGUAUUAUCCUUUGACUUCCCAUCUAUGCCGAACAAUGUACCAAAAAGUGCCUCGGCGAUAUUCUUCUCAGUGUGCAUCACGUCGAUGUUGUGUGGGCAAAGGAGGUCUUUGAAGUAAGGCAGAUCCCAUAAGCAUGUUUUGUGAGUCCAGGCGUGCUUAGAAUUAUACCCCUUGAAGUACCCUGGACGCUCUGGAUCUGGCUCGAGAGCGUUUAACUGAUCCAGGGUCUGUUGGCCUGUCAAUGCAGGUGGUGCAGAGUUUUUGACAACUCUAUCUCUGAUCAAGUUCUUCUUGUCUUUCCUGAACUUAUGGCGAGGAUUCAGGAACUGUCUAUGCAUGUCGAAGCAAGAAAACUUGCGACUGGCCUGAAGCCAACGAAACUCAAGAGCUCCCUUGCAUGUGGGGCAUGGGAACCUUCCAUGCACACACCAGCCAACGAAUAGCGCAUACGCCGGCAAGUCAGGCGUCGAGUACAUGUACCAGACACGCAUUAUGAAGUUCCGUUUGCUAUAGGCGUCGUAUGUCUUGAACCCAUUAUCCCAGGCUUCUUGCAAUUCGUCCUUAAGCGGCUGCAUGUACACAUUCAUAUUUUUCCCCGGAUAGUUGGGCCCUGGAAUUAUCAACGUCAGGAAAAUGUUCUUUCUUUGCAUAAUCUGUCCGGGGGGAGAUUGAGUGCAAAGACAAAUACGGGCCAACAACCGUACUGGGCUGCCGUCAUACCAAACACACUGAACCCAUCCGUGCUGAUGCCGACUCGAGGAUGCCUCGGAUCUGCCGCUUUGUCACCAUGUAAUUCAUCAAACUUUUUCCACGCAACACCAUCGGAUGUGUGUACAAUCAUCAGAUUCCCAUCUGCAUCUAGUUUGGUUCUUUUGCCCGUUUUGUGCCAUGUCAUCUGUCUGGCCGUCUCUUCGACCAUGAAAAGACGUUGAAGUCUUGGUACGAUUGGCAUAUACCGAAGAACAGUAACGGGGAUUUUGGUCUGUGUCUUCUCACCCAUACCAUUAUCUACCACAACAUACCUGGAAGACUUGCAAAUGGGACAAUAGUUCAAGUCUGCAUAGUCAAGCCUAAACAAGACACAUCCUUUCUCACAGGCAUGUAUCUUAUCAUAGGGCAUCUUCAGUGCACGGAGGAUUUUGUCCGACUGGUACAGGUUUGCAGGCAUUACAUGGCCUUUGGGUAGAAAGCGUCCAAAUACUAUCAUCAUUGCAUCGUAGCAUUCUCUGCCCAAGUUGAACUGAGCCUUCAGAGCCAUUACUUGUGAGAUGGCAUCCAACUGACAAAGCUCAGUGUGCUCAUGGAGCGGACGUUUUGAAGACUCCAACAUUUUAUUGAAGGCCUUUGCAGAUUCCUCCAUCUCCUCGUCCGAAUCCCGAGCAUCAUCGAAGUCUUGCACCAUGUUUUCCAUCCCGGUACCAUGCUCGUCGGUGCGACGACGAUCCACCUCAGCUCGGUCACGUUGGGCAGACUCACCAUGAAAUGUCCAUACCGUCUAAUCGGGCGUAAAACCACUCUUCUGCAGGUGUUUGCCCAUUUCAGCCUCUGUCCUCUUUUCCCAAUUGCCGCACCGUAAACAGGGGCACCAGGUUUUCCUCUGGCCUUUUGCAAAUGCGGCUCGCACAAACCCCUUGGUUUUUGUAAACUAUUCAGUGCUCCAUUUGUUCUGACCAGUGUGACCGGUGUACAUCCACGCACGAUCACUCAUCUUGACUUUCAGAGCUACUAGACACACAAAAUAUAUAUAUAUAUAUAUAUAUAUAUAUAUAUAUAAUUCACCAUGUAUAUAUUCAUCAGUUGAUCUACUUUGUCAAUUUUAUUACGUCCAUGCAACUUACACUCUAAUAGGUAAUGAUAGGUCCUAAUCCCACCCGAGUAUGUUUAGAUUGGGUUCAUUUUCCCAUGCUAUGCUCCGGAUCCUAUGCAAAAUUUCGGCAGCACCUCCCCGUUGUUCUCCUGAUACACGUCUCUGCAAUAAACAGAGAGGAUGUGUACCCGGAGAAUAAUAGGGGAGGCACUGACGAAAUUUAUGCGUCGGAUCCGGAGCAAAGCAUAUGGGAAAACGAACCCAAUCUAAACAUACUCAGGCUGUCCAUGGAUAGCGUUGGACAAUUCGAAAGAAUCAAGGUUAUAAAUAUGCAAAUGCAUGCAUAUUUAUAACUAUGACGCUUUCAAACGGGAGACACAUAUUGGUUACGCAUACUGAUGAUUCAAGACACAUAUAUAGCUAGCUAUCAAGUUUCAUCGGAAUUGAUCAAAUAAUUAAUGGGGGAGGAGGACAUGUCAUUUGUGCUCACCCACGAACGAAGGGGCAGAGCUCGUCAAACGCACGGCGAGGUCGUCGAACACCAAACCUCGCAGCGAUGAAACAACUGCACAUUUAAAACUACCCGAUCAACACAAUUAUAUAUGAUGUUUUUCAUAACAAAAUCGAAAAAUAUAUGACCUAACUAAUAAUUCACAAAUAUAUGACCCCGUCGGCUUCUCGAAGGCCAAAGAACACCUUUUCGGGAGGUGUCGGGGGUCGGGGUGUCGUGUCGGUGUCGGGGUGCCGUGUCGNNNNNNNNNNNNNNNNNNNNNNNNNNNNNNNNNNNNNNNNNNNNNNNNNNNNNNNNNNNNNNNNNNNNNNNNNNNNNNNNNNNNNNNNNNNNNNNNNNNNNNNNNNNNNNNNNNNNNNNNNNNNNNNNNNNNNNNNNNNNNNNNNNNNNNNNNNNNNNNNNNNNNNNNNNNNNNNNNNNNNNNNNNNNNNNNNNNNNNNNNNNNNNNNNNNNNNNNNNNNNNNNNNNNNNNNNNNNNNNNNNNNNNNNNNNNNNNNNNNNNNNNNNNNNNNNNNNNNNNNNNNNNNNNNNNNNNNNNNNNNNNNNNNNNNNNNNNNNNNNNNNNNNNNNNNNNNNNNNNNNNNNNNNNNNNNNNNNNNNNNNNNNNNNNNNNNNNNNNNNNNNNNNNNNNNNNNNNNNNNNNNNNNNNNNNNNNNNNNNNNNNNNNNNNNNNNNNNNNNNNNNNNNNNNNNNNNNNNNNNNNNNNNNNNNNNNNNNNNNNNNNNNNNNNNNNNNNNNNNNNNNNNNNNNNNNNNNNNNNNNNNNNNNNNNNNNNNNNNNNNNNNNNNNNNNNNNNNNNNNNNNNNNNNNNNNNNNNNNNNNNNNNNNNNNNNNNNNNNNNNNNNNNNNNNNNNNNNNNNNNNNNNNNNNNNNNNNNNNNNNNNNNNNNNNNNNNNNNNNNNNNNNNNNNNNNNNNNNNNNNNNNNNNNNNNNNNNNNNNNNNNNNNNNNNNNNNNNNNNNNNNNNNNNNNNNNNNNNNNNNNNNNNNNNNNNNNNNNNNNNNNNNNNNNNNNNNNNNNNNNNNNNNNNNNNNNNNNNNNNNNNNNNNNNNNNNNNNNNNNNNNNNNNNNNNNNNNNNNNNNNNNNNNNNNNNNNNNNNNNNNNNNNNNNNNNNNNNNNNNNNNNNNNNNNNNNNNNNNNNNNNNNNNNNNNNNNNNNNNNNNNNNNNNNNNNNNNNNNNNNNNNNNNNNNNNNNNNNNNNNNNNNNNNNNNNNNNNNNNNNNNNNNNNNNNNNNNNNNNNNNNNNNNNNNNNNNNNNNNNNNNNNNNNNNNNNNNNNNNNNNNNNNNNNNNNNNNNNNNNNNNNNNNNNNNNNNNNNNNNNNNNNNNNNNNNNNNNNNNNNNNNNNNNNNNNNNNNNNNNNNNNNNNNNNNCGGGGGGCGGGGGCGGCGGCAGCGGCGGUGGGGUGGGAUGUGGUGGCGGGGUGCGUUGGGGAGGAGAGAGAGGAAGAGAACAGAGAGUAACGGGCGGGGGGGUACGGGCCGUUAGGUACUCUCCUCUUUGCCGUCCGCCAUUCUUUGUCGUCCGCCUUUUUGCCUCUUUGCCGUCUGCUAGCAGACGGCAAAGAGGUGGGGCGUUAAGUUAUUUCCAAACGGGCGGGGUGUGGGGGCCACCUCUCUCUUUGCCGUCUGCCAGCGGACGGCAAAGAUUUUUUGCCGUCUGCUAGGAGACGGCAAAGAGCUCGCAGAUGGCAAAGAGCUUCUUUGUCGUCCGCCAUUUCUUUGCCGUCUGCUUUUGGAUAGCUGAUGGCAAAGAGCUUCUUUGCCGUCAGCUAGCAGAGGGCAAAGAGCUGGCAGAUGGCAAAUUAGCUGAUUCCAGUAGUGCAUACCUCGUAGAUAAAUAAAAUCUAUGUCACGUUGGUCGUCAUAAUUUUCAUAAACAAUAAAUGAACCAAUAGUUAUAAAGAUAAUAUAUACCACAUCCGAAUCAUAGACAGGACGAGGGCCGACGGGGGCGGAUACCAAAACCAUCGCACUAUAUAAUAACAAGCAAUAAAAUAGUAAGAAAAUUAGACAAGUAUCUAUCUAGAGUAAGAAUUUUUUUCUUUCAGAAAGAAGAUAAGAACAAGAGGCUCACCACGGUGGUGCCGGCGACGAGAUCGGCGCGGGCGAUUGACGGCGGUUAAGACGGGAAUGGGACGUGACGGGCCGCUAAACCUAGACAAAUCUCGAGGAAAAUGGAGCUUUGAGGUCGAGCUUCGAGACGAGAAAGCUUAACUAGUGUGGCUCGGGCAUUUCAUCGAACACCUCAUGUGCAUAGGAGGUGAGGUAGAGCACCACAAAGCCCUCCCCUCGCCGGCCAGAGAAAAACAGAGCACUAGAUUGCUCUGCUCGCGGGCGAGGGGUAUAUAAAGGCACCUCAUUGGUACCGGUUCGUGGUAUGAACCGGGACUAAAGGGCAGCCUAUGGUCCCGGUUCAAGCCACCAACCGGGACCAAUGGUGGUGGGCCAGGAGCGAGGCCCAUUGGUCCCGGUUCGUCCCACCGACCGGGACCAAAGGGGCCAGACGAACCGGGACCAAUGCCCCCACGAGGCCCGGCAAGCCCCUGGCCUCACGAACCGGGACCAGUGCCCCAUGGGUCCCGAUUCUGGACUGAACCGGGACUAAUGGGCUGACCCGGCCUGAACAAAAGCCCUCUUUUCUACUAGUGCACCGUCCACUUUCUCUCACUUUUAAUAUAUUACAUGAUAUGAACAGAGAUUUAGCCCAUUUAUGUGGUAUUGACAUAUUGUGUCUUAGAGCAUCUACAGUCCAACAGCCUAAACCGUCCCGAAACGCCCGAGCAGACGGCCUGGUCACUGACCGGUCAUGAAAAAACGACCUAGAUGGACGCCUUAAACCGUCCUCAAAUGUCCGGGCCGUCCAGCGCCUCUCAUAUCCAGCCCAAAUAUGGGGCGGAUAUGAGGCGUCCCCAGCGCGUCCGCCACGUCGGGCUUGGCCCAGCCUGGCCCACCCGUGCCCCACAAAUAUCCCCAUCGGGAAAACCCUAGACACCGGUCAAUCCGAACACCACUUCACUCCCUCUCCGUCCACUCCACUUCCGAUCCCCUUCGAUUUGAAUCGAUGGCUAGCGACGAAAGUAGCGGUGGCUCCGGUGGAGAAUCCGACGGCUGCAGCAUCGAUGUUGAGGAGGUCGCCCUUCGCAUCGCAUUGAGGCAAUCGUUGGUCGACCAAGGCGGCGUCGGAGUGGCGGAUCUUCUUCCUCAGCGGCCGUUGCCCGUCGACGCAGCGCCGCCGACGUCGACGGCCCGUCCCGCUAGACAAGUAGCUUAGGCCGUUCCGCUCUCGUCCUUCAAGUACGCCCGCCAUGCGAAGGAGCAGGACUGGAUGCUCCGCAGGCUGCCAGGCCGAAGCCACAGCUCGGAAUCCGACUUGACGAGCGGCUCCACCUCCAGCUCCGACGACGACGCACCACUGCACGCCGACGCCUACACAAAGGAGGGGCACGGCUGCAUCGACGACCGAAAGGGGAAGGGGCCGGCGAGGAAUGGUGAUUUCCUCCGCCCUUACCCGUUCUGUUUAUAUUUUUAACUAUGUUUUAAGUAGUUUGUAGUAUGGAUUUGCAUUGUUUGCCGUUGAACUUGGAUGAACUAUGUUCCUUUUAUCCGUCGUUGAAAUGUUGAUAUGAUGAACUGCGUGUGUUGAUUGUCUUUUACGUAGCGUUGCAUGGGUUGUAUGGUUUGAGGUUUCGAUUAUAAGGGGCGCGGGUGUGGAAGCCAACAAAUGACGCGUGGCCGGGUCAGUGCUCGCGGUCGGACGUUUGAAGGCUGGAUUUGUCUAGUCCGGCUGUAGAUGCUCUUAGGGGAAGAAUGAGAAAACAUUGCACUCUUGCCCGGCGAGACAAACAUUCACAUGACCAUCAGUGCUCCUGCCACCUUGGAAUGCUGCCGCCACAGCACAUAUUCAAGUCACGUAUGCACGUUAGCACAUGUAGCUAUUGCCGAUUCAUCAUUGCCAAUUUUGACAUCUUGUGUGCGUCCGAAGCAAAUAUGGACGCAGUUGUGUGUGAAGUCUUGAGGGAGGGGGUUGGCUGAUUCGAUUUGACUUAGUUAUUUUGGUGCCAUUUCCAAAUUUGAAAUAAGAUUAUUAUUGAAUAAAUGUAAAUGUAGAUAGUCAGAACUGCAUUGUAUCCAAACAUGUUUAACCAAUUCUUUAACUUAUAUUUUAGUGUAUCAAAAUAAAAAAAUAUAGACACGUAGCUACUCUACAAACCUAUACGACAAUAGUGUAUGAUAUUGUGUUGUGCUGUUAUUUCUGACAUUUCAAAUAUAAAUUUUAGAUAUGAACAGUGACCUCCACUAAUAACAAACAAUCAGAGGUCAAAUUACCAGUUCGUAAUUUGUAGGAGUAUAUACACACGGACGAAAUAAUUUAGCUAUACAUUUGGUGGAAAGGAAAUUUCUUCUGACGGCGCCUACAUUAAGAGACGAUACGUACACAUGUCUUGCAUUUAGACGUACGCAUAUAUAAAAUAAUGUAGAGACUAUGUAGUACAAUCGAUUAGGUUAGUAUAUACACCACAUUGAUAUUGUUGAUUCCGACCAUAAGACGCGCUACGUUAUUCCAUUUUAUCAUUGUUAAUGUGUUCUGGUGGCUAUAAUGAAUGGUACAUCUGUGGCAUUAGAACAUGUACAGCCGGACUUGACAAAUCCGGCCCCUGAUACGCCCAUGGACGCGUCCGGGCGCGUCUGCGGAUAGCGUCCGGCAGCUCCACAUAUGUUACGCCACCUAUCCAUAUAUCUCAAAUUCUGAUCCUCAAAUCCAUGCAAAUCAUGCACGUCGAUCAUACGAUACAAAUUGUUCGAAUUUCAAAGUUCGAAACAAAGCAAACAAAUCAUAGUUCAACAAACUGGACAUGCCAAAACGAAAUCAAUGUCCGAGCGUGACGGAUGGCCUCGGAUCACUAGCCGGGUGCCUGCUCCGAGUGAAAUGCGUCGUGCUCCAGGCGGAAUGCGUCCUGCUCUGCCUGCAUCCAGGCUUCCUGCUCCGCCGCUUCCGCCUGCAUCCGUGCUGCGGCCGCCCUCGCUGCCUGGUACUCCCUAUGGUCGUUGAUCUCAUUCUUCUUGUUCGCAAGCCACUUCUUCGCAUGCUCAUCUAAGAGGGGUUCGUCCACCAACAUGAUCCUCGCAUCUUCCGCAUCCCGUGGCGAAGAUUGGGAGCAAGGGUGGAGGACGGCGAGUGUCCGGGCGCGGGAAAGGUUGGAGGGCGGCAGGAGGAGGUAGAAGGGUUCGGUGGAUUUGGUGCAAUUUGCGGUGGGGUUGGGCUGUCGGAUCCGACAUGGUGGGCGUGCCCGGGCGCCCCCAUAUCAGUCCCAUAUUUGGGCUAGAUAUGAGGGGUGCCGGUUAGCCCGGGCCUUUGUGGCCCAUUUAAGGAGCCCGUCUAGGUUGAAAAAUUGUGACCGGAUGGCUCGCCCGGGUGUAUAAGGCGGGUUUGAGGCACCCGACUGUAAAUGCUCUUAGGGCAUAUCCAACGCCGACUCUCAAACCACUCGCAUACGUUUUGACUGUGCUGUAUGGACCGCGAAAGCCAUUCAACACGGGUCUGUAUCGGUCCACAGGGCGGUCCAGACGUAUUUCUCCCACACCCGUCUCUGAUCACACUGGCCCACCCAAACCCCUUCCUCCCUUGCCCCCGCGCAUUCCCGCCCGGCGCCAGCUGUCUGCAUUCAUGCCUCAAUAAAGCGUGCAGCUUCACAUUGAAGUCGGCCCACAGCGGACGCGACCUCUCACGAGCUCCACAAUUGAAGCGGCGCGCUGGCCGAGGGCGCCGCCCACGAUGCGUCUCUGGUGUCUGCGCCGGUUCAAUAUCGGAGACGCGUUACUAGAAGGGUCAGGACUCAUAUCUACCAUCCCAAUGCCUCUUCUGUUCGUAUGCCACCAUUAGGCAGGCUCGCCGGCCAAGAAACCUACUCCGAUGACGCGUAUUGACGCACCCGGACGCUUGACCUCACUGGAAUCCGCAAUUUUAAGGCGGCCACACUCGGCUAACUCCACGCCAUGACACAAGCCGCUCUCCAUCCUCCUCCCUUGCACUACAUCCGCCAUGACUGCAGGCGGCGAAGCUCUGUGGGAGAGUCUUUCCACGGAGAUGAAGCACGAGGUGGCCGCCCUUGCUGCCGCCUGGCAGAGCCGCCUUGCCAGGCGCAUCGAGGCCAGCUUGCCGGCCAGCUCGCCCGAGGUCCCCAACGAUGAGGACGACCCCACAAUGGAGACGGGCUCCGACGACACCACCUUGGUUCCCGCACCUGUGCACGCUGGCUUCACCACGGAGCAGGCUCACUACAACGCCGUUAUGGCAUAGGUGCAGCCUGCGCCAUCGCCUUUUCGGUGUUCUACCAGGCGCAGGAGGAACAACGGCACAACCCGUCCUUCUUGGACGCAGGGCUCCGUCGCCGUAGGAUAGGUUUAUGGUCGGGUCAAUUUUUUGUUUGUUCUAAAUGUUCAAUAUCUAAUGAAAAUCCGUCAUGCUUGCAUAAAUGUCAUCCGGUUUGUAUGAAAUCCGAUGUGUUUGCAUGAAUUUCAUCCGGUUUGUUGAAAAAAUGUUUGAAAUAUAUGCGGGCAGCGUCCGAUGGCGGUCUCUGGCAUCCAUGUCUGUGGACUGAUCCCCUUGUUCAUGAACAAGAUGCGAGAGAAAAUUCACGGAUCACCACUGGAGAUGCCUAAGAGAAGCUUACUAUACGUUGCAAUCUUAUUUCUUAAACUCCAACUAAUAGCAACACAUAAGAGACAAAAAGGGAUCGUCAUGACAGCCUUCGUUACAGCCUUGCACGAGGAGCAUGCAUGCCUGUUUGAUAUAGCCGGGCGGCCGGCGAACAUCACACGUAUCCUUGCGUGGUUCCACACGCUGCCCUGCGCCCCUGACCUGGCCACCGCACAAACCAUCCAUCUACACGGGCUUCAAGCUGCCCUGCUGGCUCGACCACCCCGUUUACUUUAAGCUUCCAGAUAUCUUUCUUUUCUUGCCAUCAAGCGGAUGCUACUACAUUUUGUAUGCCGGACGCCGAUCCGGCGUGGUUCGUUUGAACAAUGCGCUGGUGCCGCAAAAAUAUGGCGUUGCCCCGCGCCGACGCGCCGGAGCGAAGGUCAAUGUGCAUUGGCGGGCGAAUGGGCGUCCGCGGCCUCGGCUUCCGGGGCUGGCCUCCCGUGCGCGCCUCCGGCGUGGCCGUUGUUAAUUCCUCGGGUUCCUUUUGUUACGGGGAUCGAGUGCACCGUGAUGUAGCCGUGCACGAACCCGUGGAAAACGAGACGAACUGUUUUUGGCGAGAGACAAAUCGUCGUGGCAGCAGUAUAAGCAUGUAGCGAAGUGCAGUGGAGUGGUUACUUCGUGCUGUGCUGGUCGACCAAAGCAUCAUCAUUUGGGAAUAGGCCGUCCGUGCAUGCAUGGCGAGCGUUGACAGACGCAUCGUGAUCAUGCAUGCAUGGAGACGGGGUCCUGGGCUACGUUUGUUGGCUUCCCCUGACGUGCUGCAUGGAUGGAAGAGUCCCAUGCACCUAUCACGGUAUCACCCGGGUUCACCAUGUACGACUGUGACGGAUAUUAUUUCUACUUUGUAGCGAAGGUGACACACUACGUGCACAAUGGAACACGUACGAGCCUUUCUACUGGCUGGUGGAGUAUCAAAUAACAACCGCGUAUACUUUGCUGCAGUCAAGCAAAUGGAGAGAUGGAGCUCGAUAAUUAUAACAAGGACAACUACACCUCAAUAAAGUUCACGCCAAAGGCUGCGUUUUUGCAAACCACUUGGUGUCCAAUUUGCUGGCGGUCCAUGGAAAAUAUCCAGACUUCGUUUCUGGAUGGAAUUAUACGCGCAUUUUGUAACCAUAUAUGUGGUAGGUAGUGAUAUGCAUUGUCCGUGAGAAGGAGAUUGUCUUUCUUUCCCCUCUGGCAAGACGACUAUGGCAAACACUUCCUCCCCUCGAUCUCUGCGGGCGAGCCCAUGGAUUUGCCUUUCAUCCACAAUCUUCCUGGCAGCCAAUGGUGGGAACCGAAAUCCUGGUGCCUCGUUACGGCUACUAGAUAGGUUAGUGUUUCUUAGUCUGGUGUGGCGCUCUUACAUAUGGCGUCGCUUCUUCUUUGACGCAGUCUUUCAGGGUUCGAUCCUCCUCAAAUUCGUCCAUUGGGCCGGAUUAGACACCGGAUUAGACGAAGCUCCGACGUAGGUUUCUGCCAGCUCCUUGAAGCGGCGAGUUUAGGGUUUCACGUCGUGCGUACGAGAUGGUGAGAUUUGUUGUCAAGUUCUUCGGAUCGAUUCAAGUGUUCAACGAUGACGACUGCGGCUCCCGAGCACUGGUCCUUGGGACACGUGCACAAAGAUUUCGUGACUAUCAUUGGUAAGGCCAAGCUAUGGUUUUCAAAUUCAGUUUCAGCAAAAUUCCAGCACCAACCAAAAUCACCGAAAUUCAGUGAAUUUCAGUGAUUUCAGUUUGCAUUUCGACCAGAUGACCGAAAUAUUCACUUGAAUUCAAUUAAAUGUUUGUUUUUUGAAAAAUAUUUGAAUUUCUAUGCACUGCUAAAAUUGCUGAAAUAUUUUGGCCGAAAUGUAAUUAUUUCAAUAUCUACCGAAAUUACUGAAAUUCAGUGAAUUUCAUCGAAAUCUCAUUGAAAGUGAAAACCACGGACCAGCUCCGGUAUGGGAGCGACGAGAUCGGCGCGUCGACAACUCGUUCUGACGGCGGUAGUGGUCAUGUGGUGGUCUAGGGACCUCAAUGUAACUUUCAUUAUGUUUGGGGUGUUUUGUAAUUCUGAUGAAAAUUUAUAAUAGAUAUGAAUACUUUUUGAAAAGGGGAGUGAUAUGCAUUACGUAGACUUGGACUAACUUCCAGACGUUACAUUUAAGAUAUAUAUGCAUGGAAGUGUAUUUCCGCAGAUUUAAUUAAGUUUACUAAACCGUUUCACUGCCCUACCACAGAUGCAAAGUCAAUGGCCUUAGGGUACCCUGUGACCCUCUUUAAUUUAAUUAAAUGAACCAAACUAUUAAAAUUAUAUUGCUCAAUUUCUUUAGUCACAAAGCACUUAGUUCUAUAAACGAAACCAUCAAUACAAACACCUUGGAAAUAAAAAAGUUACAUAAAAAUCUACGGGCCCCAACAAUCUUCAUCAUCCUGAACAUGCGGAUGGUGUGCCAUCGCAUGCCGCUCCAUAGCCGAAACUAGCCUGCCAUGGUUGAUCGAGAAAGGGAAGUAAUCAUGAGCCUUGGUCCUGCUAAACCAAUGUCCUAGAGAAGAAACCGUCACCGUUGGAAGAGCCACAUAUCCAAGCCUCCAUUAUUCAAGCCUCAGACCAAUGCCACAACAAAGAUGAGGCCAAAAGAUGAAACUACAACGGGAAGCCAUCUCGACCACGCCAACAAAUCCAGCAUACCAUAACCUCAUCGGUAAUAACAAUUGACAGGAAAAUACAUCAUUGAGCCAUCGACACCACGGCAGACGACACCUUCAAAAUGGGAGACUCGGGGGGGCCUUAUUUAUCGGAUUGAUGCAGUUACCACCACCGAUAACACACCGUCGAAGAAGACUUAUUGAGCAUCGUUGUCAUUACCGCCAGAAGCGCCAAAGUGAUGGACUUUGGAAACCUACCUAAGAGGCCCAAAUUGGGGAAACUCACAACUCCAUCCGGUUGAUCGAGGCCUCUCCACACUACCACACCUNNNNNNNNNNNNNNNNNNNNNNNNNNNNNNNNNNNNNNNNNNNNNNNNNNNNNNNNNNNNNNNNNNNNNNNNNNNNNNNNNNNNNNNNNNNNNNNNNNNNNNNNNNNNNNNNNNNNNNNNNNNNNNNNNNNNNNNNNNNNNNNNNNNNNNNNNNNNNNNNNNNNNNNNNNNNNNNNNNNNNNNNNNNNNNNNNNNNNNNNNNNNNNNNNNNNNNNNNNNNNNNNCCAAAGAUUCCCUCUCCUAAGAAUUGGAGAGGAACGGUUGGGUAUAUGUGGUAUAUACUACCACUUCUAUAAAUUCGGUUCAUUUGAUUGAACGAAAUAAGGUAAGAGUGCAUCCCUGUGUAUUACAUAUAAGUAUAAGAGAAUGCAGGUACUUAACAAGUUACUUCAUCCGUCCUAGAUUAGGGCCUUUUUGAUCCGCAAGAUUUAUAAAAACCAGGAAUAAAAAAAACAGAAUGGUGUGACAUGCCACCUUCAAUACUAGUACAAGAUUAGUAUGGGCGUUUGACUGUGAGCCAAAUAAACGUAAUGUUCUACACACGAGGUUGGAAUGGAUGGAAAUUUCUCAAUGAAAACUAGUACAAAUGAAUCAUAUCGAUUGUAAUCCUAUGAAUUAAAAAAUCCAUGUAGGAAAAAAUCCUAAGGAUUAAAAUCCUGCAAAAUUCCUUUAGAAAUCAUUUGUAUAAAAGAGGCUCUUAUCGUCUCCUCAUAUUUUGGGUCAAAAUUUGACUAGCAAAAUAAAAGUUAUAUGUCACAAAAUUAUACUGUUAAAUUCAUAUUCAAAAGAAGUUUGCAAUGGUACUAUCUUUUUAUCAUAUAAUUUAUAGAAGGACUAAUAAAACUGGGCGGGGAAAAUAUGAAGUAGCCGUCGUGUGCCUCCUCCUACAAACACAAACCUGGAGCGCACCUUUCGAUCGAGGGGGUUCUUGUUAGUGUUUGAACUUUUUUCCUUUAUUUCUAGUUUUUUUCCCUCAUGAGACAUUGCUGCUUUCAACUGGCUCUUUAAAUAUACUUGAUCCUGUAGAGUGUAACUAAUUAUCACGUUGUGAUUCAAUGACUUGUUUUUUCUUUGACCAUUUUCCCAAAAUCUACAUUUAAAAGUCAAGAUUUUCAUGUAACUCCUAGGAUUCUGGAACUAGAGAAUUUGUACCCAUUCCGCAGGACCAAUUUUUUCAGAAGUGGUUGUUUUGAUAGGAUCUUGAUGUCUUCAUACCCAAUCCUCAUACAUGGACAAAAUGAUUUACCUUUUCUCCUUUAACUAACUUGCUCCAUUCAUUAUGAGUAUUUGAUUUUUUUUCUAUUUAGAGAUUGCAAAGGGAGCCAACCUACAUAAUUCUAAUCGCUUAUGGGGCAUGGUUGAUUAGGUUACGCUACUUUUUUUGCUUAUAAUACCAGUUAAGGGCCACAUGUAGCCAUGAUCCCACAAAAAGUAUAUCUUCCAUGGAUAUCCUGUUGAUUUGAUAAUACCGCGGCAAAGAAUAGUGGUCAUGUCACAUGUGCACUGCCUCUAAUUUUCUUUGGGUCCUGUGCAUCAUGGGGCAUGUAUAACCUGUUCUGUUUACUUUUUUCUCAUGAUUACUGUUCACCACUAAGGACUGUGGUCUAGUACAUACUUUUAUGUCGUUGGUUGCACAUAUAUGUAGACCAGCACAAGUGCUAAGAUAUCACUGAAUAAUCAUACUCUACACACUGUCCAUGCAUUAUGUAAACACAACAGUAAUCAGACGUCGUUGCUGCCAGUUCACUGCAAGUUGAAUUGUCAAAUCUGAAAUCAUAAAUGCGCAUAUUUGUUUCCUAAUGAUAAGCAAAAUAUCUCUUCUUCCCGCUAUUGUACCCCCGAAACUUCUCCAGGAAAGUUACAUUCUGAAUAUCAAACCGACAAUGUUAGACUACUGGACACUAAUUAACCGGGGUAAUUGGAAAUUGCACCAGAUAUCAGGUGCCCUAGGUGAAAUGCAUGUGUUUUCCAAUGUCAAAUAUUUUUCAUAAAAUUUAUACAUAAAAGUGAGAUUUGAGUUGUCGUGGAAGAAAUAUAACUUUUGCGCAAUAUUCUAAAAAAAGAUUUAGUAACUACAAAUAUUUUUUUUUCUUUGCGAAUAGCUACAAAUAUAUGUUGUAGACCGCAUGAUUUAUAUACUCCAAGGACGCUUAACUUAAAAUUCAUUCAUAAAUAAAGUUUUAUGAGCUAACAUAAGCCACGUGCUUGUUCUCCUCUCAAAUAAAAGACCCCACAAACUUGUAUACAAAACCUAAAUUUCGAUACUUACUAGUUUUGCGAUUUUGUUGUUCAUCCGGGAAGUACUAAAGCCAGUUAGCUGCUCCAUCUUCCACUCAACUUUCUAAACUAGGCCCCUUUGGAUCCUUAGACGGGGUAUUGCUUUGCGCCAGGCGUUUUCUAUAUGACUCUAGAUAAUUCCCAGUGCGCUGCCAUGCGAUAAAAAUAUUCUAGUACCUGAGCCGUGAUAUGAAUAUAUGAUAUUCUAGUACAAAUUAUUGCAUGUGCCAGUGCAUGGUCCGGACGGUUACGGGCGGUUUGAGGGUCUGCUUUGCAGAUCCCCUACAUUUUCUAUUACGUUAGCACGUGAUUUACUUAUCCAAAAUUAUGGCGUUUGCAUCGUACUCCAGAGAGGAAAUAUUGCAGUCCCUUCAAUUGUUCGUUAGAAGAAAAGAAAUAAGACAAUACAAACAUCCAGUUUUGGUAGGCUUUCUACUUUCUAGGAAGCGAGGGGGAGCUGCCUUCUUGGAGAAGCAGCCAAAGCAGGGGCGGCCGGUAGUUCUUUCCACGGGCGCAAAUGAUGAAGCCAUGCAUUGUUAAUCUCGUGGUUGGUACAAUGAACUGUAGAAAAAUAGUACUUCUAGCAAAUGGGACACGAAGCUUCGUUAGUUUUGCUUGGAACUGGCAACUUUGCAUAUUUAAAACGAUGGCCGUGGACUUCUCUCAUCAAAUAUAUGGCUUUAGGACUACUGAAUCUGCCGUGUUAUAGUAUCAAACACACACUUCUUUUAUUUCUCCGUCAGAAUGAGACUUGUCCUGAAAGUGAUAACAAAGUUACACUUGUCUAAAUUCUAUCAUAUCUCUGCACAAUCUGGACAAAGAGUUUGGUACGAAAAAUUGCGAAGCAAUGAUACUGCCGGUAGCUCCGCAGCUGACGAGACUAAUCCAAUUGAUUUGGUGAAUGGUGAUGUUGCUGUUGAUGUCGUAUAGCUCAGUCGAAAUAUAGGUUAGGAAGUCUUUUCUUGUUCAAGACUUGUGCAACUCAUCAACCAUAAACACGCUGUCUGACUGCUUGAACGUUCUGCCUUAUACUCUACCUGAUUGCAAAUAUAAAAGAUUCUAGCCUUUUAGGGCAGUUCAUACGGCUGUCCGAUAUGUUUGUUGAUGACUAACACUGCGAUGACUAACAUUUGGUGCCAAGCGAAGUGGGUCUUGUGCAUCUUCUUACAACUGAGGACUGAGAUUUUCAAGGAGAAAAUAUAUACUCCCUAUAUAGUAGUAAUCUAAACGCUCUUAUAUUAGUUCACGAAGGGAGUAUAUAAUGUUUUCGUCCCCCAACUUAUAGCUCUCUUUCUCUCCGCCUCCGCCUCCGCCUCCCCUCUGCCUCCCCUCCCGCCGCCGCCGGAUCCCGGCUGGGCAAAGCCCAUGCGGGGGAUGAUGGCGGCAGCGGGGCGUUCCUCUGUCACAGCUUGGAGGCGUGGCUGUGACAGUGGAUCUUGAGCGAGCACCUCGGGACAACUUGUGUGUGGCCAUGGCACCGGUCACGCAGCGAUGUGACCACCUCUACCUUUGGUUGUCUUCAUCGUCGGUCCAAAGGGAUCUGGUCGGUGGGUGUUGCCUCGCGGUGGCUUCCCGGCGGCGGAUCAAGUGGAGGAGGAGAUGGUGGCCCAGCUGCUGAAGUGGGUGAGGAUGCCACCAUCGUUGGCGGCACCCGUGGGUGUCGUUUUUCUCGUUGGAGGCGAUGGUAGGGGCGUCCCACGCUCCAUUGUUUCCGGGGGAAACCUCAGAUCUGGAGGAGGCUACCAUUGACGGCGGCGCCCAUGGGCGUCGUAGCCCUCGUUGGAGGCAUUGAGGGGCCCCCUGGAUCGGAUGAUGGCGAAGUUUUCAUCGUCAUCCCCACGGGGGCAUCAUCUUUGGGGACAUUCAUCAGCUCGACGGACAUAUGGACGGCUUGGUGGUUGGGCGUCGGUAGGUGGUGGAGCGGCGCUUCAUCCUACACAUCGAUGGCGGCGGAUCUUGGCGGCAUGGCGCAGUGGAGACUCGGCGUCCGAUGGGUGGCGAUGGAUUCGUGCAGGAGGACGACGCUGUCUGGCCUCAUCGUAGCGUCGCGGCAGAGAGGCCUGGUAAGGUCGAUGCGUCAGUAUCUGAUCUGAGGAUAGAUCGAUGGAUGAAGGAGGUGACGGCACUUGCAGCGUGUGCAUAUGGUGCCCACUGAAAGUGCGCCGGACUAGUGUGUAACCCAGUAUAGGUAAUGUGACUUGGAUGGGGCAUCCAGCAUUAGAUGUUAGGUGUUUGUGCGAUGUCUGUUUAGUAUUAGACUCGGACAUCCAAUAUGAUGGCUUCAGGCUUACUGAUGUAUUACCCUGUAAAGGCUUUGUGAAUAAUUAAUAAAUGGCUGCAUCCCCCUUUUCACAAAAAAAAACUUAUAGCUCGCUUCAUUGGAAGGCUUGGCCCAUCAACUAUAAACCAGAGAUAUUGCAGCUACAACUUUUGAAAUCGACCAAUUGGGCUCUCUUCGAAAUUAAAAUCGGUUUUCUUGAUGAAGCGGCGUGGUUUUUUACCUUGACUGGCACUUGUUGAUGUUGACGUGUCUUAGCGAGUUUUUUGCCUAUACAUGUUAGGUCCUCCUGGAAACUCUUUUUAACCGUAGUCUGCGCAUGAACACGGUAACUCUGGACCGGCGAAGUAUUCGCCUAAGUAGUACUGGAGGGAGAUGGCGACGCUUGACCCGUCCGCUGGCGACCUGUGUGGCGACGUGCCCGCCGUGGUCUCCUCCGCGAGCCCGCCGGCCUCCUCGCCCGCGUCCCAGGCGCCCGUUGCCUCCGCCGUCCUCCCUGCUCCGGGCCCCUCCCCGCCCUCUCCUUCUGCGGCCUCGGCGCCCGUCGUUUGGGCUGAUUUGGCGGAGGACGAGGACAUCGCCGCCGGCCGUCCGGUGGUGUGCCGCGACCGGGUUCCUCCUCCCGCCCCAGCUCGCCCGCCGCAGCCCCGUGCUGCCGGCGACCUUAUCCCCAGGGGUGGGGGUUAGGCUGCCCGCGCACGGGCACAAUCCCGCUGGGGACCGAGCUCGCCCCAGCCUCCCUCGGGGCAAGGCGCGACCUUGGGGUCGGGAGGAUCCCGCCGCCGGCGGCGCACGGCUGGCUGGGGUGUUGCCGGUCACGCGGACCUUGGCCCUGCCCGAUCGUCGUGGCGGGCCUCGGAUGCCACCGCCGCUGCUAGGGUAUCUGCGACGUCGUCGGCGUUGGCCGUCGGGUCCCCCGUGCUCCUUCGCCGCACCCCCUUCCGGCCAUUCAUCGCCUCCUUCGGCUCAUCCCGACUCCGCUUCGUGUCCGGACCUAGUACCCCGCGCCCCAGCCCUCCUCUCCGGCGGACUCUCCUCGCUUCACCGGCGCCGACGGCGGCAGGGGAAACCCUCGUCGCGCGCUCGCCCCGGCCGAGCCUGUUGGGCCGCCCCGUGGUGGGCCUUGGUCUGGGGUUGGGCCUUGCCUCCUCCGUUGGGCCCUCUGGGUCUGUCCCUCCGGCUGGACUGGAUUGUGGGCUGCGCCGGCCCACGCUGGCUGCCGGCCCAAUUCAGGGCCUGCUUCCCCGGCCACCCACUCGAGGGGCUAUCUGGCCCCCUCGAGGGUUUCCCACCCCGCCGCCAUCUCCCCCCCGAACGCCGCUCCCCCCUCGCUCGACCCCCACCCUCCCGCACUCGCCCGUUCCGACCCGGCUGCUCCGCUCCCCCCCGCUCCCGCUCUGGCUAUGUCGCGCAGUUGGGGUGACAACGCUGGCCGCCCCAAGUGGAGCCUGGAGGACCGCCGUGCCUCGUCCCGCUCCUCCCCCGAGGGCCUACGCCGGGAGGCGGACCUCCGCCGGGAGCUGUCCUCCCGGGACCAGCGCCGCUCGCCCCCUCGCAACUCCCGUCGCUCUCCUGGCCGUGACGACCGCCGCUCGUCGGCCCGGGACGGCCGCCGCUCCCCGCCCCAUGACGACCGCAGGGAUCGACCUCGGUCUCCCGAUCCCGAGCCACGGCGCGCUGACCGGCGUCGCUCCCCCUCGCCCGAGCGGCACCGUGCUCGCUCUCCCUCCCCGAGCUGCAACCCCGCUCCUCCUGCCGCCGAUGCUCCGAUGCGUCGCUACCAACCCCCGCAGAACCAGCCUUCCUCCCCCCCGCCAAUGGGGGGAAUGGGGGUCGGGGGCGCCAAGGCGCGAAGAAGAAGAAGAAGAGGGGCCCCGCGCCCCCCCGCUGCGCCGGCCCCCUCACCCGCGGCCUCCCCGCUGCCCGCGUCCGACGCCCCCUGUGACCCCCCUCGUGUUUCAACUACGGGCUCACGGGGCACUUCCAAGUCGAGUGCCCCAACCCCCCGACGUGCUACCUCUGCAAGGAUACCGGCCACCCCGCGGUGCUUUGUCCGGAUCGUCCUGUGACAGAUGAGCUCAUGAUGUAUGGACAUGGUAUCGAGGGCCUUGGCUUCUUCCACAUCGAGGUUGAGGACAUCCCACCCCUGUCUCCGUCGCUCCAAGAGAUCAUCACCGUUGUGGGGGUGGGUGACGCUUCUCCGGAGAUGAUCGAGGCUGAGCUCAACCACCUGUGCCGGCGUGUGUGGGAUUGGCAGGUGACCCCGACCUCUGCCAGCUCCUUCACCGUGGUCUUCCCGGACACCAUCAGCUUGGGCCUCUGCACCCGCAGCGACGACAUCACCCUGGCCCUGAACAAGCUUGUGGUCAACAUCUCCGAGCCAAAGGUCGACCCAAGGCGGUCGCUGUCUUGGAUACUGCUUGGAUCCUCAUUUCGGGGCUUCUUGAUGUGGCUCGGUCCGAGCGGGUCAUUCGCAGUAUGUCCAAGAUCCUCGACAAGGUGGUGGUGGUGGAUGAGCUCUCCAUUCACAGUGAGGAAGAGGUCCGGGUCAAGGUCAAGUGCCUCGACUCCGACAAGCUCCGUGCUACCGUUCGAGUUUUCUUCAAUGACCUAGGAUUCGACCUCAAGAUCUUCCCCGAGCCUCCCAACCAUGUCGGUCGCCCCCGUUUCUCUGAUGAUGGGCACUCGCACUACCGCCGCCCACAUCCCUCCCGCCACGAGGACCCAGACGACGACGACGAGNNNNNNNNNNNNNNNNNNNNNNNNNNNNNNNNNNNNNNNNNNNNNNNNNNNNNNNNNNNNNNNNNNNNNNNNNNNNNNNNNNNNNNNNNNNNNNNNNNNNNNNNNNNNNNNNNNNNNNNNNNNNNNNNNNNNNNNNNNNNNNNNNNNNNNNNNNNNNNNNNNNNNNNNNNNNNNNNNNNNNNNNNNNNNNNNNNNNNNNNNNNNNNNNNNNNNNNNNNNNNNNNNNNNNNNNNNNNNNNNNNNNNNNNNNNNNNNNNNNNNNNNNNNNNNNNNNNNNGUGCUGGCCCUCGCUAAUGGGUCGGCCCCCGCAAUGCUGCCGGCUACCUCCCCCACCUCCUCUGCCGAGAUGAGCGACAUCUCCAGUGUCGGCCUCCUCGUCGUCAAGGCUUCCUCGCCGCGGUCUGCCUGCUCCACCCCUGUGCCCGGCUCCCCGUCCUCGGCCCUGGAGGCGCUCCCCUGGCUCUGAUGGCCCCCUUGACGGCUGAGCUCCCCCCCGUCGUGUCUCCUCUUUCGGGCUCUCCGGGCGGUGCCCUGCCGCUGGCCGCGCCCACCCCCCGGAGUCCGCCCCUGUGGUGGUGCUGGUGGGUGGCCUUCCUGCCCCGGACCCGCCCUCCCCUGCUCGGCUGGGGUUCGACACCUGCUUCGAGUCUCCUGCUGCCGCUUCUUCGUCCCGCCUGCUCCUGGAGGUCACCGCGGAUGUGGUCACCCCCAUCGCCUCCCACCCGCCUCGGACGGUGUCGUACGCACGCCGGACCCGGGCCUCGUCGACUCCGGUGAUUGCCUCUCGUCACAAUGGUCGUCUCAAUGCGGACCGCCCGGCUGGCUUCCCGGCGCCGUCCAUCUCCGAGCGUGCGGAGCUCCGGGUCGCGGUCGGAACCUCGAGCCAGGUGCGACCGACAUCCCCUCCAGUUCUUCCAGUUGUUCGUUUUCUGCUCUUGAGGCUGUUCCGCUCGGCCACCUUGCCAAGGUGGCCGCAGACUCAUCCGUCGUUUUCAGGGGGGAGUUAGGACCCCCCCUUAGAGCAGAUUGCUGCCAUCCAGGCUAAGGAGAUCCUUGAAGGAAAACUUGCUGAGACCCGGGCUUGUCUCCUCCGCACCCCGGCACCCCAGCCACCCACCGGGGGGCCGAUUCUGGAAAUACGCGGCCGUACCCGCUCCCGCACUGCGGCGCUCAGGGCCCACAGCGCCUCCACCGUUCUGGGGUCAAGCAGCCCCCCUAUGGGGGUUUAGAUGCGGGCCCUAUUUUGGAACAUCCGCGGCUUCGGCCAUGACGGCCGCCGCCGGCAACUCAUUGAGUAUAUGCGUGAUGAGCACAUCGACAUCAUAGCCAUCCAAGAAACCAUGCGCACGGAGUUUUCCCUCCCCGAGCUCGAUUGUCUUAGCCCCCACCUAUUCGCCUGGAACUGGAUCCCUUCUAGUGGGACCACUGGGCACUCGGGUGGCAUCCUUUUAGGUGUGAAGGAUGCCACAUUUGAGGUUGGCGGUAUGGACCGGGGCGAAUUCUUCGUCCGCAUGGAAAUCUUCGGACGGGCGCUCAACUUCAAAUGGGAGGUCGUCAUUGUCUAUUGACCGGCGGACCACCGCUGUUCUCCGACCUUCCUCGCUGAGCUGCAAUGGAAGGUGUAACACCCCCGAUGUAACUUUCCAUAUUUGUAACUCCGACUCUUACCAUUUUCGGCUAUGUGUUAUGAUUUUUCCUUCAUGGUCGGGUUUUGUCUUUCGUUUUGUAUUUUGUUCAUCUCAUGCAUCUCAUAUCAUGUCAUCAUGUGCAUUGCAUUUGCAUACGUGUUCGUCUCAUGCAUCCGAGCAUUUUCCCCUUGUCCGUUUUGCAAUCCGGCACUCCCACCUCCUCCGGCGCACCCCUUUUUGUUUCUUUUCGUGAGUGGGUGUUGAACAUUUUCGGAAUGGACCGAGGCUUGUCAAGUGGCCUUGGUAUAACACCGGUAGACCACCGGUCAAGUUUCGUUCCAUUUGGAGGUCGUUUGAUGCUCCAACGGUUAACCGGGUAACCGCAAAGUCCGUUUGUGUGUUGUAGAAAACCACUCUCUAAAUAGCCCAAAACCACUCUAAGUCUCAUCCAUGCUCUAGGUCGUUCGAUCAUGAUCGUGUGGGUGAAAACCGCACCUCAUUUGGACUCUCCUAGCUCCCUCUACCUAUAAAUAUGUGUCUCUCCCGAAUCCUCCCGCAGUCCAAAACCCUAAAAAACGCCCUCCGGCGCCGCCGGACGAAGCCGCCGCCGCCCCGCAACCACUCCGCGUCCGCCACGUGUCCCGCGCAGCCCACCUCCACAGCCGGCCCGCCAGGCAAGCGCGGGGCCCGCGCGAGCCCGCGGGANNNNNNNNNNNNNNNNNNNNNNNNNNNNNNNNNNNNNNNNNNNNNNNNNNNNNNNNNNNNNNNNNNNNNNNNNNNNNNNNNNNNNNNNNNNNNNNNNNNNNNNNNNNNNNNNNNNNNNNNNNNNNNNNNNNNNNNNNNNNNNNNNNNNNNNNNNNNNNNNNNNNNNNNNNNNNNNNNNNNNNNNNNNNNNNNNNNNNNNNNNNNNNNNNNNNNNNNNNNNNNNNNNNNNNNNNNNNNNNNNNNNNNNNNNNNNNNNNNNNNNNNNNNNNNNNNNNNNNNNNNNNNNNNNNNNNNNNNNNNNNNNNNNNNNNNNNNNNNNNNNNNNNNNNNNNNNNNNNNNNNCGAGCCCGCCGGCGUGCCGCCGCGCCUCGCCGCCCCCGUGCCCCGGCGCCUCCUCCCCGUCUCCGGCUCCUCCUCCGCGUGCCUCCUCCCUGCCGGCCCUCUCCUCCGUCUUCCCCGGCGAGCGCCCUUGCUCCGGCGAGCUUUGGCCGUCCCCGAUCUCGAGCACCGGCCCGAUCCAGAUCCAGGCGCAGUGGUUGACUUUCUUCCCCUCUCCCGAUUUCUCUAAGUCCCCGAGUUUUUUACAUGAUAUGCUUCUGUUCAGUGCAUCAUAACUCUCUGCAUAUAGCUCCGUUUCGUGCGUGUAAUAUAUUGAAAUGUUCGUCUCGUGAUGCUCUUCUUUUGCUAUAUAAUAUUUCUGGCAGAUUCUUAACAUGAUAUUCCAUAUUGCCAAGCUUGUUGUAGUUGUUUCAUACAUGCUAUGUACUUGCUCUUGCCAUGGAUAGCUUUAUAAACAUGCCAUCUUGCUGUAGGUAUGCUUGUUUUUUCAUGCAUUGCUUUGUGGUGAGUGCAUCAAGCUCACCAAGAUGCCUUAAUAUUAUUUCUUCUGCCAUGCUCUGUUUUCUGCCAAGUCUGAAACCUGUUAACGAAACUUGCUGUGUUUACAUGGUUGCCAUCAUAUCUUCUGGUCCUUUUUGGCUUAUGGUCAGUAAGGAAUUUUUGUCAUAUGCAUUUAGUAAAAUACUUCAAUGCCUUGUUUUGCCAUGUUAAGUUCCUUUAGCAUGUUGAUUUCAUGCUCUGAACAUUGCUACCUGAUGCUGUUUCAGGCAUGUCCAGUAAUUUUCACAAGUCUGUGAACCUGUUAUCUUUUGCACUUUUGCCAUACUUGUUUGAACCUGUUAUGUUGUGAUAUAGCCGUAGCUCAUUGUUCAUAUUUUGUCAAGCAUCUUCUGUAAAAUACUGCCAUAUGCUUUGUUGCUAUGUUGGAGUGCUGUAGCUUUGUUACUUGUUGCAUUCUAAGUGCUAUCAUGCUGUUAAUCACAGAUUCGUGUCAUUCUUGUUUUGUUUGCCAUUUGCAAACCGUGCAUCCGUUUCCGGUGAUCUUUAUAUCGAUUUCGACCGAAAUCAUCUCAUAUUUCCAGUGGCAUGCUUGGUUUGCCAAGUUACUGCAUUGUUCAUCAUUUUUCUUCCGGACCACGCAUAUGCAUCACAUAUCAUAUCUUGCAUAUCAUUCAUGUUUUGCAUCAUGUUGCUUGUGCAUUCCCCGUGAUUGAUUGUGGUUCCGUUGCUUGUGUUCUUUUUUUGGGUAGAGCCGGGAGAUGAGUUCGUGUACGAGGAACCUGUUGAGUACGCUUACGAGGAUCAAGCUUUCGACAACUCUGAGAACCUGGCAGGCAAGAUGACCACCCCUCGAAAUCACUUCUAUCUUUGCUUUGCUAGUUGUUCGCUCUAUUUGCCAUGCCGCGCUACCUAUCACUUGCUAUAUCAUGCCUCCCAUAUUGCCAUGACAGCCUCUAACCAUCCUUUCCUAGCAAACCGUUGUUUGGCUAAGUUACCGCUUUUGCUCAGCCCUUCUUAUAGCGUUGCUAGUUGCAGGUGAGGAUAAAGUUGGUUCCAUGUUGGAACAUGGAUAUGUUGGGAUAUCACAAUAUCUCCUAUUUAAUUAAUGCAUCUAUAUAUUUGGGUAAAGGGUGGAAGGCUCGGCCUUAUGCCUGGUGUUUUGUUCCACUCUUGCCGUUCUAGUUUCUGUCAUACCGGUAUUUUGUUCCUUGAGUUUGCGUUCCUUAUGCGGUUGGGUGAUUUAUGGGACCCCCUUGACAGUUUGCCUUGAAUAAAACUCCUACAGCAAGGACCAACCUUGAUUUUACCAUUUGCCACCUAAGCCUUUCUCCCCCGGGUUUUCACGAGCCCGAGGGUCAUCUUUAUUUUAAACCCCCGGACCAGUGCUCCUUCGAGUGCUGGCCCAAACUGGGCGAUGUCCGGCGCCCUCUGGGCAACCUGGCUCUGAUACCAACUUGUAACGCCCACGAUGCGGCUAUAUCUCCCACGUGUCGAGGCACGACUUAGAGGCAUAACCGCAUAGUGGUUUUGUCGCAAGAAGGGUCAUCUUCACACAAUCCCAUGUAAUGAACAAGAAUGGGAUAAUGAGAGUUGGCUUACAAUCGCAACUUCACACAAUACACGGUCCUCGAAGAAUGAAGGUUCUCUGUCAUCAAUGCGAUAGCACUUGUAUUUGGAAAGACCCUUGUCGAUACCACGUUUCACCUUCUUCACCAUGGCAUCAAGCAGUCGUAUUGGUGGAGUCAAACGAAGCGAGAAAUCGCUCAAUUCGUGAAUGAAUGUGAUGUCUGUCGAAGGGUGAAAGCAGAACACCAACGACCAGCUGGUCUGCUCCAACCUCUUGCUAUCCCAGAGUGGAAGUUUGAUCAUAUCGAAAUGGACUUCGUGACUGAGUUUCCAAAGUCAAAGCGUGGAAAUGAUGCUAUCUUCGUUGUCAUCGACAAGCUUUCUAAAGUGGCUCAUUUCCUUCCAAUCAAAGAAUCCAUCACAGCAGCUCAGUUGGCAGAGCUAUACACCUCCAGGAUUGUCUCUUUGCACGGCAUUCCACAAUUGAUUUCUUCAGAUCGUGGAAGCAUCUUCACCUCUAAGUUCUGGGACUCCUUCUAGAAGGCCAUGGGCACCAACAUUCGCUUCAGCACAGCUUUCCAUCCUCAAACUAGUGGCUAAGUCGAGCGAGUCAAUCAAAUUCUUGAAGAUAUGCUCAGGGCUUGUGUCAUUUCCUUUGGCAUGAAAUGGGAAGAUUGUCUUCCAUAUGCCGAAUUCUCCUACAACAACAGCUUCCAAGCGAGUUCGGGCAAGGCCCCAUUCGAGAUUCUCUAUGGCAGAAAGUGCCGUACUCCUCUCAAUUGGUCAAAGACUGGUGAACGCCAACUUCUUGGCAACGACUUAAUCACAGAGGCUGAAGAAAUGUGUAAAGUCAUCCAUGAUAAUCUCAAAGCCGCGCAAUCGCGCCAGAAGAGUUACUAUGAUAGUAAGCACCGUGAUGUGGCUUUCCAGAUCGGAGACCAUGUCUACCCCCGCGUCUCUCCAAUGAAAGGCACUCGUCGCUUCGGUAUCAAAGGGAAGCUUGCCCCUAGAUAUGUGGGUCCUUUCAAGAUCAUUGGCAAAAGAGGCGACCUCGCCUAUCAACUUGAGCUUCCUUCCAACUUCGCGAACGUGCACGAUGUGUUCCACGUGUCACAGCUUCGCAAGUGCUUCAAGACGCCUGAGCGCACCAUCAACUUCGAAGAGAUUGACCUCCAAGAAGAUCUGUCUUAUCAUGAGCACCCCGUUGCUAUUCUUGAAGAAACUGAGUGCAAGACUCGCAACAAGUCAAUCAAAUUCCUGAAAGUGAAGUGGUCGCACCAUUCUGACCGAGAAGCCACCUGGGAACGCGAGGACCACCUCCGUUCCGAAUAUCCGGAGUUCUUUCACUCCUAGAUCUCGGGACGAGAUCCUCUCGUAGUGGUGGAGUGUUGUAACACCCCGGAUGUAACUUUCCAUAUUUGUAACUCCGACUCUUGCCAUUUUCGGCUAUGUGUUAUGAUUUUUCCUUCAUGGUCGGGUUUUGUCUUUCGUUUUGUAUUUUGUUCAUGUCAUGCAUCUCAUAUCAUGUCAUCAUGUGCAUUGCAUUUGCAUACGUGUUCGUCUCACGCAUCCGAGCAUUUUCCCCGUUGUCCGUUUUGCAAUCCGGCACUCCCACCUCCUCCGGCGCACCCCUUUUCGUUUCUUUUCGUGAGCGGGUGUUGAACGUUCUCGGCAUGGACCGAGGCUUGUCAAGUGGCCUUCGUAUACCACCGGUAGACCACCGGUCAAGUUUCGUUCCAUUUAGAGGUCGUUUGAUGCUCCAACGGUUAACCGGGUAACCGCAAAGUCCGUUUGUGUGUUGCAGAAAAACCCAUCUCUAAAGAGCCCAAAACCACUCUAAGUCUCUUCCAUGCUCUAGGUCGUUCGAUCAUGAUCGUGUGGGCGAAAACCGCACCUCAUUUGGACUCUCCUAGCUCCCUCUACCUAUAAAUAUGUGUCUCUCCCGAAUCCUCCCGCAGUCCAAAACCCUAAAAAACGCCCUCCGGCGCCGCCGGACGAAGCCGCCGCCGCCCCGCAACCACUCCGCGUCCGCCACGUGUCCCGCGCCGCCCACCUCCACAGCCGGCCCGCCAGGCACGCGCGGGGCCCGCGCGAGCCCGCGGGAUUCCGCCGUUGCUCGCCCGCUCCUUCUUCCUCCUCCGCCGAAGCCCGGUGCCGCCCCACGCCAAGCCGCCGACGCCGGCCGCNNNNNNNNNNNNNNNNNNNNNNNNNNNNNNNNNNNNNNNNNNNNNNNNNNNNNNNNNNNNNNNNNNNNNNNNNNNNNNNNNNNNNNNNNNNNNNNNNNNNNNNNNNNNNNNNNNNNNNNNNNNNNNNNNNNNNNNNNNNNNNNNNNNNNNNNNNNNNNNNNNNNNNNNNNNNNNNNNNNNNNNNNNNNNNNNNNNNNNNNNNNNNNNNNNNNNNNNNNNNNNNNNNNNNNNNNNNNNNNNNNNNNNNNNNNNNNNNNNNNNNNNNNNNNNNNNNNNNNNNNNNNNNNNNNNNNNNNNNNNNNNNNNNNNNNNNNNNNNNNNNNNNNNNNNNNNNNNNNNNNNNNNNNNNNNNNNNNNNNNNNNNNNNNNNNNNNNNNNNNNNNNNNNNNNNNNNNNNNNNNNNNNNNNNNNNNNNNNNNNNNNNNNNNNNNNCUCCUCCUCCGCGCGCCUCCUCCCCGCCGGCCCUCUCCUCCGUCUUCCCUGGCGAGCGCCCUUGCUCCGGCGAGCUUCGGCCGUCCCCGAGCUCGAGCACCGGCCCGAUCCAGAUUCAGGCGCAGUGGUUGACUUUCUUUCCCUCUCCCGAUUUCUCUCAAGUCCCCGAGUUUUUUACAUGAUAUGCUUCUGUUCAGUGCGUCAUAACUCUCUGCAUACAGCUCUGUUUCAUGCGUGUAAUAUAUCAAAAUGUUCGUCUCGUGAUGCUCUUCAUUUUGUUACAUUGCACCAUGUUCAUUUGAGUCCAUCUUGAUGCCCAAAUCUCUGGUGCAAGAGUGCUAGUUGCUGUUAUCUGCUGUUACUUAUCAGAACUUGAGGUUUUGUUAUUUUUGUUGCAUUUAAUCUGUGCAUCUUAUGGGAAUGAGCUCUACACGUGUCUUGAUGUAUGCCAUGCCAUCUUUAUAGAGGUGUAUGCCAUGUAUUUUUGUGAUCUAUGUGGUGACUAGCACAAGCAUGCAAACUAGGCUCCGUAAUGUUUCUGAUUUCAGGGACGGUGAUUUUAAUGUCUGUGACUGCUGUUAUUUUGUUGCUAUGUAUCCAUGUGUCUACAGAGAGAUAUAUGCUCUAUUUGGAGAUGUUCAGUAAGGAUGUUUUGUAGAUAUUGUUGUAAUUGAUCCAUUUCUGCCCUUGUUUGCAAUUAUGGAGUGCGAUGGCAUGAGUCAAUCUUGCUCUACUUUUGCUAUAAAAUAUUUCUGGCAGAUUCCUAACAUGAUAUUCAAUCUUGCCAAGCUUGUUGUAGUUGUUUCAUACAUGCUAUGUACUUGCUCUUGCCAUGGAUAGCUUUAUAAACAUGCCAUCUUGCUGUAGGUAUGCUUGUUUUGUCGUGCAUUGCUUUGUGGUGAGUGCAUCAAGCUCACUAAGAUGCCUUCAUAUUAUUGCUUCUGCCAUGCUCUAUUUUCUGCCAUGUCUGAAACCUGUUAACGAAACUUGCUGUGUUUACAUGGUUGCCAUCAUAUCUUCUGGUCCUUUUUGGCUUAUGGUCAGUAAGGGAUUUUUGUCAUACGCAUUUAGUACAAUAUUUCCAUGUUUUGUUUUGCCAUGUUAAGUUCCUGUAGCAUGUUCAUUUCGUGCUCUGAACAUUGCUACCUGAUGCUGUUUCAGGCAUGUCCAGUAAUUUCACCAAGUCUGUGAACCUGUUAUCUUUUGCACUUUUGCCAUGCCUGUUUGAACCUGUUAUGUUGUGAUCUAGCCAUAGCUCAUUGUUCAUAUUUUGUCAAGAAUCUCCUGUAGAAUACUGCCAUAUACUUUGUUGCUAUGUUGGAGUGAUGUAGCUUUGUUACUUGUUGCAUUCUAAGUGCUAUCAUGCUGUUAAUCACAGAUUCGUGUCAUUCUUGUUUUGUUUGCCAUUUGCAAACCGUGCAUCCGUUUCCGGUGAUCUUUAUAUCGAUUUCGACCAAAAUCAUCUCAUAUUUCCAGUGGCAUGCUUGGUUUGCCAAGUUACUGCAUUGUUCAUCAUUUUUCUUCCGGAGCACGCAUAUGCAUCGCAUAUCAUAUCUUGCAUAUCAUUCGUGUUUUGCAUCAUGUUGCUUAUGCAUUCCCCGUGAUUGAUUGUGGUUCCGUUGCUUGUGUUCUUGUUUUUGGUAGAUCCGGGAGACGAGUUCGUGUACGAGGAACCUGUUGAGUACGCUUACAAGGAUCAAGCUUUCGACAACUCUAAGAACCUGGCAGGCAAGAUGACCACCCCUCGAAAUCACUUCUAUCUUUGCUUUGCUAGUUGUUCGCUCUAUUUGCCAUGCUGCGCUACCUAUCACUUGCUAUAUCACGCCUCCCAUAUUGCCAUGACAGCCUCUAACCAUCCUUUCCUAGCAAACCGUUGUUUGGCUAAGUUACCACUUUUGCUCAGCCCUUCUUAUAGCGUUGCUAGUUGCAGGUGAGGAUGAAGUUGGUUCCAUGUUGGAACAUGGAUAUGCUGGGAUAUCACAAUAUCUCUUGUUUAAUUAAUGCAUCUAUAUAUUUGGGUAAAGGGUGGAAGGCUCGGCCUUAUGCCUGGUGUUUUGUUCCACUCUUGUCGCUCUAGUUUCUGUCAUACCGGUAUUAUGUUCCUUGAGUUUGCGUUCCUUACGCGGUUGGGUGAUUUAUGGGACCCCCUUGACAGUUCGCCUUGAAUAAAACUCCUCCAGCAAGGCCCAACCUUGGUUUUACCAUUUGCCACCUAAGCCUUUCUCCCCCGGGUUUUCGCGAGCCCGAGGGUCAUCUUUAUUUUAAACCCCCGGACCAGUGCUCCUUCGAGUGCUGGCCCAAACUGGGCGAUGUCCGGCGCCCCCUGGGCAACCAGGGUCUAUGCCAACCCGACGUCUUGCCCAUCCGGUGUGCCCUGAGAACGAGGUAUGUGCAGCUCCUAUCGGGAUUUGUCGGCACAUUCGGGUCGCGUUGCUGGUCUUGUUUUACCAUUGUCGAAAUAUCUUGUAAACCGGGAUUCCGAGACUGAUCGUGUCUUUCCGGGAGAAGGUUUAUCCUUCGUUGACCGUGAGAGCUUAUAAUGGGCUAAGUUGGGACACCCCUGCAGGGUAUUAUCUUUCGAAAGCCGUGCCCGCGGUUAUGAGGCAGAUGGGAACUUGUUAAUGUCCGGUUGUAGAGAACUUGUCACUUGACUUAAUUAAAAUACAUCAACCGCGUGUGUAGCCGUGAUGGUCUCUUCUCGGCGGAGUCCGGGAAGUGAACACGGUUUGAGUUAUGAAUGACGUAAGUAGGAGUUCAGGAUCACUUCUUGAUCACUACUAGAUGACGACCGUUCCGUUGCUUCUCUUCUCGCUCUCUUUCGCGUAUGUUAGCCACCAUAUAUGCUUAGUGCCUGCUGCAGCUCCACCUCAUUACACCAUCCUUUCCUAUAAGCUUAAAUAGUUUUGAUCUCGCGGGUGUGAGAUUGCUGAGUCCUCGUGACUCACAGAUUCUACCAAAACAGUUGCAGGUGCCGACGAUGCCAGUGCAGAUGACGAAAUCGACCUCAAGUGGGAGUUCGACGAGGAACGUGGUCGUUACUAUGUGUCUUUUCCUGAUGAUCAGUAGUGGAGCCCAGUUGGGUCGAUCGGGGAUCUAGCAUUUGGGGUUAUCUUAUUUUCAUAUGGAUUUUGACCAUAGUCGGUCUAUGUGUGUAUUUUGGAUGAUGUAUGAAGUAUAUUUAUGUAUUGUGUGAAGUGGCGAUUGUAAGCCAACUCUCGUUAUCCCAUUCUUGUUCAUUACAUGGGAUUGUGUGAAGAUGACCCUUUUUGCGACAAAACCACUAUGCGGUUAUGCCUCUAAGUCGUGCCUCGACACGUGGGAGAUAUAGCCGCAUCGUGGGCGUUACAGAAGGCCUCCGCUUCCCCCCUCCCAGUGGUCAUGGAUGGUGACUUCAACCUCAUCCGGUCUCCGGAUGAGAAGAAUAACGACCGGAUCAACCGCCCGAGAAUGCAGAUGUUCAACGACUGCAUUGCGGAGCUUAGCCUCCGCGAGCUUGAGCGGACUGGUGCCAGAUUUACCUGGACGAACCGCCAAGCUGACCCGACGCGAUCCGUUCUGGAUCACGUCCUAGUCUCCCCGGAUUGGGAACUCAGAUGCCCCUUGCCUUCGCUCCGGGCGAUUACCCGAAUCGGGUCUGACCAUGUUCCUCUCCUUCUCUCCAUCGCCGACGAAUGACCCACCAUCCCGGCUCGGUUUUGGUUUGAGCUCUUUUGGCUCAACCAGGCGGGUUUCCACGAGGCGGUCGUGGCCCGGUGGGUCACCGCGCGCACUUCCCCCUAGCGUGCCAUGUCGGCCGUGGACUCGUGGCAGUUCUGUGCCAAGCUCGCCCGCCAAUUCAUGAAGGGUUGGGGUGCCAACCUUGGCAGAGACCUCCGCAAGCACAAGAAAGCCCUCCUGACUGCCAUCCAGGCCUUGGACACCCGUGCGGACACUACCGGGAUCUCCCCGGAUGAGUGGAUGCUGCGAUAUGAUCUUGAGGAUCAGCUCUCUACCAUUUAUAGGGACGAAGAAGCUUAUUGGAGGCUCCGCGGUACCCAACGUUGGGUGCUUCGGGGAGAUGCUAAUACGGCGUAUUUCCAGGCGAUCGCGAUGGGCGGCGGCGACGGAAUUCCAUCCAUUGCCUUUGGGAUGGUGAUUCCCAGCUUGUCUGCCCAUCGGACAUUCAUGCGCACGUCGAUGGCUUCUAUAAAGCCCUAUUCUCCCCCACCCUUCGGGGUGGGCCGCCCUGGCCCCCCACAUCUGGUCGGGUGCCCAGCUUGUCUCCAAUGCGGCUAACGCCGCCUUAGUUGCUCCGUUCUCCGAGGACGAGGUCCUUGUGGCAAUUAAGGGUAUGAACCCCUCCUCAGCCCCGGGACCGGAUGGACUGCCCGUGUCCUUCUUUAAAGCGUUUUGGCAGACCAUCAAACCUGAGGUCAUGGCUCUCUUCGACGAAUUCUUCUUGGGGACCAUAGACCUCAGGCGGCUUAACUAUGGGGUCAUCACGCUCAUCCCCAAAGUCCCGGGCGCGGCUGACAUCUGCCAGUUCCGACCUAUCACUGUGAUCAAUGUGACACUACUAGGGAAAACCUUACCAGUAGCGCUGGUUUUUGAGCUACCAGUAGCGCGGCACCAACGCUACUGCUAUGGCGCUACAACUAUUUUGUAGCUGUUGAGGAUAUAGACCUUGGAGUCACCCGCCAGGAGGGCCGGGUUACUCUAAGGGUCAUUGCCAGAAGCCCGGAGCUAAGUUUCAAGAUGAUGGGCCAGAGAUGGGCUGAGACCCGUAUAUGGCUUAAAGCCCGAAGUUACAAUCAUUGUUAUAGUAGGCUUGUAGUGUAAGGCAAGUAUUGUUCAGAGUCCGAGCCGGAUGCUCUUAUGAGCCGGCCGGGACUCUAAGGGCUGCUGGGCGUCAGCCUCCCUAUAUAAAGGGAGGACCCGGCAGCGGUUUAAGGGCGACAAUAAUCUCAUCGAGAGCCGGGAUAGCUGUUUAGCUCCCUGGCGAUCGUAAUCCUAGUCAAUAACACCUCAAACUGGACGUAGGCUUUUACCUUCACUGUAAGGGGCUGAACCAGUAUAAACCCUCGUGUUCCUUGUCCCACAUAACCCCUUCAAGCUUCCUAGCUGCGAUGGCUCCACGACUAAGUCCUAGCUCGAGAACAUCUGCCGUGACAAUUCCACGACAGUUGGCGCCCACCGUGGGGCCGGCGCACUGUGGAUUUGAGUUCUUGAAGGGCAGCUUCGAAGGGCUCAAGGGAUACACUGUGGGCCGGAUGACCAAGAGUCGUCGCGGCAAGCUCUACAUCGACGAUGCGGACUGGGGCCCCGACGCCGGCUCAAUUGAGUACGGGUACCGGGUCCCCUUCGGUGGAAUUCAUGUUUUCAUCGGUAAGAUUGGUGAGCCGGGCCCCGAGCCGGAUCUCCGCGCCGAUCUCAUCAAAAUGGCUCAGCGCGCACAACCCGCCCGGGCCCGGCCUGCCGUAAGGCGCGCUUUUGUGGGAUGCAUCCAUGGAGGGCCCUCUGAUCCUUCCGGGUUCGGUGAUGAGGAGGCUGCCGGCUCUGACGACGAGUCGGCCACUGAUGAGUCAAACUCGUCGUACCAACUCCAAGAUGGCGUGCUCAUGGGUUGUUCCGACGGUGACAGUAUUCCGGACCUUUUUGAGCCACCAAGUCAGGUUGGAGUUUUUAUGGCUGGUGCGCAGCCUGUUCAGAACCCUGCAGCUGGGGCGGGAAACCCGGUGCCUUCUCCGGCUCAAGUGCUAAUGGAUCUCACGGACAAGAUGACGGCCCUGUUAACCGCCACGAUCGACCCGGCAGAUAAAGCGCAGCACGAUGCGGGGGUGGCACAGCUAAAAUUGGAUCUGAUAAAAGCUAAAGAGGAUCUUGCAGCGGAAGGGAUCAGGCUGGCUGCAGAGCGGGCGGCUCUCGACGCCCGGACUCAGCUGAUUCAGGCGCAGUCCUUCCAACUCACGAUGGAUCAGAACGCGGCCAACGAGGUCAUGAGAAGGAGGCAUCAGAAGGCCCAGUCUCGACUCCCGCCGGUUUACGAUCCACGCAAUCUCUUCAACACCCCGGGUGCAGGGUCUAGUAACCCGCCAGGGGUCAUUGCGCCCGGGUCUGGACCCCUGGUUCAGCCGCGAGUGAUGGGGCCUCCCCAGGUGCCCCCUGCCCCGCCUCAGUAUGUGCCAAUACCCCCGGGUCAUUAUGAUAACCCGCUAGAGAACAUGGUAGCUGUGGCAGCAUGGCUGGCGGCUCUCCCCGUUGACGGUGAUUCUCCGACGGCCAUCGAAACCCGCCGGGUCAGGGAACUCCUGCAGACGGCACUAGCACAGCAAGAGGCGUACUCCUAUAGCCGUGACAGGAUCCACUCGACCCCUCGUCCAGGCCAGAGCCCGAGUUACAGCCGGCACAUGGUCUCAGCAACCGGUUCAAGUAAUGUGCGACGCCACGACCCGCCCCCUGGGCAUGGCCCGGCUCAUAAUGGAGCCUUCUACACAACAGACCAAGCGCGGCGAGAGGCGGAGCAGGCGCCUCAAUUGACGGCUUACCAGACCCCCCCGGCGUAUCCAACGACGUCCGUUGAUGUGGGAAUUUCUACUAGGACCGGGGGUGUCCCUUGUUUGGUACCAGCCAUCCGUAAUGAACGUCUACCUAAGGACUUCAAGGGCCCUAGGAAGGUGCCUAACUAUACAGCGGACUUACAGCCUGCAGCCUGGAUUGAGAGUUAUGAGAUGGCCAUGGAAUUGCUGGACGUCAGUGAGGCGGCCAUGGCCAAAUAUUUCACCAUGAUGUUAGAUGGGACUGCCCGCACGUGGUUAAAAGGGCUACCACCGAACUCCAUUGGGUCUUGGGCUGAGCUGAAAGCCCAGUUCAUUCAAAACUUCAAAGAUACCUGCAGGCAAUCUAUGUCAAUUGUGGAUUUGACUAACUGUAAGCAGCAGGAGGGCGAGUCCACGACCCAUUGGGUUCGUCGGGUCAAGGAGAUCAUACAUUCAUCAGAUAAGAUGGAUGCCGGCUCUGCAGUCUUAAUGUUGGAACAGAACUGUCGCUUUGUGCCCCUUAAGAUGAAGCUUGGGCGGCUCAAGCGCGACUGCACCGAUAUGGGUACCCAAAUGGCGGCUCUUGUCAAGUACGCCGAUUCCGAUGGUACCAAGGAUCCCCCUUCAGACGAUGAAAGGGCAGGGAAGGGAAAGAAGAAUGGCAACGACAAGGGUCCUCAGUUUAACCCGGGGAACCAAGGAGGAGGCAAGCGUAAGGCCGAUGGCAGCCUGGAGUUCGUAGCCAACACCAACUCUCAAGGUAAUAACCAGCGACGCAAGGGGAGGCCCCCUCCCCGAGGCGGCGGGUCAGGACCUUCUCUGGAGCAGCUGUUGAAUGAACCUUGCCCGAGACACGGCUCUAGAGAGAAGCCAGCAACUCAUCUGUGGAAGGAUUGUGCUAUCAUGAAGGCCUUUAAAAACUACAAUGGUCCGGGUGGCGGCUCAUGCGCCGGCGGCUUUCAUGGCCCGGGCGGCGGUUCAAAUUCCGGUCCUCAGAACGGUCAAGGGGGCUUUAAUCAACAGUCUGGUCUGGGUCAUCAACAGCAGCAGGGGGUUAUCAGACCAACCCAAAGCAGCUUAGCGGUGGACAGUAUCACGUGUUCACCACUAGUUUGUGCAAACGAGACGAGAAGCUUCACAAGAGGGCUGUUAAUUCUGUUGAGCCGGCGGUUCCACGCUACUUACGGUGGUCUGAGCAGCCCAUAGUGUGGAGUAGGGAGGAUCACCCCCCCGGGUGGAUAACCCGGGCCACCUGGCCUUAGUGGUGGCUCCUCAGGUGGGAGGCUAUAAGUUCACAAAGGUACUCAUGGAUGGAGGCAGCAGCAUCAACAUCCUCUAUUAUGAGACAUUCCGUCGUAUGGGGCUAGUCGAUAAGAACCUCAGCCAGUCAAAUACUAUCUUCCAUGGUGUGGUACCCGGUAAGUCGGCUUAUCCAGUCGGCAAGAUCGAACUGGAAGUGGCUUUUGGUGAUGAGAACAACUACAGGGUGGAGAAGUUGACCUUUGAGGUGGUCAAGAUAAGAAGUCCAUACCACUCUAUAUUCGGACGGCCGGCUUACGCCAAGUUCAUGGCACGGCCUGUUAUGUGUACUUACAGCUCAAGAUGCCGGGUCACAACGGGACCAUUACGGUUCACGGCAGCCGGAAGGUGGCUCUGGAGUGUGAGGAAGGUGACGUAGCUUAUGCAGAGUCUGUUUGCGCUACAGAAGAGUUGAAAUUUUAUAAAGACAAUGUUGACCCAACAAAUAUGACCUCUCUGAAAAAGCCAACCACAGAGAAUGAACCAGCAAUGAAAUUUAAAUCAGCUGAUGAGACUAAACUUGUUGAUUUUGUUCCAGGUGACUCGUCUCAGCAGUUUAGCAUCAGUGCAAAUCUGGACCCGAAAUAGGAAAGUGCGCUCAUCGAGUUCAUCCGUGAGAAUAGGGACAUCUUCGCAUGGAAACCUUCUGACAUGCCAGGUGUACCUAGAGAACUCGCUGAGCAGACUCUCAAUAUUGAUCCAAAAUUUAAGCCGGUCAGACAGUUCCUUCGACGGUUUAACAAAGAGAGGCGGAAAGCUAUUGGUGAAGAAGUGGCCCGGCUCUUGGCAGCCGGGUUCAUUGUUGAGGUUUUUCACCCGGAGUGGUUGGCUAACCCGGUGCUCGUACUCAAGAAGAACGGCACCUGGCGGAUGUGUGUGGACUACACGGACUUGAACAAGGCGUGUCCGGCUGAUCCUUUUGCUCUCCCCCGUAUUGAUCCAAUCAUUGAUGCUACGGCAGGUUGUGCACGCUUAAGUUUCUUGGAUGCUUAUUCCGGGUAUCAUCAGAUUAAGAUGGCAGUUAAGGACCAGGAGAAGACGGCAUUCAUCACUCCCUUUGGAGCCUUCUGCUAUGUGUCUAUGCCUUUUGGACUCAAGUGUGCACAGGCGACUUACCAGCGUUGUGUACAGAAUUGUCUUCAUAAACAGAUCGGGCGCAAUGUUCACGCUUACGUGGAUGAUAUUGUGGUUAAAUCCAUCAAGGAGGAAACCCUGGUAGAUGACUUAAGGGAAACCUUCGAUAAUCUCCGGGUCUACAAGAUGAUGCUUAACCCGGCCAAGUGUGUUUUUGGUGUUCCUGCAGGCAAACUAUUGGGCUUCUUGGUUUCUGACAGAGGCAUUGAGGCUAACCCGGAGAAGAUCAAGGCUAUCACCUCCCUAGCUAAGCCGGCAUGUAUAAAUGACGUUCAGCGUUUGGCGGGUCGCAUCGCUGCUUUAAGCCGGUUUAUCAGCCGUUUGGGUGAGAAGGCUAUGCCUCUAUAUCAGUUGAUGAAGAAGACUGAUAACUUUAUCUGGAAUGAUGCAGCUAAUACCGCUUUUGAGGAUUUGAAAAAGCAACUGGCAGAGCCCCCCGUCCUUGCUGCUCCGAUUGAUAAGGAGCCCUUGCUACUAUAUGUAGCGGCAAAUGCACGAGCUGUCAGCGUGGCUAUUGUUGUGGAGCGCAAGGAGGCAGGUAAGGGGCAUCCGGUUCAGCGGCCGGUUUAUUAUGUCAGCGAGGUGCUCAUUGAGUCCAAGCAGCGGUACCCGCAUUGGCAGAAGCUCGUAUACGGUGUGUUCAUGGCGAGCCGGAAGCUCAAACAUUAUUUUCAGGGUCAUCCCAUCACUGUGGUCAGUUCUGCCCCCCUUGGUGAUAUUAUCCAGAACAGAGAGGCUACAGGGAGAAUUGCUAAGUGGGCUAUAGAACUUGGACCUCAUGGCCUCAAAUAUGUGCCACGCACUGCUGUUAAAUUUCAGGCUUUGGUGGAUUUCAUCAAUGAUUGGACGGAGUCUCAAGUGCCUGAGCAAAAGCCGGAUAACACUUAUUGGACUAUCCACUUCGAUGGGUCCAGACAGUUGGAGGGCUCGGGGGCUGGUGUUGUAUUGACUUCCCCUAAAGGUGACAAGUUCCAUUAUGUGCUCCGGUUGAUGUUUCCUUGCACUAACAAUGCGGCUGAAUACGAAGCUUUUCUCCACGGUCUUCGGGUGGCUAAGGAGAUGAGCUUGAGCCGGGUAAGGUGCUUUGGGGACUCAGAUUUGGUGGCUCAACAAGUAUCAGGCACCUGGGAUUCUAAGGAUCCUCUCAUGGCGGCUUACCGCCGCAAGGUUGAUGCCAUUGCUGGGCACUUUCAGGGAUACCAAGUAGAGCACAUUGAUCGCAGGAAGAACGAGGCGGCUGAUGCUUUAAGCCGGCUAGGCUCUCAGCGUAAGCCGGUGCCGCCUAACACUUUCCUGGAUGUCUUGUAUAACCCCUCGGUUAAGUUGCCUACAGAAGAGGACUUGGCUAUCCCUGACCCGGAGGCACGACUGGUGGCGGCUCUUCAUGUCAUACCAGACUGGACAAUGCCAUAUCUGGCUUAUAUAACCCGGGGAGAGUUGCCUGAGGAUGAAACUCUGGCCAGGCAAGUAACCCGGCGGGCUAAGUCAAUGGUUGUCAUUGAUGGCGAGUUACAUCAUCGCAGUGUUUCAGGGGCGUUUCAGCGUUGUAUCUCCCCUAAGGAAGGUCAAGAGAUCUGAUCUUGCGCGAGAUCCAUGAAGGGGAUUGUGGCCAUCAUGCCGGUUCAAAAUCUCUUGUGGCCAAGGCUUUCCUUCAUGGUUUUUAUUGGCUGACGGCUCACGCUGAUGCAGAGGACUUGGUCAGUAAAUGUGAUGGUUGCCAAAGGUUCUCACGACGGGCUCAUGUGCCGGCUCAGGAGUUGAGGAUGAUCCCAAUCACUUGGCCCUUUGCGGUCUGGGGGCUUGAUAUGGUUGGGCCUUUUAAACGAUCCAAGGAUAAGAAGACCCACCUCUUGGUAGUCGUUGACAAAUUCACGAAGUGGGUGGAGGCUGAGCCAGUUAGCAAGUGCGAUGCAGCCACGGCGGUUUAAUUUAUGAAAAAGGUGAUUUUCCGCUUCGGCUUUCCGCACAGCAUCAUAACUGACAAUGGCACCAAUUUAUCCAAGGGCGCUAUGGAAGACUUUGGUCAACGGGAGCAUAUCCGACUUGAUGUCUCCACAGUGGCUCAUCCCCAAUCCAAUGGUCAAGCUGAGAGAGCUAACGAGGAGAUUCUGAAGGGCAUCAAACCCCGGCCUUUGGUCCCUUUGCAACGGACGCCGGGUUGUUGGGUGUUGGAGCUGCCCUCCGUCUUAUGGAGCAUCAACACUACUCCUAACAGGUCUACUAGCUUCACGCCUUUCUUCAUGGUUUAUGGAGCAGAAGCAGUCCUCCCCAGCGACAUCCGUCACGAUUCGCCUCGUGUGGCGGCUUAUGUUGAGACGGAUAAUGAACAGGCGCGCCAAGAUGCUCUGGACUUGUUGGACGAACAACGUGAUGUGGCGGCAGCCCGUUCAGCGAUUUACCAACAAGACCUGCGCCGUUAUCAUAGCCGCCGGGUCAAAUCCCGGGUCUUCCAGGAAGGCGACCUUGUGCUCCGGCUCAUCCAGGAUCAAACUGAUGCACACAAGUUAUCCCCACCUUGGGAAGGGCCCUUUGUGGUCAGUAAGAACUUGCACAACGGGUCAUAUUAUCUCAUUGAUAUUCGGGAACAUAAGGAUUCACGUAAAUCUGAGGAGGAGACCCGUCGGCCAUGGAAUAUAGCUCAGCUUCGGCCUUACUACACUUGAGCUGCCGGCUCUCGUGGUGUACAUAUUUAUCUCAGACAUGUAUAUAUUAUGAUAAGCAAUAAAGCAGGACCUCUGUCCUUUUUCUCCUCCAAUUAUGUGUGUCAUUUUUUACAUGCUAAUUUGAAAGGAGGAUCCGGCUUAUGCUCGUAUUCGAGUUUAGCCGUAAGCAGUAAGGUCACUUGGGGGCUUCCUGUUCAAACAUGGGUCGUAUUCGAACCAAAGAGAACAUAGUUGUUGAUACCCAUUUGAUUGGCAAAGUGCCGAGCUCAUUGGGAGGUUGCCUUUGGUCAUAUUUGAAUCAUAGUGUAAACCCUCUGAGAACCGACGUGGAUCGUAUUCGAAUCAGCGUCGUUAAACAAUUUUCAGAGUCACUUGGGGGCUUCCUGUUCAAACAUGGGUCGUAUUCGAACCAAAGAGAACAUAGCUGUCGAUACCCUUUUGAUUGGCAUCGCCACACCCACUGGGGGCUAUAUGAUCGCAUCCGAAUCUUAGCUUAACCUCUUUGGACCGGGUUUCUGGUCGUAUUCGAACCGGAAGCCCCAAGUUUUUAUAUUUUGUCACAAGUCUACUCUGAUCAUGUCAAAGUAUGUACUGCCGGGUAUCCCUUGCCGGCUUAAUUUUGGUUUAUCUUGUUAGUUGAACAUCAUGGAUGUCAUCAAGACAGGUAAAUUCGAGUUCAGGUACCAACCAAGCUACCCGGGUUAUUUAAACCGGAAGUAUGCUUACAGGCCGUUAAGUGUGUUAUCACGGCUAUGUUCAGAGUAUAGUUAACGACCAGUCUUUUUUGGUUCGUAUUCCGGGUUAUCCAUUUCAAACACCUGAUUCUCAGGGCGGUAAGCCGCCUUGAGACUUGUGAUUUGCCUUUCUAUGCAGACACUUGAAGGUGCUUUUUAAGGUUGAGAAGGACAAAGGCGUAAUUAUGACCCGGAGGAGCACCAAAAGAAUAACUUCAAGGGGUUUCAGCAUUCAUUACGUACACGAUGGCACGGCAGAGAUAAAUUGUUGCACUUAUUCUAUUACAAAAAUCCUUCAAAGACUCAAGGGUGGAGCGUUGUUCGGUGAACCGCCAGCCGCUUUAUGACGCCUGCUGAGUUGAAGUCCCCGGCUCGUCUUCUGCUCCGGCUGAUCCCAAGACCUCGAAGGUUGACGACUUCCAGUCGAUGCCGCUGAGAGCUUCGAGCUGGGCCUCUUCGUCAAUUAACCCGGCCGGGUCAAUCUCGGGGGCGAAGGUGUGCGGGCGAGCCGGAGGAAUAAGACUGAGAGCUUCAUAGCGAGGGGUUGGAAUCCUCUGAUUCUCCGCGUUGUACCCCGGCUGAUACUUGGAUAAGUCGGUGUCGUUCCCAAUGAUGGUGGCCACCGGGCGUACAGCCUUCACACAUGCCGCGAAGUCCUUCUGGUCGAAGGCGGAGCCGUCUUCCUUCAGGCUUGGGUAACCCAGGGCGAUGUCUGUCGGGUCUAGCUCCGGCAGGAAUGCUUUGGCCCGGCUCAGCGCGGCAAUUGCUCCGGAUCUUGCGGAGGCUCGGCGUAGCUCCUGGAUCCGCUGUGGCAGAACAGCGAGCCGGCGCAGGACUUCGGCCAGAUGGGUUGGCACCUCGUUGGAUAGGGCCACCACAGCUAAGGCGCGCUGUGACCCGGUGUAGAGUUGUUCCACAAGGGUGUACACGGCCUUUAACUUGGUGACCACGCUCUGGUUGAGGUUGGCACUCCUGGGACCCGUUUAAUAAAGGUCAGAUAAGCCGGUGACAAGGAUGAAUCAUAACAUAUACAGACUUGAUGAAAGCCGGCGAGGCGACUUACCGAAGAUAGCGGCCACCAUUUGGGAAACCUGGCGCUUUAGGCCGGAGUGCUCAGCAGUCUUCUCAGUGAGGGCCUUCUCCGCCUGUUCUGCCCGGGUCACCAGUGCGGCUUUCUCCUCAGCCCAGGCCUUCCGCUCAGCAUCGAAUUCGGUCUUCAGUUUCUCCUGAGCGGCGAUGCUGGAGACAAACUUGGCGUUCGCCUUCCGGGUCUCCAUCUCUUGUGUCUUUAGCCGGCUCAUGAGAUCCGCAAGGUCCGACUCAAAUUUCUUGCCAGCAGCCUGCAUAUAUUUCCGGGUUAUUAACAGUCAUUAUAUAAGUCCCAAGCACUUUCCAAACAAAGACACUUGGCACUUGGGGGCUAAUGCAUAUUGAAUGUCUCCAUCUAUGUACUGUCGGUUCAGUUAAGUAAGCCGGAAUCUAAGUCUACAACAUAUUCAAGUACAAGUUAUAGACUUGGGGGCUGACAUGACAAGGAUCACUAUGCAGAAAGUAAGAAGACAGCAGAAGGUUACCUCAGAUUUUUGUUGGAUCUGGUUGACCAUGGCGAUCUCGGCGUCCCGGCUCUUGUGAACUUGGCUGAUGUAGCCUGAGACGAGCUCUCCAAUGCUUAAGUCGGUGUAGCUGGAGAGAUCCAGAUUCACCCGGUGGGUUGCAGCAACUCCCCCUUCAUGGAGCAUUUGGCCAGCGCGGUCGGCCUCCCCGGCUCAACAUACUCCGUCCGGGUAAUUACCACGUCCGGGUCGUUAGCUGGUGGGGCUGAGCCGGAGGCCUCCGGGUUAGCUGACGCUUCGGUCGUUGUCUUGGUGGUCGGGGCAGGGGCUUCAGGCGCCGUGUCCAUGGGAAUGGUGGCUUCGGGGCCGGAGGCGGCUGGCGGCUCUUGAGCCGUCGUCUCCGGCUCAGGCAAGUCUGGCACUCCGGCUGACCUGGUCUUCUUUGCUCUUUUGGUGAGCUUUACCUGGGCACUGAAAAGACAGAAGUGUUAGGUAUACAAAGAGUAAGUACAGAAAGAUAAUGUAAGGAGAUUGUUAUUACCCGGGUGCAGUUUUGAAGGCCGGCAGACUUGACUGCAUGGAGUCACCCGAAGAGGGGGAGGUCUCCUGGUAAUUGGAGUCAGAAGAGUUGAGUGGCUGACGGAUGACACCCGCCAACGGAUGAAAAGGGUACAGGUGAGAAAAAACCUCAGUACGACGCUUCCUUGUUGCGUCGGGUAACCCGGCGGAGAGGUCGGUGUCCUUGCGGGCCCGGGUGUGACGCCGGCUUUCAUGAACCUAUUGCUUCAAAAGAAAUUGAGGGUCUUGAUGAGCUAAUGGAUUAGAAAAGCUUACUUUCCGGGUAACUCUUCGGACUUUCAGCUGUGGCAAAGACUCCGAGUCGGAGGAAAGUGAUGUUACCUCUUCAAUCACCGGGUUACUGGCGCCGGUGUCAUCCUGUCAGUAAGCAAAAUGUUGAUAAGGCGGAUAGCAGCAAACAACAAAUAUGGCAAGAGUUUAAAAGUUUAAGGGUUACCUCUGACUCGGAGCUGUCGCUUAAUUGCAGCAGCUCCGAAGCAGUGGGUCUGCUUCCCUUUUUGCGAGGGGCGGCUUUCUUCGCCUUCCUGGCCUUCUUGGCCGCCUCAUGGUCAUACUUGACCCGCCAGAAUUUAUCAUCAGCCUGAGAAAUACAGUAAUGAACUCUUAAAAUGGUUCAGAGCAAGGUGACAUGUAAAAGAAGUGGAAAGGUUAAAGUCAGCGGCUUACCGCUGGGGCUGGAUUGGUCUUGCAGAACGGGGCUAGCCCGGUUCUUCCACAGUCUGCCAGGCUCUCGUUUAACAGAGCCUUGGUUUCUUCUUCGGCAACGUCUUCUGGAAGAUCAUUGCGACUGUGCCUCUGCGGGUCAUCCUUUCGCCCGGUGUACUCACACAUUAAGCCGGGGCGACGGCUCAAUGGGAUCACCCGCCAUGAGAUCCAGACCCGGACCAGGUCUAUUCCGUUCAGACCGUUGCCUAGCAGAGCCUUGAUCUUAUUGAUCGUUGGAAGCAGAGGCUGGCGUUCCGUGGCAGUCAGCUUGUCGGAUAGCGGAUGAGUCGGCUCUAGGCAUGUUGGGCGAAAACCGGGCAGCGGGCUCUCGUCAGCCGGGGACGUGUCUUGGCAGUAGAACCAAGUCAUAUUCCAGUCCUUGGGGUGACUUGGCGGCUCUGCGUAAGGGAAUAGACAGUCCCUGCGCCGUUGGAUGGAGAUGCCGCCUAAUUCCAGACUUGGACCGUUUGUGCACUCAUUUUGGCGGUUUAAGUAGAACAGUUCUCUGAAAAGCAGUAAACUGGGCUCCUCUCCAAGGUAUACUUCGCAAAAUACUUGGAAGUUGCAGAUGUUGGAUACGGAGUUGGGUCCUAUAUCCUGAGGUCGAAGGUCAAAGAAGUUGAGCACGUCCCGGAAGAAUUUUGAGCCGGGUGGUGCGAAGCCCCAGCUCAUGUGGUCCGCAAAGAUUACUACCUCCCCGUCCCUCGGCUGUGGUCUUUCUUCUGACGGAUCAGGGGCACGGUAGGACAUCACUUCCUUCUUGGGCAGAUAUCCGGACUUAACAAAGUUGGCCAGGGUCUCAUCAGUGACGUUGGAUCUCAUCCAGUUGCAAGUGAUGGGAGCCUUGGGAGGCAUGGUGACGGUUGGUGGUCUAUGAUAAAGAGAAAAGUGUCCGGGUUAAUUAUAAGCCGGAGAUUAUCAUUCAAACUACAAUGACGGCUUAUGAAGGGGACUAAUGAUAUAUAUUGAUACGGUGGGUUAUCUAAGCCGUCGGGGCUUUCAGGAUAAAUUGGUCAUCUACGGCUUACUGCAGUUAAGUCGGAGGAUUCUACAGAGCAUGGCUCUCUUUAAGCCGGAAAGUUCUACGGCGCGUGUUUUCUUUAAGUCGGAAAUAUAAGCCGCCAAGAUUCAAGGGCUGCAGUUUUUACUAAGUGUGGUAAAACAGAUUUCACAUAUUGCAGUAACUUUUUCGGAUCAAAAUGGUCGGGCGAAAUGAAAAUUUUCUAGACCUAAAAAACAGAAGCAGGAGAAGUUCUUAAGUUAGAACAUGGUUCUUAAGCAGUAAAAAGAGGAUUUUUCGCAGGUGGAAUGGAUCUCAAACAUCUACCGCAGGGGUUCUACGAAGAGUUAAGAUUAACGGGGGCAGUGACUACAGGAGCUACUGAAACUUGUGGCUAUGGUGACGAACAUGAAGAACACAGACGAACUCUAUCACAGAUCUAUUCUAGUAAGGCAGAGGGGACUCACUGGAGUUGGGGAAGAGCGGAAGUCGCCGCCGUUAUCUGGUCCGAGUCAGGGUGAUGCAGCGGCCGGGUUGAUGAAGGACGAGGGAGCGACGGCGGCGGCAGUGGCAGAGCUCGGGCAGAAGAGCGAUGGCGCGAGGAGGAAGAAGGGGAGCGUGAGAAGAAAGUACUGGGCCGGCCUAUUUAUAAGGUAGAGUCAUAAGUGGGCGCGGGAUUCAAGGAGGCCACGGCGUGGUUAUCUCCCCCUCAUGGCGCCUCGAUUUUCGGAAAGACAGUAAAAGCAAAGAUCCGUUGCAGAUCUGGCGGAGUAAAAAACGGGCUUAAUGGAGGAUGACGUCACGGUGGAUUAUCCGGAGUCCAGAGGAUGACGUCACUCCGGGUUAUGGCCUUCACAUGAAAGGUAAGCCGGAGAUUUUUUCUGUCUACGGAAUUGAAGAUUGACACGAGCUGGCUCAAGUCAAUCUGGGGCCUAAUGUUGAGGAUAUAGACUUUGGAGUCACCCGCCAGGAGGGCCGGGUUACUCUAAGGGUCAUUGCCAGAAGCCCGGAGCUAAGUUUCAAGAUGAUGGGCCAGAGAUGGGCUGAGGCCCGUAUAUGGCUUAAAGCCCGAAGUUACAAUCAUUGUUAUAGUAGGCUUGUAGUGUAAGGCAAGUAUUGUUCAGAGUCCGAGCCGGAUGCUCUUAUGAGCCGGCCGGGACUCUAAGGGCUGCUGGGCGUCAGCCUCCCUAUAUAAAGGGAGGACCCGACAGCGGUUUAAGGGCGACAAUAAUCUCAUCGAGAGCCGGGAUAGCUGUUUAGCUCCCUGGCGAUCGUAAUCCUAAUCAAUAACACCUCAAACUGGACGUAGGCUUUUACCUUCACUGUAAGGGGCUGAACCAGUAUAAACCCUCGUGUUCCUUGUCCCACAUAACCCCUUCAAGCUUCCUAGCUGCGAUGGCUCCACGACUAAGUCCUAGCUCGAGGACAUCUGCCGUGACAAUUCCACGACAGUAGCAGUAGCGCUUGUUUAGGCCAGUGCUACUGGUAAGUUCAGAUACUAGUAGCGCGGCACUGCAAAGCGCUACUGGUAGAUGAGUGCUGCUGGUAAUAUUUUGUCCCGCGCCACUGCUAAAAUUUAUGUUUUUUCCGCAUUUUGGCGUUGUACAUGUUUAAACAGAUAUAUCUUUUAUACAAUAACAACUCAUCAUGAACUAGUCUGUUUAAAUAGCAUAUUCAUUACCACUUGUCAUCACCAUCAAACAAUGUUCGUCAAUGAGACAUCAUAUAACAAGUUGGUCACUAGUCAUAAUCACAACUCCUCCUCCUCAUCAUCAUCAACUCUAACACAUUGUAGCACAUAAUAACACAUUCUAGCUACGACCUACUCCUCUCAUAGGACCUACUCUACCCUCUCUUAGGUAAAAUAUCAUAAAACAAGAUAGGCAUUGACUCUCCAUUAAGGAAAAUUGACUCUCCAUAUUAAAGAACGGAGAUCAACUUGUCUCCAAGUCUUGGCCUACGCACAAUGUUGCUUCCAAGUGGCUCUCUACGAUGGCCAAAACAUUUUUUGAAAUCAUUUAUUAUCAUGGCUUCCUUGCUUUUAGAAAUCCUGUAUGGGCAGGAGUUAUGUGGAUACUGCGGCUGACCUGGCCAUGGUGGCCGUAAGUUCAUAACAUCAACGCGACCUCUCGGCAACAUCAGAUGAGGCACACAAUCCAUCGGGAUUUUUUGUUCAAAAACAUAGUAAUAACUUUGUAGUUAGCAAUGUAGUUUAGUUUUAGAAGAAUUUAUGCAAAAGAUGCACGGAUGUCGUAAUAGUAGAAAAUCUUACCAUGCUAUCUCCAUUGAUGUUAUCGUAGGUCAACACAUGCACUAGUGGCACGUAUUGACCAUAAUGUGGAGGAGUUUAAUAAUAGCUAUUGUAAUUCUCAAGAUUAGUAAAAAAAUGUGAUAAGACCAUCUUUCUCCUUAUAAGUUAAUUCUGCUUCAUCAUUGUACUAGUAGGUUCUGUCUACCAUUUUCCGUACAUUUUUUGAAGAAUGAAAAUAAGCUGUCAAUGGAAAUAAGCUGUCAAAUAUUUUGAAAUAAACAAUAUAAAUUACUUAAUAAAUAUGUUUGAGAAACUCACACAGCGGUAGAACUGGAAGCGUGUCAACAAGGACCCAAAUGGUCAUAUUCUUUUCGUCGAUGUUAGGAUCACCAAGAUCGAAGGUGAGAAGCAUACCCUCAUGAAAAUCAUACGCCUUGCAAAGGGCUUCCCAAUUCAGGCAACCAAAAUUGGAUGAGUUCACAGAAUUGUAUAGAUUUACAGCAAAAUCAUAACCAUGAUGGGUCCUUAUGUAACACCCCGGAUGUAACUUGCCAUAUUUGUAACUCCGACUCUUGCCAUUUUCGGCUAUGUGUUAUGAUAUUUCCUCGGUGGUCGGGUUUUGUCUUUCGUUUUGUAUUUUGUCAUGUCAUGCAUUUCACAUCAUGUCAUCAUGUGCAUUGCAUUUGCAUACGUGUUCGUCUCAUGCAUCCGAGCAUUUUCCCCGUUGUCCGUUUUCCAAUCCGGCGCUCCUAUCUCCUCCGGUGCACCCCUCUUGUUUCCUUUCAUGUGCGGGUGUCAAACUUUCUCGGAAUGGACCGAGGAUUGUCAAGUGGCCUUAUUAUACCACCCGGAGACCACCGGUCAAGUUUCGUUCCAUUUGGAGGUCGUUUGGUACUCCAACGGUUAACCGGGCAUCCGCAAAGUCCAUUUGAGUGUCCAGCAAAAACCCCCUCCAAAACCAGCCCAAAACCCACCAAACUCUCUUCCAUGCUCUAGGUCGUUCGAUCACGAUCGUGUGGGCGAAAACCGCACCUCAAUUGGAGCCUCCUAGCUCCCUCUACCUAUAUAUUUGCAUCUCCCCCGAAAAACGAAACGCAGUCCAAACCCUAGCAAAAAUCCCCGCCGCCACCGGACGCGUCCAGCCGCCGCCGGACAAAACGCGCCGCCGCGCCCGNNNNNNNNNNNNNNNNNNNNNNNNNNNNNNNNNNNNNNNNNNNNNNNNNNNNNNNNNNNNNNNNNNNNNNNNNNNNNNNNNNNNNNNNNNNNNNNNNNNNNNNNNNNNNNNNNNNNNNNNNNNNNNNNNNNNNNNNNNNNNNNNNNNNNNNNNNNNNNNNNNNNNNNNNNNNNNNNNNNNNNNNNNNNNNNNNNNNNNNNNNNNNNNNNNNNNNNNNNNNNNNNNNNNNNNNNNNNNNNNNNNNNNNNNNNNNNNNNNNNNNNNNNNNNNNNNNNNNNNNNNNNNNNNNNNNNNNNNNNNNNNNNNNNNNNNNNNNNNNNNNNNNNNNNNNNNNNNNNNNNCGCCUCCCAGGGACCCCGACGCCGCCGGCGCCUCGUCCUCUCCCGUCGCCGGUCGCGCGGCCACCUCCUCCCGCAGCUCCGACCGCCGGCGCCCCUCUCCUCUCCUUCCUCUCCGCCGGCGAGCAGCGCCACCGGAGCUCCGGCCGGCCCGAGCACCACGAUCUCGAUCCAGAUCUCGGUAGCCCCGUUGACUUUCUCGUGCCCAUAUAUUUUCUGUCACUGAUUUUCUCAGCAAUAUGCCUCCGUUCGUGAUGCCAAAACUCCUUGCAUGUAGCUCCGAUUCGCGCGUGUAAUAUGUCAAAUUGUUCGUCUCGUGAUGAUCUUCAUUUUGUUAAAUUGCACCAUGUUCAUUAGAGGCCAUCUUGAUGCCCAAAUCUCUGUUGGAAGAGGGCUAUUUGCUGUUAUUCUCUGGUUCUUGACAGAACUUGGAGAUUUGUCAUUUUUGUAUCUUUAAAUCUGUGCAUCUUUUGGGCAUGAGCUCUACAUGUGUUUUGAAGUAUGCUAUUCCAUAUUUCCAAGGGUGUAUGCCAUUUAUUUUUGUGAUCUCUGUGCUGACUAGCACAAGCUUGCAAAGUAGGCCCCGUAAUGUUUCUGAUUUCAGCGACUUAGUGAUUUCUCUAAGUCUUUGUCUGCUGUUAUUUUGUUGCCAUGUAAACUUGACGCUACAGAGAGAUACAUGCAUAUUUUGGAGAUGUUCAGUAAGGAUGUUUUGUAGCUAUAGUUGUAAUUGAUCCAUUCCUGCAAUUUUUUGCAAUUAUGGAGUGCCAUAGCAUGACUCAAUCUUGCUCUACUUUUGCUAUAAAAUAUUUCUAGCAGAUUCUUAACAUGAUAUUCAUUUUUGCGAAGCUUAUUGUAGUUGAUACAUACAUGAUAUGCAAUUGUUCUUGCCAUGAAUAGCUUCAUAAACAUUCCAUCUUGCUGUAGGUGUGCUUGGUUUGUAGUGCAUUGCUCUGUAGUGAGUGCAUCAAGCUCACGAAGAGGCCUACGUAUUAUUAUUUCUGCCAUGCUCUAUUUUCUGCUAAGUCUGAAACCUGAUAACGAAACUUGCUAUGUUUACAUGCUUGCCAUCAUAUCUUAUGGUCCUUUUUGGCUUAUGGUAAGUAAGGGACGUUUGUCAUGUGCAUUUAGUAGAACACUGCCAUGCCUUGUUUUGCUAUGCUAAUUUCCUGUAGCAUAUUGAUUUUGUGCUCCGAACAUUGCUACCUGAUGUUGUUUUCUGCCAUGUCCAGUUUUUCACCAAGUCUGUGAACCUGUUAUCUUUUGCACUUUUGCCAUGCUUGUUUGAGCUUGAUAUGUUGUGAUCUAGCCGUAGCUCAGUGUUCAUCUUUUGUGAAGCAUCUCCUGUAGAUUACUGCCAUGUGCUUUGUUGCUAUGUUGGGUUGCUAUAGCAUUGUUGCUUGUUGCAUUUUAUGUGCUAUCAUGCUGUUAAUCGCAGAUUCGUGUCAUUGUUUUGCUUGUCAUUUGCAAACCGUGCAUCCGUUUCCGGUGAUCUUUAUAUCGAUUUCGACCGGAAUCAUCUCAUCUUUCUAGUGGCAUGCUUGGUUUGCCAAGUUACUGCCUUGUUCAUCAUUUUCCUUCCGGAGCACGCAUAUGCAUCGCAUAUCAUAUCAUGCAUAUCAUACAUGUUUUGCAUCUUGUUGCUUGUGCAUUCCUCGUGAUUGAUUAUGGUUCCGUUGCUUGUGUUCUUGUCUUGGGUAGAGCCGGGAGACGAGUUCGUGAACGAGGAACCUAUUGAGUACGCUUACGAGGAUCAAGCUUUCGACAACUCUGAGAACCUUGCAGGCAAGAUGACCACCCCUCGAAAUCACUUCUAUCUUUGCUUUGCUAGUUGUUCGCUCUAUUGCCAUGCUCCUCUACCUAUCACUUGCUAUAUCUUGUCUCCCAUUUUAGCCAUGUCAGCCCCUAACCAUCCUUUCCUAGCAAACCGUUGUGUGGCUAAGUUACCGCUUUUGCUCAGCCCUUCUUAUAGCGUUGCUAGUUGCAGGUGAAGUUGAAGUUUGUUCCAUGUCGGAACAUGGAUAUGUUGGGAUAUCAUAAUAUCGAUUAUUUAAUUAAUGCAUCUAUAUAUAUUUGGUAAAGGGUGGAAGGCUCGGCCUUAUGCCUGGUGUUUUGUUCCACUCUUGCCACCCUAGUUACUGUUAUACCGGGAUUAUGUUCCUUGAGUUUGCGUUCCUUACGCGGUCGGGUGAUUUAUGGGACCCCCUUGUCAGUUCGCUUUGAAUAAAACUCCUCCAGCAAGGCCCAACUUUGGUUUUACUAUUUGCCGCCUAAGCCUUUUCCCCCGGGUUUUCGCGAGCCCGAGGGUCAUCUUAUUUUAACCCCCCCGGGCCAGUGCUCCUUCGAGUGUUGGUCCGAACCGAGCAGCCUGCGGGUCCACCUCGGGGAAACUCGAGGUCUGGUUUUACUCGUAGCUUGACUUAUCCGGUGUGCCCUGAGAACGAGAUAUGUGCAGCUCCUAUCAGGAUUUGUCGGCACAUUCGGGCGGCUUUGCUGGUCUUGUUUUACCAUUGUCGAAAUGUCUUGUAAACCGGGAUUCCGAGACUAAUCGGGUCUUUCCGGGAGAAGGUUUAUCCUUCGUUGACCGUGAGAGCUUAUGAUGGGCUAAGUUGGGACACCCCUGCAGGGUAUUAUCUUUCGAAAGCCGUGCCCGCGGUUAUGAGGCAGAUGGGAAUUUGUUAAUGUCCGGUUGUAGAGAACUUGUCACUUGACCCAAUUAAAAUACAUCAACUGCGUGUGUAGCCGUGAUGGUCUCUUCUCGGCGGAGUCUGGGAGGUGAACACGGUUUGAGUUAUGAAUGACGUAAGUAGGUGUUCAGGACCACUUCUUGGUCAUUUCUAGAUGACGACCGUUCCGUUGCUUCUCUUCUCGCUCUCAUUUGCGCAAGUUAGCCACCAUAUAUGCUUUUGCCGCUGCAGCUCCACCUCAUUACACCAUCCUUUCCUAUAAGCUUAAAUAGUCUUGAUCUCGCGGGUGUGAGAUUGCUGAGUCCUCGUGACUCCCAGAUUCUACCAAAACAGUUGCAGGUGCCGGCGAUGCCAGUGCAGAUGAUGGGGUCGAUCUCAAGUGGGAGUUCGACAAGGAACGUGGUCGUUACUAUGUGUCUUUUCCUGAUGAUCAGUAGUGGAGCCCAGUUGGGACGAUCGGGGAUCUAGCAUUUGGGGUUGUCUUAUUUUCAUCUAGAUUUUGACCGUAGUCGGUCUAUAUGAUUGUAUUUUUGGAUGAUGUAUGAUUUAUUUAUCUAUUGUGUGAAGUGGCAAUUGUAAGCCAACUCUUUAUCCCUUUCUUGUUCAUUACAUGGGAUUGUGUGAAGAUGACCCUUCUUGCGACAAAACCACUAUGCGGUUAUGCCUCUAAGUCGUGCCUCGACACGUGGGAGAUAUAGCCGCAUCGUGGGCGUUACACCUUAGUUGAAUUAUCUUUGUCUCCAUGCUUUCAUGAUCUUCAAAACCCAUCUUCUCCAAGACAUAGCGUCUUUCAUGGCAUGGGAUAAGCUAGUCGAAUUAUAAAAGACGGAAAUUACACGUUGAAGAAGCAGAGAAGUCGUGCAAAAAUAACAAAAAACACUUGUCAUCGUUGCGUACCGUUUCAACAUCGAAGGUCUCUUGGAGCUUGAUGCUGAAGCGCCGACCUUCUACCAAGUGAGGCUUGUCGCACAGACCGCGCUCAUCUUCACAGUUCUCGCACAUAGCGAAUUCCCUUUCGUCAUCAGACAUUUCCUAAUAGGUAAUUAAUAAUCCAUCAUCGAAUACAUAUAUAGUAGUUUGUAGCAAAGAUCAUCAUAUAACAACUAGAACACCUAAAAUUUGUAGUUUGUAGUAGUUUGUAGCAAAGAUCAUCAUAUAAUCCAUCAUCGAAUACAUAUAUAGUAGUUUGUAGCACAAACCACACUCAUCUUUUGCAUUCAAUAAGAAAAUAACUAAUAGGUAAUUAAUAAUCCAUCAUCGAAUACAUAUAUAGUAGUUUGUAGCAAAGAUCAUCAUAUAAUAUCACUAAUACAUCUCGAAUAAAAGCUCCUCUAGGUUCAGUGGGCCGCGGUGGACACCCAAAGAGAAGGAACCAUCACAGGAUCAUAGCUCCGGUGAGAUCCCCAAAGAAUCCGCCAAGUAUUGGAGAACCUGCCGUUCGCCAACGCAACCAUGUAGCGCUGGACGUGCGUGUUCUCCUCCGUGACACGGUGCUGUACCACCUGCGCGGGGGACUCAAGCCUCUGCACUGAUGCAGGCCCAUGUGACCACCACCAAAGAAGCUCCGGGUCGACGACGGGCUGGCUCCUCACUAAGCUGCGCUCACCAGAAGGUAGCACAACCCAGUACCAGCCCGGCGGAGCCCAGUCCCGGACAUGGCCCCUCGGCUCAAGCAGGAGUCCUCCGCCGAGUCGACGACGAGGAUGCGGGAUAAGCAUCGUCGACGUCGAUAACAAAAAGCUUAAUUAUGAAAACAAAAUUAAUAAACACUUGGCAAAAUUCGGCAUGACCUUUGCUAAAAGUAGGACAUAUCGAGCGCCUGAAAUUUGCCAGAACGUAAAUUAAUCAACAUUUCUGGCAAAACAUAGGCCACUCGGUUAAACAACUAAGAUUGUGACAUGUUCAAAAUAUGACAUAUAUCCACUUCAAAUUUGCAUAUAACAGGAAUAAUUGUUUUUACUAAAAAAAUAACAACAAAUGUGAUAGUUCAAAAUAUGAUCCUAAGAUUAACUAGCUAGGGUUCAUACUACAUUAUCCUAAGAUUAAACAACUAAGAUUAAACACCUAAGAUUAAACAACUAAGGUUAAAAACCUACAUUAUCCUAAGAUUCAUACUACAUUAUCCUAAGAUUAACUAGCUAGGUUUCAUACUACAUUUUCCUAUGAUUAAACAACUAAGAUUAAAAACCUAAAUUUUUCAACUUGCUAGGGUUCAAAAGAAACUAGGGAGGAGGAGGAAGGAGGGAGGAGGAUGUNNNNNNNNNNNNNNNNNNNNNNNNNNNNNNNNNNNNNNNNNNNNNNNNNNNNNNNNNNNNNNNNNNNNNNNNNNNNNNNNNNNNNNNNNNNNNNNNNNNNNNNNNNNNNNNNNNNNNNNNNNNNNNNNNNNNNNNNNNNNNNNNNNNNNNNNNNNNNNNNNNNNNNNNNNNNNNNNNNNNNNNNNNNNNNNNNNNNNNNNNNNNNNNNNNNNNNNNNNNNNNNNNNNNNNNNNNNNNNNNNNNNNNNNNNNNNNNNNNNNNNNNNNNNNNNNNNAUUCCUAACAACAUAUAGCUCAUUGAGCUAAUGCUAUUUCAAGAUAACAGGAAAGCUCAAUGAUUGGCAUGGCAUGGAUGAGAAAAGUGGACCCCUCAAAAUUCUAAGGACAAAGGAUUGGCUCAAGCUCAAAGCUCAGGACUCUACAUUUUUCAUUUUAAGUGAUCCAAGAUCACAUUGAGUCCAUAGGAAAAGCCAAUACUAUCAAGAGGGGGUGAGGUGUUGCUUAAUGAGUUUGUUGCUCAAAGUGCUUAGUGAUAUGCUCCAAAAAACCUCAACUACUUUCUCACAUCCACAUAUGUCCCAAGCCAAAAGUCAAACUCGGCCCCACCGAAACUUUCUAUCCGGCACCGCCGAGUUCAGUUGACAUAGCCACUGCCAGAAACCCUGGUCUUUUCGGUCUCACCGAGAUGGGAUUGUAAUCUCUCUGUUUCCCUUCGUAACGUUUCGGUCAAACCGAGAUGAGCGAUCGGUCCCACCGAGAUUGCAAUGCAAACUCUCUGUUUCCCUUUUGUAACGUUUCGGUCCAACCGAGUUUGCCUGACCAACUCUCUGUUUGUCUAUUCGCAAAAUCGGUCUCACCGAGUUUGUGUAAUCGGUCUUACCGAGAUUACGUUAUGCCCUAACCCUAACGAAAUCGGUCCUACCGAGUUGACAUGUCGGUCCCACCGAAAUGCCUAACGGUCACAUUAUGAACUAAAUCGGUAUGACCGAGUUUCACGAUUCGGUCCCACCGAGUUUGGUAAAUUGUGUGUAACGGUUAGAUUUUGUGUGGAGGCUAUAUAUACCCCUCCACCCACUCUUCAUUCAUGGUGAGAGCCAUCAGAACAUGCCUACACUUCCAACAUACAUUUUCUGAGAGAGAACCACCUACACUUGUGUUGAGGUCAAGAUAUUCCAUUCCAACCACAUAAAUCUUGAUCUCUAGCCUUCCCCAAGUUGCUUUCCACUCAAACCAUCUUUCCACCAAAUCCAAUCCAAUGAGAGAGAGUUGAGUGUUGGGGAGACUAUCAUUUGAAGCACAAGAGCAAGGAGUUCAUCAUCAACACACCAUUUGUUACCUCUUGGAGAGUGGUGUCUCCUAGAUUGGCUAGGUGUCACUUGGGAGCCUCCGUCAAGAUUGUGGAGUUGAACCAAGGAGUUUGUAAGGGCAAGGAGAUCGCCUACUUCAUGAAGAUCUACCCUAGUGAGGCAAGUCCUUCGUGGGAGACGGCCAUGGUGGGAUAGACAAGGUUGCUUUCUUCGUGGACCCGUCGUGGGUGGAGCCCUCCGUGGACUCGUGCAAACGUUACCCUUCGUGGGUUGAAGUCUCCAUCAACGUGGAUGUACGAUAGCACCACCUAUCGGAACCACGGAUAAAAAAUCUCCGUGUCAACAUUGCGUUUGCUCCCUCAAACUCCUCCCUUUAUCUUCAUUUGCAAUUGUUUUACAUUCCGCCGCUAUACUCUUACAAUUGCAUGUGUAGGUUGAUUGCUUGACUUGUGCUAAGUUGCUAAAAUCUGCCAAGAACUAAAAUUGGGAAAAUGCUAGAUUUUUAUUUGGUCAAGUAGUCUAAUCACCCCCCCCCUCUAGACAUACUUUUGAUCCUACACUGGCGUGGGGGCCGGGGCGGCCGGGGGGGAGGCCGACGCGGGGGAGGGCGGCCGGCGGGGAGGAGGGCCAGCGCGGGGGACGGCAGCGUGUGGGGGUCGACGGCGUCGCGCGGGGGAUUGAGAGAGGAGUGUGGAGUGUGUGAGUGAGCUGAGUGAUGAGGCCAGGGGGCGCGCGGGGGAGGGAGUGGGCUUAACAGCAGCGCGGGUAAUGGGCCAGCGCUACUGCUAAGCCCACUAGCUGUAGCGCCGGCACACAUCACAUGCUACAGCUAAGUGGCCUGCCCUUUUGGCCCCGGCGGCCCGCUAAACAUCAGCGCGGCCCGCGCCAACCAACGCUGCUGCUAUUCAGUAGCAGUAGCGCCCGUUUUGGCCGGCGCUACUGGUACACACCAGUAGCGUGGGCGCCCAAACAGGCGCUAUUGCUAAAAUUCUGUGUAUAAGCAUUUUCCUAGUAGUGUGAUAUUCCGGAUCCUGGCCAAAGGGUACGCCAAUAGGGUGACCCUUUUAGCUGACACCAUCACCCAUCCCAAUCAGUCGGCCUUCAUUCAUGGGCGAUUCAUUUUGGAUGGGGUGUUGGUCUUCCACGAGGUCCUUCAUGAAGUCCGCUCCAAACACCAGCGGGCGGUCUUCCUGAAGCUUGACUUUUAUAAAGCCUAUGACACAGUUCAUUGGCCCUUCCUUCGGGAAGUUUUGAUCCGCAAGGGCUUCGAUGACCGCUGGGUGACCCGAGUUAUGCAGCUCGUCUCCUGGGGCCGGACCGCCGUUAACAUUAACGGUGAGAUUGGUCCCUUCUUCCCCACGCUUUGUGGGGUCCGACAAGGCGACCCAUUCUCUCCGUUCUUGUUUAACAUGGUGGUGGACGCCCUUGCGGCCAUCCUGGACAAGGCCAAGUUGGCGGGCCAUAUCCACGGCGUGGUUCCCCACCUAGUAGGAGGGGGAGGGGUUUCCCUCCUUCAAUAUGCCGACGACACCAUAAUAAUGGUUGAGGGCUCCGCGUCCGAUAUUGCCAACCUGAAGUUUCUCCUCCUAUGCUUCCAACAGAUGUCCGGGCUCACUAUCAACUUUGACAAAAGCGAAGUGAUGGUUCUGGGAUACACACCGGACGAGGCCCUGGGCAUUGCUGACCGGCUUAAUUGCCGCCUGGGUACUUUCCCCAUGACAUAUUUGGGGAUACCCAUUAGUGACUCGCGACUCACCAUGGCAGACCUCCGCCCAACUGUGACCUGGAUGCAACACCGGGUUGAGCCCUGGAAGGGGCGGUGGCUCUCGAAGGCGGCGAUGGUAAUCCUCAUCAACUCCUCGCUUGCUAGCCUCCUCUGGUUCCUCAUGAGCUUCUACAGCUUGCAUGAGACGCUCCAUCAGGAGAUCGCCAAGUACCAGUCCAGAUUUUUCUGGGCAGGCGAGGGAGACAAGCAGAAGUACCAUAUGGUGAGCUGGCCGAACAUUUGCAAACCUAAGGACCAGGGCGGUCUUUGGAUCCUUUCUUCUUGGCGCAUGAAGAUCGCUCUCCUGACCCGUUGGCUCUGGCGUAUCGCCAACGAGGAGGGCGGCCUCUGGCUCACUAUCCUCCGAAAUAAGUACCUUCGGGGCCAACCUCUUGCCUUUGCCAGCGCUCGGGUGGAUCCCAGUUCUGGCAGGCGGUGAUCCAUCUUCUCCCCGUGCUCCGUAUUGGCACCUCCAUCUCUGUGGGCUCCGGGCCUCGACCCUGUUUUGGUUCGACCGCUGGCUAGGGGACUCCCCCCUGGCCGCCCGCUUCCCGAGCCUUUUUGCCAUUGCGGCUGACCCUUGGAUCUCCGUCGAGACGGCCCUUAUUGACUUAGGGCGUCUCGCCUUCCGGUGCCCCUUUGGCCACCUUGAGGUGGAUGAGUGGGACUCCCUUCUCCAGGAUAUCGCUCUCCUGCCGAUGGACGUUGAGGGUGCCCCGGACUCCAUCUCUUGGCGUCUGGAGCCCUCUGGCCGCUUCUCCACGAAAUAUCUCUAUGCGGCCAUAGCCCCUUCGUUGGCCCCUGAGCCUUUUAGCCUGAUUUGGGACAUUUGCCUCCCCCUCAAGAUCAGGAUAUUCCUGUGGCAGUGGAUCCGGGGACGCCUUCCCUCUGGAUUUGAAUUCCGCAAGUGCAAUGGCCUCGGCGACGGGAUGUGUCCCCUAUGCGACAUGGUGGAGGAUUCGAACCACAUUUUGUUCUCCUGCUCCACAGCCCAGUUCCUGUGGUCCUGCUUCCGAGAGACGGUCGGUGGACAGUGGUGCAAUACCAACUUCCCCGACUUACUCACUGAGAUCCACACCUCCCCCCCUCGCUACCGCCAUAUUAGAUGGCUGUGCAUCGGGGUCCUCGCCUGGACGCUCUGGACCAUUCGCAACAAACUUGCUAUUCAGAAAGUGCCUCUGCGACGUGCGACUGACGCGAUCUUCAAAAUGUGUGGCUAUUUGCAGCUCUGGCGGCCGCUUAGCCGCCCACAGGACCGGGACGUCAUCAAAAACCUCCUCGCCGACCUUCGAUCGAUGGCCUUCCGCUUGGCGCCUCCGCUUUCGCCACCUCCACCGGAGCCUGACUAGACUUGCUCCCCGUGUUGCAGGAUCUGUGUGUGUUCUUUAUUUCUAGGGCUUGUUGAGUUGUGCCCUCAGCAUUAACCCUCUCACCUUUUAUUUGUGUGUAAGACCUAUGUGUGUGGAUGUUUGAACCUUGUUGGAUGUUUGGCUCGGUGGUUUGCUUUAUAUAUAAAGCGGGGCGAAAGCCUUUUUCGAUAACACGGCAACUCUUUCAAUAGCAGCAACAACAACAUCGUCAUAUCCUUCACUCUCCUUCCUUUUCCGCUGCCUAUGUCCCACAUCCACAGCCUUCCGCAAUGGCACCUGCAUGAUGUUCGAUGAAUGCCUACUGCUGGCCCAACCUAGCAGGUUGCUGGCGCCCACGCGUGGUGCUAAGCAUCCGCUACCAUCGUUCCAAUGAUGCGUGUUGGCGCCCUAUGGACCUUGUCUCGCCACUCGUCAUGUUGUUCCGGCGGUGCCAUCCACCAGGUGAAUUGUGACGAUCUUUCCGACGUAUAUCUAAAGCAACAUGUUACUACCUCCGUCCCUAUUGUAUUUGGGGUCAUACUUUGACUGUAUAUUUUACUAGCAAAAUAUAAGUGAUAUGUCACAAAAAUUAUAUUUUUAGAUUCAUAUUUUGAAACUACAUUCUGAUAAUACUAUUUUUGCUAAAAAUAACUUAUGUUCAUCAGUAAAAUUAUGUUCAAACUUCGACCCAAAAUAUGAAGGGGACCAAUGAAGCAGGACGGAGUUAGUAUGUGCCCGGGAUACCCGAUUGAUCUAGCAAGUGCUCUUUUCCAUGCACACUCACACCAACAACCUGCACUGGCAUAUCAGACUCGCCGUCUCGCUCAGUACCAGCGCCGAGUUUGUUCCAAUGCCUCGGUCGCAUGAUCCUUGCGCCAUGGAGUCCUUCACGUGGAAUCCAUCUAUCCGCAUCGCAGGAAGUGGGUGUGCAAGUGGUCUUGCAUCAUCAUGCUAGCGAACACUAGUAGAAAAAGAGGCUUCCAUACGCCCCCAUUAGUCCCCAAAACAAUCGAACCGCGACAAAAGGGGCCUUUAGUCGCGGGUCGGGAGGAGACCCGCGACCAACUAUCUGGGCCCAGCGCGCUCGGUCGACAGCUGGCGGACGGGAGGGGCUUUAGUCCCGGUUGGCCUGGCCAACCGCGACUAAAGGUCCCCGAAGGCCUUUAGUNNNNNNNNNNNNNNNNNNNNNNNNNNNNNNNNNNNNNNNNNNNNNNNNNNNNNNNNNNNNNNNNNNNNNNNNNNNNNNNNNNNNNNNNNNNNNNNNNNNNNNNNNNNNNNNNNNNNNNNNNNNNNNNNNNNNNNNNNNNNNNNNNNNNNNNNNNNNNNNNNNNNNNNNNNNNNNNNNNNNNNNNNNNNNNNNNNNNNNNNNNNNNNNNNNNNNNNNNNNNNNNNNNNNNNNNNNNNNNNNNNNNNNNNNNNNNNNNNNNNNNNNNNNNNNNNNNNNNNNNNNNNNNNNNNNNNNNNNNNNNNNNNNNNNNNNNNNNNNNNNNNNNNNNNNNNNNNNNNNNNNNNNNNNNNNNNNNNNNNNNNNNNNNNNNNNNNNNNNNNNNNNNNNNNNNNNNNNNNNNNNNNNNNNNNNNNNNNNNNNNNNNNNNNNNNNNNNNNNNNNNNNNNNNNNNNNNNNNNNNNNNNNNNNNNNNNNNNNNNNNNNNNNNNNNNNNNNNNNNNNNNNNNNNNNNNNNNNNNNNNNNNNNNNNNNNNNNNNNNNNNNNNNNNNNNNNNNNNNNNNNNNNNNNNNNNNNNNNNNNNNNNNNNNNNNNNNNNNNNNNNNNNNNNNNUGUAUUAUUUCUAGCUAGUUAGUUUAACAAAUGCAUGAUGGUUAAUUAUAUACUUUAUAUAAUAAUAAUGCAGAUGAAUCGGCAAUGGAUGUACGGUCCCCGACUCUCCGGCGAGUUCACUACGGGUUUGAAAGAUUUCCUCGUAGUGGCAAAUGCGAACAAGCAGCAAGGUUUUAUUAUCUGUCCAUGUGCUGUCUGUAAGAAUCAGAAGGGUUACUCCUCCUCAAGAGACGUUCACAUGCACCUGCUUCGGCACGGUUUCAUGCCAAGCUAUAAUUGUUGGACCAAGCAUGGAGAAAGAGGGGUUAGAAUGGAAGAAGAUGAAGAAGGGGAUGAUAUCGAUGACAACUAUCAUGAUCAUUUCGGUGAUACUUUCAUGGAGGAUGAUGCUAAAGGUGGGGAAGGGUUAGGUGAAGGUGAAGAAGAGGCACAUGAUGAGCCCGCUGAUGAUCUUGGUCGGACCAUUGCUGAUGCACGGAGACGCUGCGAAACUGACAAGGAUAGGGAGAAUUUGGAUCGCAUGUUAGAGGAUCACAAAAAGUCGUUGUAUCCAGGAUGCGAUAAUAGUCUGAAAAAGCUGGGCUGCACACUGGAUUUGCUAAAAUGGAAGGCACAGGAAGGUGUAGGUGACUCAUCAUUUGAAAAUUUGCUGAAAAUGUUGAAGAAUAUGUUUUCGAAGAAUAACGAGUUGCCCGCCAGUACGUACGAAGCAAAGAAGGUUGUCUGCCCUCUAGGUUUAGAGGUUCUGAAGAUACAUGCAUGCAUUAACGACUGCAUCCUCUACCGCGGUGAAUACGAGAAUUUGAAUGAAUGCCCUGUAUGCACUGCAUUGCGUUAUAAGAUCAAAGGCGAUGACCCUGGUGACGAUGUUGAGGGCGAGAAACCCAGGAAGAGGGUUCCCGCCAAGGUGAUGUGGUAUGCUCCUAUAAUAGCACGGUUGAAACGUCUGUGCAUGAACAAAAAGCAUGCCAAGUUGUUGCGAUGGCACAAAGAGGACCGUAAGUCCGACGGGGAGUUGAGACACCCCGCUGAUGGAACGCAAUGGAGAAAGAUCGACAGAGUGUUCAAAGAUUUUGCAGCUGACGCAAGGAACAUAAGAUUUGGUCUAAGUACUGAUGGCAUGAAUCCUUUUGGCGAGCAGAGCUCCAGCCAUAGCACCUGGCCCGUGACUCUAUGCAUCUACAACCUUCCUCCUUGGUUGUGCAUGAAGCGGAAGUUCAUUAUGAUGCCAGUGCUCAUCCAAGGUCCAAAGCAACCCGGGAACGACAUCGAUGUGUACCUAAGGCCAUUAGUUGAUGAAAUUUUACAGUUGUGGGCCAGACCUGGUGUACGUGUCUGGGAUGAGCACAAAGGAGAGGAAUUUGACCUACGAGCGUUGCUUUUUGUAACCAUCAAUGAUUGGCCUGCUCUCAGUAACCUUUCGGGACAGACAAAUAAGGGAUACAAUGCAUGCACGCACUGCUUACAUGAGAUUGAAAGUGUACGUUUGGUUAAUUGUAAGAAUAACGUGUACCUGGGUCAUCGUCGAUUUCUUCCCCGAAAUCAUAACGUAAGAAAGAAAGGCAAGCAUUUCAACGGCAAGGCAGAUCACAUGCCGAAGCCUGCGGAACGUACUGGUGCUGAGAUAUUUGAUAUGGUCAAGGAUUUGAAAGUCAUCUUUGGAAAGGGUCCUGGCGGACAAUCAAUUCCGCGGGGAGUUGACGGGCACGCACCCAUGUGGAAGAAGAAAUCUAUAUUUUGGGAGCUAAAAUAUUGGAAAGUCCUAGAUGUCCGCUCUACAAUCGACGUGAUGCAUGUUACGAAGAAUAUUUGCGUGAACCUGCUAAGCUUCUUGGGCGUGUAUGGGAAGACAAAUGAUACAAAGGAAGCACGGCAGGACCAGCAACUUUUGAAAGACCCAGAUGACCGGCAUCCGGAAUGGUUUCAAGGUCGUGCCAGCUACGCUCUUACCAAAGAAGAGAAGGUCAUUUUUUUUGAAUGCCUGAGCAGUAUGAAGGUCCCGUCUGGCUUCUCAUCGAAUAUAAAGGGAAUAAUAAACAUGGCAGAGAAAAAGUUCCAAAACCUGAAGUCUCACGACUGCCACGUGAUUAUGACGCAAUUGCUUCUGAUUGCUUUGAGGGGGCUCCUACCGGAAAAUGUUCGAGUAGCCAUUGUGAAGCUAUGUGCAUUCCUCAAUGCAAUCUCUCAGAAGGUAAUCAAUCCAGAAGAUCUACCACGGUUACAGAACGAUGUGGUCCAAUGCCUUGUCAGUUUCGAGUUGGUGUUCCCACCAUCCUUCUUCGAUAUUAUGACGCACCUCCUGCUCCACCUAGUCGAAGAGAUUUCCAUUCUCGGUCCUGUAUUUCUACACAAUAUGUUCCCCUUUGAGAGGUUCAUGGGAGUAUUAAAGAAAUAUGUUCGUAACCGUGCUAGGCCAGAAGGAAGCAUCGUCAAGGGCUAUGGAAAUGAGGAGGUAAUUGAGUUCUGUAUUGACUAUGUUCCUGACCUUAAGCCGAUUGGUAUUCCUCAAUCGCGGCACGAGGGGAGACUAAGUGGAAAAGGCAAGAUCGGAAGGAAAUCCACGAUAUGUAUGGACGGUCAUUCUAUGACUGAAGCACACCACACAGUUCUGCAAAAUUCCAGCUUUGUGGCUCCGUACUUCGAGCAACACAAGAAUAUUUUACGCUCGGACAACCCGGGGAAGCCUGAAUCCUGGAUUAGAAAGGCCCACAUGGAGACUUUCGGCAGUUGGUUGCGAAAACAUUUAAUGAAUGACAAUGAUGUUGGAGAUCAGUUGUACAUGUUGGCCAAGAAACCAUCUUCGACUAUAACGAUUUUCCAAGGGUACGAGAUAAAUGGGAAUACAUUUUACACCAUCGCCCAAGAUAAAAAGAACACCAACCAAAACAGUGGUGUCCGCUUUGAUGCAGCAACCGAGAAUGGGCGAAAGGUCACAUAUUAUGGUUACAUAGAGGAGAUAUGGGAACUUGACUAUGGACCCUCCUUUAAGGUCCCUUUGUUCCGGUGCAAAUGGUUCAAGCUAACAGGAGGUGGGGUAAAGGUGGACGAGCAAUACGGAAUGACAAUGGUGGAUUUCAACAAUCUUGGUUACCUUGACGAACCAUUCGUCCUUGCCAAAGAUGUCGCUCAGGUUUUUUAUUUGAAGAACAUGAGUAGCAAACCGAGGAAACGGAAAGAUAAGAAAACGAUCAGUACAUCAUGCGAUGAUCCAAAGCGCCACAUUGUUUUUUCAGGGAAAAGAAACAUCGUGGGAGUGGAGGACAAGACAGACAUGUCAGAAGAUUAUAAUAUGUUUGGUGAAAUUCCGCCCUUCAAAGUGAACACUGACCCAAGCAUUAAGUUAAAUGAUGAGGAUGCUCCAUGGAUACGGCACAAUCAUAAGCAAGCAGGGACAUAAGGGAAGAAUUGAUGUGUAAUAAUUUAUUGUAGCAAACUUUGUAUUUGGUCGAUGAACUAAAUGAUGUAUCAAACCUUUUGUCAAACCUUCAAGGGAUCGAUGAACUGAAUUUUUUGAUAUAUUAUUUGUAUUUUUAAGAUUUUAAAAUGAAUUAGUUUUAUUUUUCUGAUUUUUUUGAUAUAUAAUUGUAUUUUUAAGAUUUUAAAAUGAAUUAGUUUUAUUUUAUAUGAAAAAGGACCUUUAGUCCCGGUUCGGGAGGCGGACCGCGACUAAAGGGUACCCUUUAGUCGCGGUUGUUGUCCCCAACCGCGACAAAAGGGUCUUUCUGCGCGGGAACGAAAGCGGCGCCAAAACCCUUUAGUCCCGGUUGGGGAGGCGGACCGCGACUAAAGGUACCCUUUAGUNNNNNNNNNNNNNNNNNNNNNNNNNNNNNNNNNNNNNNNNNNNNNNNNNNNNNNNNNNNNNNNNNNNNNNNNNNNNNNNNNNNNNNNNNNNNNNNNNNNNNNNNNNNNNNNNNNNNNNNNNNNNNNNNNNNNNNNNNNNNNNNNNNNNNNNNNNNNNNNNNNNNNNNNNNNNNNNNNNNNNNNNNNNNNNNNNNNNNNNNNNNNNNNNNNNNNNNNNNNNNNNNNNNNNNNNNNNNNNNNNNNNNNNNNNNNNNNNNNNNNNNNNNNNNNNNNNNNNNNNNNNNNNNNNNNNNNNNNNNNNNNNNNNNNNNNNNNNNNNNNNNNNNNNNNNNNNNNNNNNNNNNNNNNNNNNNNNNNNNNNNNNNNNNNNNNNNNNNNNNNNNNNNNNNNNNNNNNNNNNNNNNNNNNNNNNNNNNNNNNNNNNNNNNNNNNNNNNNNNNNNNNNNNNNNNNNNNNNNNNNNNNNNNNNNNNNNNNNNNNNNNNNNNNNNNNNNNNNNNNNNNNNNNNNNNNNNNNNNNNNNNNNNNNNNNNNNNNNNNNNNNNNNNNNNNNNNNNNNNNNNNNNNNNNNNNNNNNNNNNNNNNNNNNNNNNNNNNNNNNNNNNNNNNNNNNNNNNNNNNNNNNNNNNNNNNNNNNNNNNNNNNNNNNNNNNNNNNNNNNNNNNNNNNNNNNNNNNNNNNNNNNNNNNNNNNNNNNNNNNNNNNNNNNNNNNNNNNNNNNNNNNNNNNNNNNNNNNNNNNNNNNNNNNNNNNNNNNNNNNNNNNNNNNNNNNNNNNNNNNNNNNNNNNNNNNNNNNNNNNNNNNNNNNNNNNNNNNNNNNNNNNNNNNNNNNNNNNNNNNNNNNNNNNNNNNNNNNNNNNNNNNNNNNNNNNNNNNNNNNNNNNNNNNNNNNNNNNNNNNNNNNNNNNNNNNNNNNNNNNNNNNNNNNNNNNNNNNNNNNNNNNNNNNNNNNNNNNNNNNNNNNNNNNNNNNNNNNNNNNNNNNNNNNNNNNNNNNNNNNNNNNNNNNNNNNNNNNNNNNNNNNNNNNNNNNNNNNNNNNNNNNNNNNNNNNNNNNNNNNNNNNNNNNNNNNNNNNNNNNNNNNNNNNNNNNNNNNNNNNNNNNNNNNNNNNNNNNNNNNNNNNNNNNNNNNNNNNNNNNNNNNNNNNNNNNNNNNNNNNNNNNNNNNNNNNNNNNNNNNNNNNNNNNNNNNNNNNNNNNNNNNNNNNNNNNNNNNNNNNNNNNNNNNNNNNNNNNNNNNNNNNNNNNNNNNNNNNNNNNNNNNNNNNNNNNNNNNNNNNNNNNNNNNNNNNNNNNNNNNNNNNNNNNNNNNNNNNNNNNNNNNNNNNNNNNNNNNNNNNNNNNNNNNNNNNNNNNNNNNNNNNNNNNNNNNNNNNNNNNNNNNNNNNNNNNNNNNNNNNNNNNNNNNNNNNNNNNNNNNNNNNNNNNNNNNNNNNNNNNNNNNNNNNNNNNNNNNNNNNNNNNNNNNNNNNNNNNNNNNNNNNNNNNNNNNNNNNNNNNNNNNNNNNNNNNNNNNNNNNNNNNNNNNNNNNNNNNNNNNNNNNNNNNNNNNNNNNNNNNNNNNNNNNNNNNNNNNNNNNNNNNNNNNNNNNNNNNNNNNNNNNNNNNNNNNNNNNNNNNNNNNNNNNNNNNNNNNNNNNNNNNNNNNNNNNNNNNNNNNNNNNNNNNNNNNNNNNNNNNNNNNNNNNNNNNNNNNNNNNNNNNNNNNNNNNNNNNNNNNNNNNNNNNNNNNNNNNNNNNNNNNNNNNNNNNNNNNNNNNNNNNNNNNNNNNNNNNNNNNNNNNNNNNNNNNNNNNNNNNNNNNNNNNNNNNNNNNNNNNNNNNNNNNNNNNNNNNNNNNNNNNNNNNNNNNNNNNNNNNAGAAAAAGGAAGAAGAAAAAAAGAAGAAGAAAGGAAGAAGAAAGGAAGAAGAAGAAAGAAAGAAGAAAGAAAAAGGAAGAAGAAGAAGGAAAGAAGAAAGAGGAAGAAUAAAGGAAGAAGAAGAAAAAAAGAAGAAAAAAGGAAGAAGAAGAAAAAAAGAAGAAAAAAGGAAGAAGAAAGAAACCAAAUGAAAACCAAAAAUAAAAACAAAGAAAACAAAACAAAAUACUUGGCAGUGCUCAAUAAUCUUAUUUUUUAAUUCCUCCUCCUCUAUGUCCCCUUAAUCUUAUUUUUUAAUUCCUUUAUACUUAAAGAAUUUUUACUACAUGCAGGAGUGACAUAUGGCGGACGAUAGAGCCGAGCCGCUUAGGGAUCCGGAGGCUGAACGUUAUUUAAUGGGCAUCAUCAAAACGAGAUUCCUUAUGUGCCGGGCUCAGAAUAUGAGCAAGAAGAGGAUGUAGUCUCUUCUUUUCUGAACCUUGACGGUGGAACAGAGAUUGUCGAUGAUCAAGAAGGUGAAGGAACGGACAUUGUCGACGGAGGUCAACCGUCAACAAACGACAAUCUCGAAUUGCAAGUAGCAACCACCUCCGGCGAGGUAUAUAUAUACAUUGAGCCUCUCGUGAUACAAACUUACUGAAAUGUGAAUACAUAUGUAUUAACGCGCGUGACUCUCUUUCUUUUUUUAGCCCUCCAGAUCGAGUACGACAAAGCGUGGCAAAUCCAAGGCGAUGAAAACAGGAGAAACAUAUGUCAUUGAGUUUGUCAGUGAAACCGGCAAGCCCCUACAGCACACCUCAAAGUUUAUCAACCAAUGCGGAGUCGUUGUUAGAGACAACGUCCCGAUCACCGUCCAGGAAUGGAAGGAGCUAAAGAAGGCACGUCUUGGUUUCAGUUUUGUCGACAAGAGAAAGAAAAAGGAUUGCUGGAGAAAGCUUAUGGAACAUUUCAUUCUACCUCCGGAAUACAACAAAGUCGAUGAAUUCGGUAACGAGGUUCCGGGUGGACGUCAGAGGAGGAGGAUAGUUAAAGAGUUCGCUCUUCAGAAGAUGGGCGAAGCAUUCCGGAACUUCAAGAAAAAUUUAACCCGUGACUAUGUCAACAAGGGCAAGACUCCGGAUUUCAAUGGACAACAUGAGAAACUGAAAGAUGAUUGGCCAGAAUUUGUGAGGCAAAAGCAAUCGGAGCAUUUCAAGGAAAUAUCGAAAAAAAUAAGGAUAAUGCGAGUAAGAAAAAGUUCCAUCAUAUUAUGGGGCCAGGAGGAUACCGCCUUUCGGAGCCUAGGUGGCAGAAGAUGGAGGAGGACCUGAGGGUGCGAGGAAUCCCUCUAGGUACAGAGGGAUGGGACCCAAGGGCCAAAAGCUGGUGGUACGGGCAUGGGGGAUCGCUAGACCCGGAUACAGGGGUGUGUGUUCACCGGCAGAGACAGUUUGCUCCCACCCAAGCCCUUAUUGACGCAAUGACCCAAGCUCAAGAGGGCUUGAUCAAGUUCAACAGAGAGAAAAACGCACUGACAACAGCCCUCAGGAAUGAUGAACACGGAGGACGUGUACGAGGCAAAGGCAAAGUUCCGUGGAAAGUAGGGUUUUCCCAGGACAAUGACCCGUACUGUUACAGAAGCCGUAAGAGAAAGACGGACCGGGAUGCAGAUCUUAUGAUGAAGUUUGCAUCGGAACUCCAUGAGUUGAAGCAGACCGUGCAUGAACUAGUAAAAGAAAAAUCGGCUGCAGGGCCGCAUGAAGAUCAUGAAGCGGAUCGCGGAAGCCAGCAGCGGAGAAGCAGCGUGGCUUCCACGGAUGCCCCGCCUGGUGCUAGUGCACCGAUGAUCGAGAUUCGUGCACCGGAGCCUCACUACCCCGUGGAUGAUGUAAAGGAGAUGAAAGAAUGUGAUCUGCAUUAUCCCGUGGGGAACGUUUCCAUGAAGGUAGCUAGCGGCAGUGCUUUACCCUGUACACCUAGAGCACUCCACCACAACAACCCCAUUGCAUAUGGCUAUGCUCGUGUCACGGUGGAAGACAUAGUCCAAGGGUUUGAGGACCUGGAGAUUGACAAACCUACACCCGAAGGGGAGAGAAGACUUGGAGAUGUCAAGCGCCAGUUCAUUCUAUGGAAAAAGAAGUACAUAGUGUUUGCAGGCGAGGCGCCAAGGCUAGCAAGUUCACCCCCCUCCGAUGGUGGUGGUGGUGGCGGUGGCGGUGGUGGCGGUGGUGGUGGUCGUGGUGGUUCACCUACACCUCCUUCACGCCAUUCGACGUCGUCCCCCGAUCCACAACCUCCGGCGGGUACGACGCCCCCCAAUCCUCCUCCGGCGGGUACGACGCCCCCCAAUCCACCUCCGGCGAAGAAGCAGAAGCAGGCGGACAGCAAGGAAACCCGCUCCUGGACUAUUAACCCGGACCCUUAUGUACCUAAGACCACAAGGGUACCGGAGCCAUCACUGAAGCCUCUCCUCCCAAGGCCUUGGGAACUUAGUGAAGCUGAAACCAAAUUGGUCGCGUCUGCUGAUUAUGAGAAAUGGAAGGCGGAUAUGAAGGCGAUAAAAGAGCCUGAGCCCAAGCAAGUAUUCACUGAGAAGCAAAAGAAGUGGGCUAAGGAUUUUUUGACGACACCGUCCCAAGCCGAGCUGAAUAUGCCUGACGACUAUGGACAUGAACUUCGUAGGGAAGCAAAAAUAUUGAAGGAGGAGAAAGAAGAAAGUAAAAAAAGCGGGAAACAAGUUGACCAGCUCGGGAUGCAGAAGAAACAAUCGAUCCCCCCGCUCAUAGUGAAAGUCGGUCCGGAAGAGGACCCCGAGAUCAUAGCAGCUGCGGCAGCACUUGGAUUGACUGUAGCGAGUGCCAUGAAACAAGCGUCCGAGAUGGGUUUGACUCUUCGUGCCUUCUUAGGCCUUGAGGAUGCGCCAGUAUGUGAGAUAGCAUUACAAUAUGUGCGGAAUGGGCCUCUCGUCGAGCCUGCGCGGGAAAAGAGUCUACCACCACAAAUGCGAAAUCUGCUACGUUGGUACAAGCAAUUCAUAACAUGGGCCGACAAAGAAUAUGUUUAUGCGGAUGUUACAGAUGAGCAUCACACCAAACGGUACUCUGUACAAGUUCAUAUGAGUGAAUUGUUCCAGCUGUUCAAUCUGCGCGACCUCGAAAAAUCUAUGCUGAGUUGCUACAUUCUGAAAGUGAUUUAUUUCUACCUCAUCUCGUUCUUCAUUGCCUGCACUAUAUAUAUAUAUAUAUGGUCCUAACUAUAUUGUUGUGUACGCUAUUAUGCAGAUUGAAGAUUUGGGAAUGCAAAAUAAGAAACAUCCAUGAUGUUGGGUUCAUUGACCCACAUAUCGUUAAUGGACAUGUGUUACAACAUCACCCCGAAGACGUGGAGAAAGACUUGUACAAGUUUCUUAGAAAGCAUCAACUCAAAAGUCAUAUUCUAUUUCCUUACCAUUUUGGGUGAGUGUUUCUCUCUUGUGCCCAUUCUCUUUUGUUUACUCCAUGCAUGGUAUGUCUAAUCGAUGAGUUAUGCAUGACUGUGCAUGUAACGUGUCCGCAGGUUCCACUGGAUUCUACUAAAUAUUGAACUUCACACCUCCAGAGUUCUAAUCAUGGACUCUAUGGAUUCGGAUCCAAAGCGUUGGGCCGACAUGAGAAAAAUGCUGCAAAAGUAAUUAUUUUCAAUCAUUUGAGCUCUAUAUCGAUCGGUCUCUUUCGUUCAUUUCCUAAUAUCAAGUAACUAAUAACUCCCUUGUUCAUUUAAUUUUCUUUGCCCUGUAGGGUUUCGAGACGGUUCUUAGAAGAAAUUGUCGGUGAAUUCAAACAUGAGCUAGAUUUCAGAAGGUUAGUUAAUGUGGAUAAGCAGCCACCGGGGACCAAUCUAUGUGGAUACUAUGUUUGUGAGAACAUCCGGAGACACACCUCUGAGCGGAAGGCAUCGGAUAGCGUGCGGAACGCGACGCAUAACUUGCGGAGGAGGCUUAGUCCAGAAGCUCGCUUCCGACCAAUUCAAGAAGAAUUAGCAGGAUUUUUCAUGAGGGAAGUCAUCAAUCCUAAAGGAGAAUACUAUACCGAGGACGAAGAAAUUUAUAUGCAUACCCGAGAUUGAAACUUGUUCGAAGUUGUAUAUGGUCAUCCAUCCUAAUUGUGUAUGGAAACUUGUUCGAAGUUGUAUAUGGUCACCCGAGAUUGAAUAUAUAUUAUAUAUUCCUCUUGAAUUCUUCUUGUUUGAAAUUUCAUAUGCAUGUAUAUAGUAGCGUAGAAUAUGUGUACUGAAACUUCAUCAAAAUUAAAAUAAAACACAAAAUAAAAUAUAAAAGAAAUAAAACACUACAAAUUAAAAAGAAACCAGGUUUAGGGGGGCUAAAACCCUAAACCUGCGGAGGAGGCCUUUAGUCCCGGUUAGCCACAAGAACCGGGACUAAAGGUCCUCCGCCCUGACGGACCACUGGCGCCCACGUGGACGAGCCUUUAGUCCCGGUCAGCCACGCGAACCGGGACUAAAGCCUUUAGUCGCGGUCCGUAAGAGGCGCGACUAAAGGGGGGUCUUUAGUCGCGCAUAUUUAGUCCCGGUUGCACAGCCGGGACUAAAGGCUGUUGCGAACCGGGACUAAAGGGCUUUUUUCUACCAGUGGAAGCCUCUCAACACGGAGCCUCGACAUCGUACUCGGUGUGCUACCAAAAAUGCGGGGACAUCGUUGGCGCUGAGGACUUCAACUUCAGCAAGUGCUUGAAAAAACAUCCACAUCAGAGAUAUUGCCACAUGGAUAAGAUUGGGCAAAUAUCACACUCACUUUGCAUGGAUAUCUCGUCAGAUAGAGUGAGAGAUGAAUUUUAUCUUAUGUCAGAAGUUGAGCGGGCAAUUAUGUCAAGUGUUGUAGUUGACAGACUAAAUCUACAUUAACUAAUCAGUUUAGGAACGAGAUAUGUCCUUAUCUAAAAAAAACAGCAAGCAAAAAGAUAGCACACAACCAAAAAACUUCCAUAGAAAUUGAGGCUACUAAACCCCUACGCUAAGACCUUGUUCGGCUUAAACCCCUCACAAGAGGAUCGGAGACGAAUGGAGGGGGUUUGGGGGAUUUUGACGUGUAGUUAAUUUAACCCCUUCAAUUCCUUUCAGCUCCCUUCAAUCCCAUCUAAACCGAACAGGCCCCAACAGACUGUGUGGUACAGCAAUUGUGACAAUGAUUCAAACGUAUUUUACCGGCAAAAAUAAGAACUAAACAUAUUCCUAAGUAACCAUGCCAACCUUAAACUACAAAUUAAACACGCCUUAGAUACUCAUAGUCGUUGUACUAACUACAUAUGAACAACGUAGCUAUGAAUACAAGUAUGCUUCAGUUAGACGGGGAUCUCUGUCAGCUUUUGGACUAUUCCGGAAGGACUCAAUACGCUGCAGGAUUCUCCUUGUGCCUCUCAGAACAUAACAAGAAUAUAAGAUGAACCAACUACAGCGCCGGUGUACCGAUAUAAAACUUUUUUUUUGCGAGAGUACCGGUAUAAAACUUGUAUAUCCGCUGUACACGCAAUCUGGAAAUCUUGCAUGCCGCGUACGAUAGAGUGCGUCAUUGUUUUUUGUCGCCAGUCGCCAUACUCGCCCAAUAGUUCCCUUGUUUGGUACCAGACUAUCAUCAUCGAUGGUAUUCUAUUUUCUAACUGCUGCAUGCUAUUAGGAGCCGACCGAGUCAUGGUUAUAGUCCUAGUCUGAACUUUGAACUAGCUUACAGCUAAUCUUACAGAUCAACCUUCUUUAAAACCUAAUCAUGGCGAAUAAGAGCAGUAUAAUAAAUGCAAACAGUUGCCGUCCCAAAAGUGACAAGUUGUACGUAGCUCCAUUUUAAAGUUCAAAAUAACGCAAGACCACAUACGUCACUUUUUUAACUAUCACGUUUGUGAACUUAAUUUGACAAUGUAAUGAUAUUGAAUUUAGUAAAUAUACGACGCAGAGAGCGGGAGCAAUGAAACUCUUUCACUGUACAAAAAAAAAGACUGACCGAGGUGCACAACCAGCUCAAUGAAAUUUUAGACCUAGGGACAUCUUUUGGUUGGUGCCAGACUAACCCCACCAAAUAUUUGUAAGACUUGGCUUGCUAAUUUUUUUAUGAAGAAAUUUCUCGCCUCAUUUGGCCAAUUAUUUCGCAAACAAUUCUCUCUGAGAAGAAAGGGUGGAUACCAAUUAGCAAUCAGAAUUUUGGCUACAAACCAGACAAUAACCAAAACUUGAUUGGUAGACAAUUUAUUGGCAGGCCAGUUUGGUAAGAACUGUAUUUACUUUGUUUAAAUAGUAAAAAUUCUCUGACAAUUUUUUUGCUCCCCUCCAUCCCCUCCCUCGUCGCACCUGUAGGCGACAGGGAGGGCUCCCUGUCGCACCCGCCGGCCUCCCUCACCGCCGCUAGAGGGGCGACCGGGCAACGCCCGGCUGGCGUCGGCAGCGGCGGGGCUCAUCUCCUACUUGCUCUGGGGUGCUGCGGCGGGCCGGCUUCCUUGGGCUAGGACAGCGCGCCGGCAUGGGGCGCCUCGAGGUGACGGCAACGCUCAGUGUCCCUGCACCGGCGGGGAGUGGGUGAGCGGCGGCCUGGAGAACCUCGCGAUGGAGGGGCGUGCUUGCAGCGCUGUGGCCCGAUCUGGAUUGGGAUCUGGCCUGAUCUGGAUCUAGGUGGUUGCGGACGACGCGGCUGUGCUCGCUGUGGGCGGAAGGCCUUUGCUGCGUCCUUUGCAGUGGUGGCUGAGGGCGGCUGGUGGAUCCGGUCGCCCACGCUCGGUGUUCUUUCCUCCAUAAGGACAUGGGUCACCUUGUGUGGCUUGCCAAGAUGGUGGCUUGAGGAUUUAUGAUGUAUUACUUUGUAAGGUCUUUGUGAAUAAUUAAUAAAAUGGCUUGCACGCAUCGCCAGAUGCAGAGGCCAGGGUAAUCCUCCUUUUCUAAUAAAAAAUAAAAAAAUCAAUUUUGUAUUUUGAAAAUUUAUGAAAAUUAUAUGUUAAGUAUUUUCUGAACCUUUGUUUAAUAUGAGCAUUUGUAUUAUGUGUGAACUCAGAAACUCCACACUAUAAUUUUGCACAAGUCACAAAUGAUCACAUUCUUUUGCCUAGUUUGCAAGGGAGAGUUUGCACAUGUUACCUACAUGCAUUGCUUUUUUAUUUGCCAUUUAAUGGUUGACUAUUUUUCAAAUGGCCAACAAUCAUGUUUUUCUUACCAACUUUUUUUCUCACGUUCAUUCUACUACCAAUUGGCUCUUGCAUGUAAAAAUAAAGAAUUUACAAUAUUAUAUACUUGUCAUUUUCAUAUUUGGGGAUUUUAGUUUAUUGGUAUAUGAGUUGGGUUCCUUGAAACAGUUGUGAUGUGUACCUAUUACUUGUUUAUUUUGACGUCACUGUAUUACUAUUUUGGGUAAUACUACUUCCUCCCCUCUCUCUUUCUUUGGUGGACGACUAAAUUAUUUAUUUUUUAGUUUUUUUAUGGUAAUGCCGCUUACUUCUGGAUGAAUUCUAUUACUUGAUGGGUUGUGGAAUUUACUUCGUUUGUGGUCACUGUUUUGUUUUAUUUGUGUAAUACUAGUAUCCCACUCAUGGACUAUACACUUCUAAAUUGCAUAUUCCUUCUGGAUCAUAAAAAACAAUGUGGUGAUGUUUAAGUUGCACUAUACAACGGCCAACGGUAUUUUAGCAUUUUGGAAGUAUUCUCUCAAGAUAGAUAUAUGCGCAUGAUUUUGUAGUUUCCAACUGAAGUAUUUUAAUUAAUGAUGGUAGUCAAAUUUCCAAAGUUUCACAAGUUUUUGUGAACAGGAAGAGUGUCAAACGACAGACAUAGUUUUUCAUUUUAUUAUACCACAAGUGCUAAAGGCAUGCAUUGGUCUUGACAAACUCAUCACUUCUAAGAGUUGAUUACUACCCAACUAAAAUAAAGAGUAAGUUGAUUCUUUUGUGUGGACAUACGUGUUGGUUUCUCAAUGGUUAUAGAUUCGGUUGUGCCAAGUUAAAAUUAAAUUUAGUGUAAUAGCAGACUUCCAAAUUUUUUCAUGCUUCAUAUGAAUAUGUUUACAUCUUCAUAAUUUAGAAUAAUACAUUCAUGUCAUUUUCAUAUUUGGGAUUAUAGUUCUUUUUUACAUAGAUUUGCUUUUAUGUUGGGUUCUUUGAAAUAAUUUUGAUGUGUACAUAUUUUAUCGCUUUUUAUUUUGUUGUCACUAGAUAACUAUCUUGGGUAAUACUUCUUCCUCUCCUUUUUUGCGGAUGAUCUCCUUAUUCUUUCGGAUGUAUUCUAUUACUUGAUGGGUUGUUGCAUUUUUUUGUUUUGUUUUGUCCUCGCCAUUUUAUUUUAUUUGUGUAAUACUUGUUUCCCACUCAUGCACUGUAUGCUUCUAAGUUAUACGUAUUCUUUCUUGUUCACAAAAAAGCAAUAUGGCGAUGUUUUAGCUGUAAUGUAACGGCCAACAUUAUUAUAACAUUUUGGAAGUAUUUCCCCAAGAAAAUUAUAUGCAUAUUACUUUGAAAUUUCCAACCUAAGUUUUUAGUUAAUAACCAUAGCCAAGUUUCCAAAGUUUCACGACCUAAACAGUCAUUUUUUGUGAACCGGAGGAGAAUCAAAGGGAGACACAUUGUUCUUUUUUCUUUAUUAUACCACAUGUGCUACAUGACAUGC